rnacentral:lncRNA from 1 species
CACCUGUUUCUUUCGUUCUUACUACUUCCAGUGGGUAUUUUUCAGUUUAUUUUGUAAUUGUGCCGCCAUGUGUUAGCUGUAAAUACCGAUCUGUGAUUUUGAUUCUGAUGAUUUGUUACCUGUACUUCUAUCAUGGUUCAGAUUAGAACCCACCCUUAUUGUUUUGUCGAGAUGUGGGAAUCAAAGUAUGUUUUCCUUCUUCCUUCAGUUUCUGUGUGGAAAUCCUUUUCACUGUGGAUGACAAUUCUUAUCGCUUUGUCGAAAAACAAUUCUUACCGCUUUCAGUUGUACACAUCACCAUGCUGGCACUCUUGACAAGGAGAAGAACACUAUUGAAGGGUUGUUGCAUUUGUACCAUAAUUUCUUUUAACCAAUUCAUGCAUCUCCAUUAUGCAUGCUCAUACAGUGAUGCUCCUUCCAUUCCACAAUGUAGUGUGUAUAGAUUUUUUGAGAAGUCAAAAUUUGCAAACCUUGACCAAGUUUAUAGAGAAAAUUAUUUAUAUCUACACUACCAAAUAUAUAAAAAUAUGAAACUACGUCUUAUGAUAAAUCUAAUGAUAUAUGCUUGGUAUUCUAGAUGUAAAUGUUUUUCUCUAUAAACUUGAUCAAAAUUUGUGAGGUUUGAAUUUUUGAAAAAUUUACAUGCACCGAGGGAGUACAAGUUAUCUCAUACAUAAUGUGUCGAUCGAUUUAAUAAUUGGAGGAGCGUUAUGCAUGACUAUUGGAUUUAGUUCAGAUCCUUUAGUGCCUAUGCAUUUUAGCUUCAGAAGAGGAAAAUACCUAUCAUGUUGGCACACCUGAAACGGAAUCGAAUAUGUUUGGUGGAGUUAAAUGAACGUGUCUGCAGUGGUCAAUCAGUCAGUGGACAUGCAUAAAUAUAUACUCCCUCCGUCAGGAAAUACUUGUCAUCAAAAUGAAUAAAAAUGGAUGUAUCUAGAUGUAUUUUAGUUUUAGAUACAUCCCUUUUUUGUCCAUUUUGAUGACGAGUAUUUUCGGAUGGAGGGAGUAGUGAGUACAUACUACCUCACUUCAGUCUUCUGGUUAACAUAUUACAUAUGAGACCUGCACGAUGCUGAGAGUGUUGAAAAACUUGAUACAUGUCUCUGGAUUUAUGUCAAAACCUUCGCAUCUGUUCCAGAAUUGCAUGAUUCUACCUGUAUUUUUGUCUUCUCUCUCACAGCUGAAAGCUGCAAAUGAUUGGCCCACGACUCCAGGUUCAGAGGAAUCCUUUGAUCCCGUGUUAAUUUGUUUUGUUUUUCAUUUCAAGAAAGUAGGGAUUGACUGUUUAGAUUAGAAGACCUUACUGUUAAUCGCUAGAAAGUACUCCCUUUGUUCACAAAUAUAAGAUGCUUUGGAUAUUUCAAUAUGAAACAUAUGGACCGAAAUGAGUGAACAAACACAUUGAAAUGUGUCUAUAUACGUUUGAAUCAGAAAACAAAGUUAAACAUCUUAUACUAUGUGUGAACAGUAGAGGGAGUAGCAAUUUUUAUGAUCUAACUUGUGCUUUAUGAUUCCAUGUGUUCAUCUCUUAGUACAAUAGCUCUGAUAUAUGUUACCGUGGCAGGUUCUGAAAUGUCAGUUAAAUAUUUACUGGAAGUCCAAGAAACUAGCUUCCGAAAAUCUUGUGCCAUAGAUAGAACAUAGUUAAAUUCACAGCUGCAGUCCUCGUAUACAGUUCAGAGGAGUGAAUAGCACACUACUAUCACUUAUUGUUUAGCGUUCCAAAUAAACCAAAUAACCGAGUGGUUUACAUUUUAUCAGGUUUAUGACAGUUGGGGUCCGCAUAUAAGAUAAACCAUUUAUUUCAUCAUUAACUGAGAUGUGCGGCCCACAUGUCAGUGUCCCUUCCUCAUAUUCUAAUAAAAAAUCAUCAAUCCCCCUGUCUUUAUAAAUUUAAAAAUAUGUCCUUAUCUUUUAUAGAAUAAACACAAACAUUUUGUAAAAGCAAUCAGGUUCCUGCAAACAUUUUUAAAAAGUAUAAUCAGGUCCUUGCAAAAAAUAAGCAAUCAGGUCCCAGCAAUAUUAUUAAAAAAUAAUUGGGUCCCUGUAAUUAUUUUUAAAAGGGAACCAGAUGCCUGCCCCUUGCCGCCGCAAUGCCUUACCGUCAAAACGGCCUCUGCUGCUCCGCCGGCCGAGACGAGGCCCAGGGAGCCGCCGCCAUGGCGCAACCACCAGACAGUUUUCGUGUCUGCUGGCCGAGACGAGGCUAGGGGAGUCGCCGCCAUGGCGCAAUUGCCAGACAUUUUUCGAGUCUUUCGGCCGAGACGAGUUUCAGGGAGUCGCCGCCGCGCAACUACUAGAUAGUUUUAGCGUCUGUCAGCCUUCAGGGAGCCACGCAAUGGUGCUGUAAAGCUUAUGUUUUGGGGAACUGCUCGACACCCUAAACCGGGUGUGGCUAUCUCAUUAUAUAGUAGUAUCGAGAGGUACAGUACAAUGUUACAACAGGUAUACAGAGGCUACGUAUAUAUACAGUCUAACAGGUGCAACUGCCAGACAGUUUUGUGUCCGCCGGCCAAUAUGAAGCUCAAGGAGUAGGUCAAAGCGGUGCGAGAUCGGCGAGUCCUACACCUUCAAGGCCAGGAUGUGGCGUGCGCGGCCCGGCCGUCGACCCUGCUGGCUUCCGACGGUGGAGGGUCGUCGCCGGUCGUCGCCGGUUCGGGAGGGGAGGGGAAGGUCGUCGCAGGCUAGGAUCGCGGCUCGUGAGGGGCUAGGUGGGUGUCGUGCUCGAGAGAGAUCAGGGCGGUAAAGGGAGAGAAGAAAGAGAAGAGGAAGGAAGAGAUAUCGUACAUGUGGCCUCAUAUGUAAGUUAACGACCAAACAAAUGGUUUGUAGAAGCAUGUGCGACCUGUCAUAAACCGGAUCAAUUUUAAACCACAUGAUCACUUGAGUUUUCUAAAACAGCAAACCACCAAUCAGAUAGGUGACAAACAAAAAUAUAGUAGAUUUUUGAAAUCCUAACCCAAAACAUGAUAGUUUUAUGCUAUUCACUAAAGGGGGUACAUGUAAAAUAAGUAACACCCCCAACCCUGAAAAGUGUGCCAAAAAGCUGAAAUGUGUGUGUACAUAAGUAGUUAUUUGCUUUUAACCAUGCUUUGAAAAUCUAAAAUAGUUCCCAACAAAUGGUUGUGGAUUAUGUGUGGCCGUUAAGUUUCAUGCAUAAUUUGAUAUUUAUGACAUGUGACAAACAUCACAAGCUGGGGCAUAUAAAUUAAAGAUGCUUUUCUAGCCUCUAUGGACUUAGUUCAAACCAACUCAUCUUAUUUGUAUCUCUCUCUAGAAAAACACAUCCUACUCAUAGAACUUGGGCAGAUACUCUCUCUGUAAAGAAAUAUAAGAAUUAGAAAAGAAGUAUAAGACCUUUUAGAUCACUACAUAUGUUAGAAAUAAUUGGGCUUGACCCAUUAGCAAUUUCUGAAAUCUCAAAUCAGCCCAUGAGAAAAAUGGCAAGUGGUGGUGCUAAAGUUUAGUUCAUGAUAGGGGCGAGGGUCCCGAUCUUUCGAUGAGAUGAUAACUAUCGAUUUGGUGGAGACAACUUUGACGAUCUGACUACAAACAUGCACGAGUUGCGCCUUAGCAAUCGCUAAACCAACUCCGAGAGGUUAUUGACCACGCCGGAGCACGAUCAACCUGACCACGAAGGUCUAUUCCUGCAAGCAAUCGAAGAACGAGCAAGAAAUAUGAUAAAGCAAUAUGAAUAUUGCGAAUAUAUAUGAAGUAUUGAUAAUGGUGGGGAUCCGUAAGUGGUCUUGGUCUGGUCGUUGGACACAAACAAAGUACACGAAGUUGCAAUGGCUAACUUUUAACUAAACAAAUUCCAAGGAAAAAGCUACUAGAUGGAUCUACUUAUAUAGGAGCAAGGGAUGGCGGCCAAGGAGGUGGAAGGACGUCCCAAGGCAGCCUAAAACUAACCCUAGGUCGUACAAGGCUCAUGGGCCCAAGUGAAGGUGAUGCAACAUCUUUGGCAUUGUCACAGCCCUAGAAUUGCUAGUAGUUAGUUGCAUCUGUGAGCAUCCAUGCAUCAUGUUAGUUUCAAAUAAAUUUGAAAUGGGGAUGACAGAAACCCCCAGCACCUCCCCUGAAACUAACUAGGGCUUACUAAAAUUAGUUUCAAUAAACCCAAAAUGCCUUCACAAAAUGUUCAUCAUUUCUGGUUUGGGCUAAAACCCCUGGCAAAAAUGGUGCACACUUUUUAGGACAUUCUGGAGUUUUUUUGAAUUAAAUCCUAAGUAUUUGAAUUUGGACAUUUAAAUUCUAUAAAAUAUUUUAAAUGUCCAAAUAAUCUUGAAAGCAUUUGAGGGCUGUUGGAAAUAUUUUCAAAAGUGCCCACAAUUAUUUUCAGGACUUUACAAAGUGAGUUAGUAUUUUUACUAAUUCAAAACAGAUCAAAUAAAUAGAAAAGAGAACAAAAUAAAAAAAAANNNNNNNNNNNNNNNNNNNNNNNNNNNNNNNNNNNNNNNNNNNNNNNNNNNNNNNNNNNNNNNNNNNNNNNNNNNNNNNNNNNNNNNNNNNNNNNNNNNNNNNNNNNNNNNNNNNNNNNNNNNNNNNNNNNNNNGUGGCCGACGCCCGCCGGCACGCGCACGGCCACCUCCUGCUUGCCGCUUCGCCCCGGCCUUCCUGGGGACUGCCACGCAGGCCUUGGACCCCCCUCGUCCUCUCCCCUCUCUCCCUGGAUCUCCUUCCCCUCCCCUGCUCUCUCUCUCUCUCGCGGCGCCACCGCACAGAGAGUCGCCGACGAGAACCACCACGGCCACAGCCACCCCCUCGCCCUUCUGUUGUGCCCACGAGCUCCGCCCCGUCCCCCUCUUCCUCCUCACCAAGACGGAAGGCGCCGGAAGCCUUGGAUGUCGCCAGUUCCGCCGUUCCCCUCCUCGGCCACCGGGGAUCACCGCCGUCGAUUUGCCGCCGUCUCCGCCUCCCCGAGCUCGCUGAGACCAUCUCCAACCCCACUGUGAGCUCCGUCAUCUUCUCCCCUGCUUCCCGCGCUCGUACGCACUCUCUAGCCACCCCCUCUAUCAGAACCGAGCCGCUCCGCCGCACGAGCUCGACGCCGGCGUCACUCCGGUGAUCCUUUUGGUCACCGCUGGUGCCUAACGCAUUCUCCGCACUCCGCAAUGUCUCGCUAGUGCCUCUGUUCGCCCGCUAGCACGCCGCAGCAGCAAAACGACCGAGGCCCGAGCACCGGCCGCCGCCCAGCUUGUUGCCGCCGCCGUUGCACGCCAUCCCAGCACACACCGAGGCCACCGUCAGAUGCGCCGCAUCACCGGCUUUCGAACGCGCCCAGCCUCGCUUCCAUCCGACGCCGGAGUUGUCCGGACGGGCAUCGCCGCCGCGCUCCGGUUAUCGCCGGAGUUAAUCCGGUGAUGUGGUAGAUUAAGAGCUAAUGACGCAGUUAGUUAACCCUCCUAGCUCACUGACACCUGGGCCCCACGCCAUAAUUAACCUCAGUCUAAUUUCUGCUUAGGGUUAACUAAAUCAAGCGGGCCCACGCGUCAGCUUUGACCAAGCUGAUGUGGCCGUUGACUGGCCCCACACAUCAGUGACCCAAGCCAGCCCUAAGACACUGACGUGCGGGUCCCAGUUGUCAGGUUUGACCCUGGGCGACCCAGUUGACCUGCUGACAUCACAAUGACGUCAUGCUGACGCAGUAUUGAUUUUCUGGAAUUAAAAUAAAUCAGGAAAUCCAGAAAAUGUCCUAAACUUUGGAAAAUCAUAGAAAUUAAUCUAUAACUCCAAUGGAAAUAAUUUAUAUAUGAAAAAUUAUCAGAAAAAUUCAAGGAAUCUGAAUAUGGCAUUUUCAUGCAUGUUUGAACAACUUAACCUCCCUGUUUAGCCAAAACAUGAUAAUGCACCAUUUGAAUUCAUAGUUUGAAUUUGAAUUUGAACCUUGAGUUCAAUUCAACCCAAACCUUUCUGUUACUAGCUGCAUUAGCUCAAUCAACAGCAUAUUUCCAUGUCACAUUCAUGCAUCAUACUGUUGCAUUGCAUUGAUUGUGUUUCUUCUCUGUUGCCGGUAUUCGUUCCCUCUCGGUAGCCGAUGUUUCGACGAUGAGUUCGAUGACACCGAUGAAGAACUAUAUUAUCUUCAGAAGUGCCAGGCAAGCAAAACCCCCUUGUUCAUUCCGAUACAAUCCUACUCUCUCGCUCCUGCUCUCUUUUACUGCAUUAGGACAAUAACGAUUCAACUGUUACAUACUGCGAUAGCUGAACCCCUUUAUCCUCUGCAUGACCUGUCAUUCCACAGUAAAUAGAUGAAACCCACUAGUAUGAGUAGGAGUUGUUUGAGCCCUGUUGUGCCUACUCAUUCAUGUUUGUUUGUCAUGCCUGCUACUGCUUAGAGUUGAGUCGGGUCUGAUUCAUCGGGUAUGAAUCGAAAUGAUGAUGAACAUGUCCUACUGUGUGUGAGCUAAGUGUGUGAACACGAUUUGGUAAAGGUAGCGGUGAGAGGCCAUGUAGGAGUACAUGGUGGGUUGUCUCAUUGCAGCCGUCCUCAGGAACUGAGUUCUGUGUUUGUGAUCCAUGAAACAGUUACUACCACACAUUGGGAUCCUUAAUUGACUCUCUCGGCUUCUUAAUCACCCUUGUCCUCUGUCCAGGAGUUGCAAGUAGUUUCUGGUGUUUGUAGUAUGCUGGGGGCCGCACGCAGCGCUGACCGUAGGGGUGGGCUGUGUUGCGGUAGGCACGUGGCACGGUGUACCGAUUCGCCCGUUUGGUGUCUCGGGAACCCUGUUCACAUCGUUCGGGGCCGUUAGUGGAAACCUCGGCCGGACUCCCUGCGGAUGGAACCCGAAUAGGCGAUAAACCUGGACUAGAGACUUGAGUGUUUAGGUAGGCUGUGGCCGACACCCUCGCUGGGCUUCCGCUUGAAGGUUGCCGAGUACAUGUCGUGUAAACGGCGGUAAGUGGUGAGAGCGUGUGUGAAGAAGUACACCCCUGCAGGGUUAACAUCAUCUAUUCGAAUAGCCGUGUCCGCGGAAAUGGACUUCUGGGUUGCCUAUAUCAGUUCAUAGACAAGUGAAAGUGGAUACUCUAAAAUACGCAAGAUAAGCGUGAGUGCUAUGGAUGGCCUUCUCGUAGGGAGACGGAAGUGGAUCCAUAGUGGUGUAUUGAUAUGGUGAAUAUGUGGACUCGUGUGCGCCACCUCAAAAGAGUCGCUUGCAGUCGUAGUUCAGGAUAGCCACUGAGUCAAAGCUGGCUUGCUGCAGUCAAACUCCACCACCCCCUUUGUUGAUACUGAUGCAUGUGUAGUUAGCUCUGAUGUAAGUCUUGCUGGGUACAUUUGUACUCACGUUUGCCUAUUUUAUGUUUUGCAGAGAGACUUCAGUCUCACUAGUAGUACCGCUUGGACUUCGACGUUUAGCUUGAUACCUCAGCUACGAUCUUGUGCCCUCGGCAGGAUCUGGUAGAUAGUCAGGCUUCUCAGCCUUCUUCAUUUAUAGAUGUCUGUACUCAGACAUGUUUAGCUUCCGCAUGUGCUUGAUGCUUGUAUGCUCUGAAUGUUGGGUCAUGAGACACAUGAUUGUAAUAUCUCGCUCCUCGGAGCCUAAUGAAUAAAUACUUUGAGCCGUAGAGUCUUGUUGUGAUGCCAUGUUGUAUUUACACAUAUCGAGCAUAUUGUGUGUAUGAUGAUUGAAAUGCUUGGUAUGUGUGGGAUCCGACUAUCUAGUUGUUUAUCCUUAGCAGCCUAUCAUAUGGGGAAAUGUAGGUCUAGUGAUUCUGAGCGAUAGUAGUCCGCUACAGCCCGGUUCACCGGAGUCCUGCUAGCCCAGCACUACUGCUUGGACACUUGACUGGCCGGCAUGUGUUUCACGUUGUUCCUAUGUCUGUCCCUUCGGGGAAAUGUCUCGCGUGUUAUUCGGAGUCCUGCCUAGCCUGCUACAGCCCGGAUUACCGGAGUCCUGUUAGCCCAGUGCUACAGCCCGAAUAAAUCUCGUGCUGACCGACAUGCUCAAUGUGAUUCAUGUAUGCCUGUCCUCAUAGGCUAGCGCCGCUUUGGGUUCACGACUAGCCAUGUCGGCCCGGGUUCUCUGUCAUAUGGAUGCUAGCGACACUAUCAUAUACGUGAGCCAAAAGGCGCAAACGGUCCCGGGCCAGGUAAGGUGGCACCCGUGGGAGUACCGUGCGUGAGGCCGCAAAGCGAUAUGAUGUGUUACAUGCUGGAUCGAUGUGACCUUGAAUCGGGGUCCUGACAGCGUUGGUAUCAGAGCCUGACUGCCUGUAGGAUUACCAAGCCAAACUGGUCGAAGUUGUGUCUAGAAAUGCUUUAGUUAUGUAAGGGAAUUGAUUGUGGAAGGGAACGUAAGGCUCUUUUACUCCUUAUACCUCAUGGCCUUCUGAUCUGAGUCAACCUCUUCUUUUCUACGGGGGUUAAGAACUAGGCCUUCUCAUCUAUCUAUCAGGAUGACGUGUUACUAAACCGUAGUUGCCUAAGAUUGUUGAGUUCAAGUCUCAAAUCAGUUCCUACUACUUCCAUAUGUUCUUAGCUGGUCUCAGAACAUUGAUAUUGUGAUGUUGAGUGGCUAUACCACCAUUUUUGCAGGUUGUCUCAAAUCUUUUGAGCAUUUACAGCCGUUAUGCUGUCCGAGUCAUCCCAGGUCUCUAAACAGUCUGAUGCAUUUGCAAAUCCUUUCUCUCCAUUCCCGAUAUCCUUUUUGGUCAGAAUAAGCACACUAAUCGGUCUGUUGAGGUACUCCGUUGCCUCGACAUGUAUGUUGGAGCUAUUUUUAUGACCCUAGGUGUUUAGGGAGUCACCUAGUAAUCUAGCAAUGCUAUGUGUUCCCGGUGUGAUGAUUCUGGCCACCAUUCUCGAAAGCAUCCCGUGAUGCCAUUUAGUAGUAGGCAUUCUACUCCUGGGUCUUGAACCCGAGAUUCACCAUACUUACCUCAUGUUGUUAGUAUUUGCUAGUCCCUUUAGAAUAUUAGUAACCUUUGCGUUAGUCCGCGAGGUCCAUGGUACUUCCUUCUUCCAAAUGCCAUGAACCAUCCUUGGCAGAAAUUCGUUUUGAAUCAAAAUAUCACAACCAGGGUGUUCUUGAGGAGUACUCCAUGCAUAUUGUGAUUCUGCCAGUUCUCCCUUUCAGCAUGGGUUAUCCGGAAGAAAUAUGUUGAACUUGGUUCGACAUAUUAAUCUAUGCAUCCACAACUCAGAAAGUUAUAUGUUCCUUGAGUUGACCCUCUUCAGCUGUAUUCCGACCCUAGUCUAUCAAUUGAUAGUCAGGAAUAGUUGUGCAUUCGUGUUCAUCGAUGCCUAUUAUUCUUGUGGUCUGUCAAGCCAUUCUAGUUCAGAAUGACUGGGAGAAACAAACUCCAGUACCUCAUCCAUAUCUAGGGGUGGGUCAAAGCAAUUGUAUUCUGCAGGAUGAAUGCCAAUCCAGCUUUUGUCUUGUUCUACCUUGGAGUGUUACCAUCUUUAUGUCAAGAGUGUCAUGAGAAUUGCACCACCUCUUAUGAAUUCUUGACGCAGUAAUACUUCUCGCUAUCAUUAUUCAUUCCUCGGUUUCGUGUUAUUGUAACCGGAAUGCCGACAAGUGAAUCAUGUUGUGUGAAAUCAAUACUCCUAGCAACUGUGUUGCUUGGUAGUUAAUGGACACUAUUUUCAAUCUUAGCAUGCUGGUUACUAAAUCAUCAUCCUAAGAUUGAUCGUGCUACCUAGUCCUUAUUUCUGGUGCACUCUUCGAUCAAUGAGUUAGGAUUUUGCCAAACCCUCGCCCCUUUUGAUCACAUCAUCUUGCCCUGAAAAGCAAGAUUGGUCUCGAGCUUAGUAUCAUAUCGGUGAUUCGUGAUUUUCCGAAUAUCUUCUCGGAAGUGUUACCAGGUUGUCACCUGACCGCUAUGUUGAGUUCGUGAUCCAGUUGGUUUCUUGUAAACCACCCCUUCUCCAAGAAUCCGUGUUGGAUAUCCCGGAGCUGGUUGGUUAAGCUAAACAACAACUUGGAGAGUUGGAAGAUAAAAGCUUAAUCCACCUAGUUCAUCUCUAACGGAUAUCCUUGUGUGUGUGUGUUGAAGAGAGAUGAUAUCUUCCUCGAUUGAUCCCUGUGAUCAGUUGUUGAACCUAUUGUCUUACCAAAUCUUUGAUUUGAGUAUGGGCUAUCAUCAAGUCAAAUCAGUACCAACGAUGUUCGUAAUGUUGUCUUACCCGUGGUUGAUCCCUCGAGCAUACACCAUUAUAUCAUUUGGUCUGACCAAUGCUAUCACCGUGUUCACAUGAUGGUGGAAGUCCAGUGAUAUGGAAAUUCCGAUGAGUUGUUGUUGAGCCCAUCAGCAGCAUUUUGUCUCCCCCAUGAUUCAUGCUGAACAUCAACCUAGUGUUGAAAAUUUUAUAAGCAAUGCCUUCAUGUUCCGCUCAUGAGGUAUAUGUUUGGAUGCAAGGAGUGACUUCCUCUAAUUCACGUGCGUUUGAUGUAAGUUGUCGCCAUGAGUUUGAGAAAGGUUUGUUUUGUUUUCCUUGGAAUCAUCCCAAAUCAGUCAUGCAUACGUGCGAAGUAUUCUAUGGUUUGGCAGAUUGAUUACCUCCACUCCAUAUGUGUUCCUAGCACACCAAGCCACUAAUUGAUUUGUCCAGGGAGGAGAAGUUCCUUCUUAAGAGCAUGCCUUAUGCAAGGACUUCGUAAUCCUUGAUGAUGGUUCCCCAUCGGAACUCGAUAGUGUUUAUUGUAAGACUACCAUGUGGUCAUGCUUGUCUAGGACAGUGUGUUCACAGGCUUGUAGCAGAACCAGCUCAUGUUUUGGAGCUUGCUAUUGUAGUUCAUUUCCCGAGAAUCUCGCAACGCCAUCUCGUCGAUUUGUGUUGCAAACUUUCAUUUUCUUCUAGACUCGAUAAGUCUGGAAUAUUCUGUUACCAACCAGAUCUGAAUCUCAGGCAGAUAUGAUGGUUGGAACUUUUCCAAGAUCUAUUAUGUAGGUCCCGACAAGGUUGAUGUCUGGCCGACACACCUAGCCGGAAGAUCUAUCAUUGUAGUAUCUUGAUUAAACUAUUUAACCAUCUUCUUCAUGAGGAUCUCGCGCGACUUAUUAUAGAAGUUGCUUUCUAGGGAUUCUUGUGCUCUUGGUUUCCUCGAUUAAGCUAAAACCAUUCAAACGGUGAAAUCACCCUCGUUGAGUUAUUCUCAGUCACCAGAAUCAUUCCCAGCAUUUGCAUUUUGUUCCCAGCUUGCACCUCAGCAUGAUGUCUAGAAUCAUCUUCAAAAGUGGACUUACCAUGGGUCCCAUCCAUUUCCGGUGAUAAGCAAAAUCAUCUAUUGCGUUGUCUUCAACAAGGUAGUCCACAUCUUUCGUUCUAGUCCAAGUAUGUCACCUUUCGAACUCCUUCAAACGAUCGUUUGUGAUUGCCUUAGGCUGGUAUGAAGAAUUUCAAUGAUCUCUGUAUCAGAAGUAAUUCUUUUUGCCACUUAAGGGAAUAAUACUACGAGUCACCUUCUCUGAGGUGCCCCGUUAUGGAAUCAUGGCAAUUUUCCUUGCUACUUUGAAACCCUCGUCAAAUUGUUUCCUCUGUCGCUCCUGAUGCAAGUUUUGCCUCUCAGCUCCCGAGAUGUUCUAUGUCUCAUUUCGUGAGUUGAUCCUGAGUUGUUCGAUCUUCGAGAAGAUCGAUCCUUCUGGAGUUUUCUCUUUUCUCUCAUUGUCAUGUUGGACGUAGUUCUCAAAGCAAGAUGUCAAGAUCAAGGUGAUGCAAUCAACAUCUUCGAGAAGGACAGUUGGAUCAAGAAGAUUGUAUUAGUUUUGUGACCCCUCUGUCUUCUUACCUCACGUCUUGAAUCUCGGGCCGAGAUUCUUGUUUAGUGGGGGUGAGUUGUCACAGCCCUAGAAUUGCUAGUAGUUAGUUGCAUCUGUGAGCAUCCAUGCAUCAUGUUAGUUUCAAAUAAAUUUGAAAUGGGGAUGACAGAAACCCCCAGCACCUCCCCUGAAACUAACUAGGGCUUACUAAAAUUAGUUUCAAUAAACCCAAAAUGCCUUCACAAAAUGUUCAUCAUUUCUGGUUUGGGCUAAAACCCCUGGCAAAAAUGGUGCACACUUUUUAGGACAUUCUGGAGUUUUUUUGAAUUAAAUCCUAAGUAUUUGAAUUUGGACAUUUAAAUUCUAUAAAAUAUUUUAAAUGUCCAAAUAAUCUUGAAAGCAUUUGAGGGCUGUUGGAAAUAUUUUCAAAAGUGCCCACAAUUAUUUUCAGGACUUUACAAAGUGAGUUAGUAUUUUUACUAAUUCAAAACAGAUCAAAUAAAUAGAAAAGAGAACAAAAUAAAAAAAAACAGAGAGAGGAAACUUACCUGGCCUUACCUGUAGUCGGCCCAGCUGCAGUGGCCGGCCCAACACUGUUGGCCCAGCCCAUCUCUCCCCCUUGUCUUCUUCCAGCUCAGGCCAGAAGGACUGGAGCGCGCGUGGCCGACGCCCGCCGGCACGCGCACGGCCACCUCCUGCUUGCCGCUUCGCCCCGGCCUUCCUGGGGACUGCCACGCAGGCCUUGGACCCCCCUCGUCCUCUCCCCUCUCUCCCUGGAUCUCCUUCCCCUCCCCUGCUCUCUCUCUCUCUCGCGGCGCCACCGCACAGAGAGUCGCCGACGAGAACCACCACGGCCACAGCCACCCCCUCGCCCUUCUGUUGUGCCCACGAGCUCCGCCCCGUCCCCCUCUUCCUCCUCACCAAGACGGAAGGCGCCGGAAGCCUUGGAUGUCGCCAGUUCCGCCGUUCCCCUCCUCGGCCACCGGGGAUCACCGCCGUCGAUUUGCCGCCGUCUCCGCCUCCCCGAGCUCGCUGAGACCGUCUCCAACCCCACUGUGAGCUCCGUCAUCUUCUCCCCUGCUUCCCGCGCUCGUACGCACUCUCUAGCCACCCCCUCUAUCAGAACCGAGCCGCUCCGCCGCACGAGCUCGACGCCGGCGUCACUCCGGUGAUCCUUUUGGUCACCGCUGGUGCCUAACGCAUUCUCCGCACUCCGCAAUGUCUCGCUAGUGCCUCUGUUCGCCCGCUAGCACGCCGCAGCAGCAAAACGACCGAGGCCCGAGCACCGGCCGCCGCCCAGCUUGUUGCCGCCGCCGUUGCACGCCAUCCCAGCACACACCGAGGCCACCGUCAGAUGCGCCGCAUCACCGGCUUUCGAACGCGCCCAGCCUCGCUUCCAUCCGACGCCGGAGUUGUCCGGACGGGCAUCGCCGCCGCGCUCCGGUUAUCGCCGGAGUUAAUCCGGUGAUGUGGUAGAUUAAGAGCUAAUGACGCAGUUAGUUAACCCUCCUAGCUCACUGACACCUGGGCCCCACGCCAUAAUUAACCUCAGUCUAAUUUCUGCUUAGGGUUAACUAAAUCAAGCGGGCCCACGCGUCAGCUUUGACCAAGCUGAUGUGGCCGUUGACUGGCCCCACACAUCAGUGACCCAAGCCAGCCCUAAGACACUGACGUGCGGGUCCCAGUUGUCAGGUUUGACCCUGGGCGACCCAGUUGACCUGCUGACAUCACAAUGACGUCAUGCUGACGCAGUAUUGAUUUUCUGGAAUUAAAAUAAAUCAGGAAAUCCAGAAAAUGUCCUAAACUUUGGAAAAUCAUAGAAAUUAAUCUAUAACUCCAAUGGAAAUAAUUUAUAUAUGAAAAAUUAUCAGAAAAAUUCAAGGAAUCUGAAUAUGGCAUUUUCAUGCAUGUUUGAACAACUUAACCUCCCUGUUUAGCCAAAACAUGAUAAUGCACCAUUUGAAUUCAUAGUUUGAAUUUGAAUUUGAACCUUGAGUUCAAUUCAACCCAAACCUUUCUGUUACUAGCUGCAUUAGCUCAAUCAACAGCAUAUUUCCAUGUCACAUUCAUGCAUCAUACUGUUGCAUUGCAUUGAUUGUGUUUCUUCUCUGUUGCCGGUAUUCGUUCCCUCUCGGUAGCCGAUGUUUCGACGAUGAGUUCGAUGACACCGAUGAAGAACUAUAUUAUCUUCAGAAGUGCCAGGCAAGCAAAACCCCCUUGUUCAUUCCGAUACAAUCCUACUCUCUCGCUCCUGCUCUCUUUUACUGCAUUAGGACAAUAACGAUUCAACUGUUACAUACUGCGAUAGCUGAACCCCUUUAUCCUCUGCAUGACCUGUCAUUCCACAGUAAAUAGAUGAAACCCACUAGUAUGAGUAGGAGUUGUUUGAGCCCUGUUGUGCCUACUCAUUCAUGUUUGUUUGUCAUGCCUGCUACUGCUUAGAGUUGAGUCGGGUCUGAUUCAUCGGGUAUGAAUCGAAAUGAUGAUGAACAUGUCCUACUGUGUGUGAGCUAAGUGUGUGAACACGAUUUGGUAAAGGUAGCGGUGAGAGGCCAUGUAGGAGUACAUGGUGGGUUGUCUCAUUGCAGCCGUCCUCAGGAACUGAGUUCUGUGUUUGUGAUCCAUGAAACAGUUACUACCACACAUUGGGAUCCUUAAUUGACUCUCUCGGCUUCUUAAUCACCCUUGUCCUCUGUCCAGGAGUUGCAAGUAGUUUCUGGUGUUUGUAGUAUGCUGGGGGCCGCACGCAGCGCUGACCGUAGGGGUGGGCUGUGUUGCGGUAGGCACGUGGCACGGUGUACCGAUUCGCCCGUUUGGUGUCUCGGGAACCCUGUUCACAUCGUUCGGGGCCGUUAGUGGAAACCUCGGCCGGACUCCCUGCGGAUGGAACCCGAAUAGGCGAUAAACCUGGACUAGAGACUUGAGUGUUUAGGUAGGCUGUGGCCGACACCCUCGCUGGGCUUCCGCUUGAAGGUUGCCGAGUACAUGUCGUGUAAACGGCGGUAAGUGGUGAGAGCGUGUGUGAAGAAGUACACCCCUGCAGGGUUAACAUCAUCUAUUCGAAUAGCCGUGUCCGCGGAAAUGGACUUCUGGGUUGCCUAUAUCAGUUCAUAGACAAGUGAAAGUGGAUACUCUAAAAUACGCAAGAUAAGCGUGAGUGCUAUGGAUGGCCUUCUCGUAGGGAGACGGAAGUGGAUCCAUAGUGGUGUAUUGAUAUGGUGAAUAUGUGGACUCGUGUGCGCCACCUCAAAAGAGUCGCUUGCAGUCGUAGUUCAGGAUAGCCACUGAGUCAAAGCUGGCUUGCUGCAGUCAAACUCCACCACCCCCUUUGUUGAUACUGAUGCAUGUGUAGUUAGCUCUGAUGUAAGUCUUGCUGGGUACAUUUGUACUCACGUUUGCCUAUUUUAUGUUUUGCAGAGAGACUUCAGUCUCACUAGUAGUACCGCUUGGACUUCGACGUUUAGCUUGAUACCUCAGCUACGAUCUUGUGCCCUCGGCAGGAUCUGGUGGAUAGUCAGGCUUCUCAGCCUUCUUCAUUUAUAGAUGUCUGUACUCAGACAUGUUUAGCUUCCGCAUGUGCUUGAUGCUUGUAUGCUCUGAAUGUUGGGUCAUGAGACACAUGAUUGUAAUAUCUCGCUCCUCGGAGCCUAAUGAAUAAAUACUUUGAGUCGUAGAGUCUUGUUGUGAUGCCAUGUUGUAUUUACACAUAUCGAGCAUAUUGUGUGUAUGAUGAUUGAAAUGCUUGGUAUGUGUGGGAUCCGACUAUCUAGUUGUUUAUCCUUAGCAGCCUAUCAUAUGGGGAAAUGUAGGUCUAGUGAUUCUGAGCAAUAGUAGUCCGCUACAGCCCGGUUCACCGGAGUCCUGCUAGCCCAGCACUACUGCUUGGACACUUGACUGGCCGGCAUGUGUUUCACGUUGUUCCUAUGUCUGUCCCUUCGGGGAAAUGUCUCGCGUGUUAUUCGGAGUCCUGCCUAGCCUGCUACAGCCCGGAUUACCGGAGUCCUGUUAGCCCAGUGCUACAGCCCGAAUAAAUCUCGUGCUGACCGACAUGCUCAAUGUGAUUCAUGUAUGCCUGUCCUCAUAGGCUAGCGCCGCUUUGGGUUCACGACUAGCCAUGUCGGCCCGGGUUCUCUGUCAUAUGGAUGCUAGCGACACUAUCAUAUACGUGAGCCAAAAGGCGCAAACGGUCCCGGGCCAGGUAAGGUGGCACCCGUGGGAGUACCGUGCGUGAGGCCGCAAAGCGAUAUGAUGUGUUACAUGCUGGAUUGAUGUGACCUUGAAUCGGGGUCCUGACAACUUGUAGUUUGACUCGGAUUCUGCUGCAACAUCAGAUUGUUUCGGCCAUAACUCAACGCUCCGGAUGAAUUUGAAGGUGAAUCCAAUUGUGUUGGAAAGUGCAUGAAAUCUACUUUUUAACAAAAAAAAAGAAUCACCCAAUUCGGAGUCCGUAUGAAAAAGUUGUUGGCGUUUUGAAUCAGGUAUGUCUGUGCAGUCCGAAUCUGAAUCCAGAACGUGAGAGACUUGGACUCUAUCUUCUCUUGGCCCAAAAGUGACGUGAAAGGACUUUUUGAACAUAAACUAAACUUCUCCUUUUCCCUUAUCUUCAUAUGUGGAUUGUACAAAUGUCCCAUACACCUGCAAUUAGACAAAACACAAACGUGUGUGAAGUAUUUUUGUUCUGGAUAAUAUAAAUAGAUUAUUGAAUAGUUUGCACUAGAAAUCACAUGACAAAUAUGCACGUAUACAAUAUUUUUGGUCGUAUCCAAGGUAGUCAUGUCCUCAUCAGUUCCAUACCCCUAGUUGAGGAAGUCUUGGACCUUUUUAUAUAAUGGGUUCUCUACACCACACUUAUUGAGGUGUGAAGGAGAGAAAUAGAAGAACACACGCGCACGCGCUAGCCGGGCUCGAGGCGGGCGACAUGCGGGCAGUGGCGAAUCCAGGAAGAAAAUGAAGGGUGGGCUCAAAGUUAACGGCGAGAAAACUAAACGCCAUUUUAAAGAGAAAAAACAUCAUCUCCUAAUCCUUUGUUGAAUAAGCUAUGAUUUUUCCAGAAUACUACUGAAAAUAUGGAUUGUUUAUUGGCAUUUUUUUGGAAGUGUCAAAUUUUGAACGGAAAUUUAAAUCUGUCUAGCCAAAUAGUCGUUAUCUCUCAUUCCCCCUUUUUUCAAACAAGCUCAAACUUUCCUAGCAAAAUACAGGCACUAUCUCUGAAUACCUUUCUUCAAAUAUCAAAUUUUGAACCAAUUUUUGAAUUUGUUUAGCGGAAACAUGUAGUAUUUGCUGGAUGUUUUUUUAAAUAUCAAAUUUUGAACCAAUUUUUGAAUUUGUUUAGCAAAAUACAGGCACUAUCUCUGAAUACCUUUCUUCAAAUAUCAAAUUUUGAACCAAUUUUUGAAUUUGUUUAGCGGAAACAUGUAGUAUUUGCUGGAUGUUUUUUUAAAUAUCAAAUUUUGAACCAAUUUUUGAAUUUGUUUAGCGGAAACAUGUAGUAUUUGCUGGAUGUUUUUUUAAAUAUCAAAUUUUGAACCAAUUUUUGAAUUUGUUUAGCAAAAUACAGGCACUAUCUCUGAAUACCUCUCUUCAAAUAAGCUAAAAAAAAUCAGAUUGCUACUGAAAACAUGUACUUCGUAUUUACUGUAAUUGUUCUGAAUUUUUUGAAAAUCAAAUUGAACUUUAUAUUUGGUAUUGCCCAUUUAAACAGACAAAAUUUGGUAUUGCCGGCUCUCUGCUUGACUGGCCAGCCAUCGGGCAUCGCUAGAUGAGUGUGUGUCAUCUCGCUCUCAUGUGUACCUACUUGAUGUGUUUUCCGCUACUUGCUUGUGUACUAUUGGUGUUGUUUGCUGAGAGCCUGAGACCGAGAGAUUGGGUUGCUGGGUUGGAUGAAGUAUAGUAGUAAAAAAAAUUAUAUUUUUGGAGGGUAGGCUAGAGUCUGUUGAAGCCCCCCUACUGGACUCGCCACUGCAUGCGGGUGAAUGAUCCGCCGAAAUUCAGGUUGUUGCCUUGCAAGGGCGCAACUUCCUUUUGCUGUUUUAUUUUUUGAUGUCUUUUCAGACAAGUUGGUUUGAGAUCGUGAUCCAACAUGAUACCGCCUCUGGUCCUAUUAUUAUAUAUACUGCUACCAGUCGCAGCCAAAGAUGUUUCAUGUACGAUGCUUAUGUAUGUGCAUGUUUUUCUGUUCACCUAGUAUGGUAGAUCGUUGCAUGUUAAUUUCUAUUAUAGUCAUAAAUUAUUUACUGGAAUUAAUCAUAAAUUUGCCUAGUAUUCCAACAGCAGGUAGGAACUCUAAAAAAUACAUGCGAUAUUUUAAAAAAUGGUGAGAACACGUCAGCUGGGAGCACAUAAUCCUCCAUGCGCGCCCUGCUCUGGACCGACACAUGGAUAUACUGUACCUAUACAGUACUCCCUCUGUAAACUAAUAUAAGAGUGUUUAGAUCACUACUUUAGUAUUUUAAACGCUCUUAUAUUAAUUUACGAAGAGAGUAUUAUUUAAAGUUCCGCGCUGAAGCCAGCCAAGCCAGGUCUUGGGACGCGGCCGGGACAGGGGUGGAUGGUGGACGGGUCCGUCGGGGCACGGCAGCACCAUGUAGCAAUCGCAUGCAUCCUCUGCUCUCCGGUUUAUUGUGCACAGCAGCUCGAUCAUUCGUCGAUCGCUCAAAACAAAUUCCAUACGUGCUGCACCUAGUUAUACGUAAAUCGCUUUGGAAAUUUCUCGGGUGCUGCCGUGCGGACGCGCGGCUCGGUGUUCACACUUUGACAGUUGACACACGCCGGAGGCAGCUUCGUCCGUUCCUUCCUUCCUUCCUUCGUUCGCGCUUGCGCCUGUUUUGCAAGAUUUUUUCUCUAGUACAGGCGCAUAUAUAUGUGGGUCCGUCUAUGUCACAUCUAGAUGUGAGAUAAUAUCUCACAUCUAAGUAUGAUGUCAGCGCCAUCUAUUUUUUUCAUUGUUUCUCCUGUUUGUCUGAUUUUAAUUCGUCAAAGCCCAAAACUAAAACCAGCUCGCAUGUGUCCGCCUGUGCGGCCGUCUUAUAAAUCUGGUCGCUACUGGUCGCUAGCUACACACACACAAGGCAUGUGCGGCCGUCUUAUAAAUCUGGUCGCUACUGGUCGCUAGCUACACACACACACAAGAAAAAAAACUGAUCGAUACUCACUAGUGCUAACAUCGAUUAUCUAGCUUUGUCGUUUGAUCACUAUACAUUUACAAGUCCGUCUCUCAUUGCUAGCUUCUAGACUACCAAUGAUUUUCUUUUUUUGCCUUUUGAUUUUUUCGCUUUCACUCUUAUAUUUAUAUUUAAUUUUCAGUAAGAAACAAAGUUUCAUCAAAACAUAUUUCAAAAACAUGUUCACGAAUUUACAUAAAAAAAUCAAAUUAUAAAAAUGUUAACGAAUACCAAAAAUGUUCUAGUAUACAGUGAACAAAUCUUUUAAUAUUUGAUGAUCAUUUUCUAAAUACACACUAAAUCUUUUGAUGUAUACAUUGAACAUGUUUUUAAUAUAUACUAAAUUUUUUAUAUACGAUGAAUUAAAAAAGCGGACUUUUUAUAUACAUUGAACUAAAAGCGAACAGGCUAAAAAAAAGGAAAACCAAAUAGAGAAAAUAGAUAAUAAGAAGAGAACAAACAAAUAAUACAUUUUUUAUUUUUUUAAAUGGUAAGCACGGACACUUGUAGUAAAAUGAACAAAUUUACGAAUUUUGGAAUAUUUAUGGAAAUUUUUGAAUUUAUGAAAAGAGAAAAAUAAAAAUAAAAAGCGAAAAAAUGAGAUCAACAUCUGAAAAAUAGAUAAUUUAAAAGGAGAAGAAAACCAAUGAAGAAAAAAAUAACAAAAUAAAAAAAGAAAAACAUUAAGAAAACAAAACAAAAUAAAACAUAAACGUAUCCAGGGGAGGCUCAUCUGCGGUUUGUUUGCUCACGAGGAUGACCCCCAGUGGCGAGUCGAGGAUGGACUCGCAAUUGGGACUAAAAAAGGUCGGACCCAGUUGCGAGUCGAGUUUUGAUUUGCAUCUGGGACAGAAAAGGUUAGGCCUCAGUUGCAAGUCGAGGGUAGACAUGCAACUGGACAAGGAAAGGUCGAAGCUCAGUUGCGAGUCGUGGACUUUGCAACUCAGACCAAAAAAUAGGUUGGGCCCCAGUUGCAAAUCGAGGGUGGACUUGCAAUUGGGACUAAAAAAAAUCAGACCCAGUUGCGAGUCGAGGGUGGACUUGCAACUCAGACAAAAAUGGUUGGACCCUAGUUGCGAGUUGAUGGUGGACUUGCAACUCGGACAAAAAAGGUCUGAGCCCUAGUUGAUGGUGGAGUUUGCAACUCAAUGGUCGACUUGCAACUAGGAUGAAACAAGUUAUGGGUCCAGUUGUGUGUCAAGGAUGGACUUGCAAAUGGGAUGAUAAACAAAAGACAUCAACUAGUUGCGAGUCGAGGGUGGACAACUACGAGCCCAAUUGAGAGUCAGAGAUGGACUUGCAACUAGAACAACUACAAAAUUACGAGCCUAGUUGCGAGUCAAGGGUCGACUUGCAACUAGGAUACAACAAACUACGAGACGAGUUACGAAUCAAUGGUGGACCUGCAACCAGGCCAAAAACAUUAGUUGUGAGACAUGAUGGACUUACAAUUGACACGGAAAAAGUGAGACUCGGUAGUUACUUGAGGAUGAACUUCCAACUGAUGCAAAAAAAAAGUAAGGCCCGAUUACGAUUCAAAAGAAACAUCGAGGCCAGCGGCAAGUCGAGGGGGACUUAAAACUGGAGACAAAAAAUGCCAGUUAUGAGUUGAGAAUGGACUUACAACUAGGACAACUACAAACUAUGAGACGAGUUGCGAGUCAAGGGUCGACUUGCAACUGGGAUAAAACAAACUACGAUCUUACUUGCGAGUCAAGGAUGGACUUGCAACUAGGAUGAAAGAAAAAAACUAAGGCCCAGUUGCGAGUCAAGGGUGGGCUUGCAACUGGGAUAAAAAAAUACGGGCCUAGUUAUGAGUCGAGGGUGCAUUUAUACCUGAGACUAGUAUAUAAAACUAUGAUACGAGUUGCGAGUUGAGAGGUUGGACUUGCAACUGAGAUGAAAACAAGCACACCCUAGUUGCGAGUCGAGCGUAGACUUGCAACUGGGACAUCAACAGACUAUGGGACCAGUUGCGAGUCGACAGUGGACUUGCAACUAGGACAACAACAAACUAUGAUCCCAGUUGCAAGUCUAGGAUGGACUUGCAAUUAAGACAUCUAUGAAACAAAUCACCCAGUUGUGGGUCAAGAGUCAACUUGCAAAUAGAAUGAAACAAACUACGGUCCCAGUUGUGAGUCAAGGUUGGACUUGUAACUGGGAUGAAAACAAAACAGGUGCCUAGUUGCAAAUCGCGGGUGAGCUUGCAAUUCAGAGAACUAUGAGCCCAGUUGCGAGUCAAAGGUGGACUUGUAAUUGGGACAACUACAAAACUACAAGUCCAGUUGCGAGUCAAGGGCCGACUUGCAACUAGGACGAAACAAACUACAUUCCAAGUUGCGAGUCAAUGGUGGACUUACAAAUGAGAUGAAAGACAGAAACACAGGCCCAGUUGCGGGUCAAAAGGUUGGCUUGCAACUCGGAGGGGGGCUUGCACGUCACACGACUAUGAGCCUAAUUGCGAGUUUAUGGUGGACAUGCAACUGAGACAACUACGAAACUAUGAGCCUAGUUGCGAGUUAAGGGAUGACUGGCAACUCAGACGAAACAAGCUAUGAGCCAGUUGCAAUCAAAAGGUAGACUUGCAACUGGGAUGAAAAACAAAACACAUGUUCUAGUUGUGAGUAGAGGAAGGGCUUGCAACUUGGACAACUACAAAUCCAGUAGUGAGUCUAGGGGGACUUGCACCUGGGACAACUACGAAAUUACGAGCCAGUUGCGAGCCAAGGGUUGACUUGCAACUUCGAUGAAACUAGCUAUGGGCCCAGUUCAGAGUCAAGGGUGGACUAGCAACUGGGAUGAAAAACAAAAACACAUGCUCAAAUUGUGGGUCGUGAGGGGGCUUGCAAGUCUGACAAUUACGAGCCUAGUUGCGAGUCAAGGGUCGACUUGCAACUAGGAUGAGACAAACUACAUGUCAAGUUGCGUGUCAAUGGUAGACCUGCAACUGGGAUGAAAAACAAAAACACAUUCCCCAGUUGUGAGUCGAUGGUAGACUUGCACCUGGGACAACUACGAACUACAGGCCUGGUUGCAAGUCAAUGGUCGACUUGUAACUAGGAUGAAACAAACUACAUGCGGGUUGUAUGUCAAGGGUGGACCUAUAACUGGGAUGAAAAAUAAAACAUAGGCAAAAUAACCGGGGUGAAAGAUUGGUCAGUGAGAAGAUGGGGAAUAAGCUUCAUAGUUGAGCCCCCCAAACACCAACAUAUAUAGGCUCAUGUGAAAAUAAAUGCGAGAACAUGACAGAAAAAACGAAACGGAACAAGAGGACGGGCGACAAAAAGAACAAGCUGACACAGAAGUGCAUGAUCAAGUUUGUGCGAACAUUAAACCAAACAAAUCAAACAAUUAUAGAUUUAGAUGAGCUAAAACUUAUCUAGAUUAGAUUUAGCAAAUCUGAAAUCAAAACAUCUAGUUACACUCCCUCCUAGCUACACGGUCAAACAAAAAAUAAAAGAAAAACAGGGAACAAAGAGACAUGUGUUCCUCCACAAAAAGGCUAGGCCCACACAAAAAUCAAUAUGCAAAACAUAAUAAAGGCCCAUUAAAAAAUGUCAUAUCUGGUCUCACGCUUCGCUAAGGACAAACAGAAAACAUGACGCAAGGACACCGAGCAUGAAUCAGAAGCACGUGUAUCUAACGGUAUAUGAGUUAUAUGAAAAAUUGUUAACUCUCAUAUAGAUAAUAAUUAGCAAACCAAUCUGAAACAAUACCUCAGACCGCGUCGCAAAAAUGGCCUAACAAAAGACACACGCGUGGACAAGCCGACAAAUAGACACCAAACACACGACACGACACAGAGCGCGUGUGACAAAAUAACCCGCAAUCAAGAUUUGCACGACAUUUCAAGCGAACAUAUGACAGAGUGAAAACAAGUUCAUGUUUUUUAAACGAAGAAAUAAAGAAAAAAAGAAAAAUAAUAAAGAAAAAGGUGAAAAUAGAAAAAAUAAUAAAAAAUCAUGAACUUGAAAUAGUUUAUAAUUUAAAACAAAUAACGAAAUAGAAAAAACAAAAUAAGGAAAACAAAACGGAAACGGAAAAAACAAAUACUGUGAGUCAAAUGGAAGUGUAGAAAAACGAGAGGAACUAGAACGGUGUAGCACAAACUUGUGAAAAGAAAUAGAAAAAAGCAAUCGACGUGGCACUAGCAACGCAUAGGCUUUGUGAAAAUCAACAACGGAACCUUGCACUAGCAACGACCUGACAGGCAGCGCACGAGAGAACGCGCCGCAAGCCAGCGCACCAUCCAGACCAUCACGUUUUACACAAAUAUUAAAGACAGAUGAUCUAACAACUCUAGACUUAGAUGUGAGGUAGCUAUUUCAUAUCUAGAUGUGAAAUAGCAAACCCAUUCAAAGAAAUGUAAAUUCUAAAUAGUUUUCGGACACUUUAUAAAGUUUUCAUGCACAAAAAGUGUUGUGGAUUAAAAGUAAAGAAAAUGGAAAAUGAAAAAAAAUGAAAAAGUGAACACAAGCAGUUGUGUGGCAAGGGCGAGACAUGUAGUUGCGUGUUUGUUGGUGGACAUGCAAUGGACACCCGACAAACAAUUUCAUUUUGUAUCACAAAGUUAUAGUCGUGUUAAAGACAUUAGUUGCAGUUACGGAUGAUACUUGCAACUGUGUGUAUAAUAGAAUACAUUCAGCUGCCCUCCCAACAAACAUUUUUGCCUUGAAUUGCAGUUGCAUUGGAGGUAUGCAGUUGCGGGAUGAAGACGACACUGUAAUUACAUGUUUGAUGAUGGGCAUGCAUCUGACACGAACAAAAAUCAUGAAGUUUUUAAAGACAAAUAGAACAAAAAAUAAAAAAGAGAAAAACCGAACAAAAAACAAAAAAUAACAACAGAAAAAACGAUUGGAAGCUUCUCUCAAAACCGGUAGAAAGAGUCCUUCAUGGAUCAAGCUCAUUCACACACGUACGCUCCGGGGAGACAAAAAACCAAACAACUGGUAGAAAGCAAAAAAUCUCACAAGGACACACUCACAUACAACGACUAGACACAUUUUCCUUCAACAAUUCGCGUUUUCCUGGCUGAAAGCCCACAAAGCACAAAAACGGGGGACCCACAAAAAACAAAAAAGCCCACAACGGGCAGGCGGGUGUGCGCACGUACNNNNNNNNNNNNNNNNNNNNNNNNNNNNNNNNNNNNNNNNNNNNNNNNNNNNNNNNNNNNNNNNNNNNNNNNNNNNNNNNNNNNNNNNNNNNNNNNNNNNNNNNNNNNNNNNNNNNNNNNNNNNNNNNNNNNNNNNNNNNNNNNNNNNNNNNNNNNNNNNNNNNNNNNNNNNNNNNNNNNNNNNNNNNNNNNNNNNNNNNNNNNNNNNNNNNNNNNNNNNNNNNNNNNNNNNAAAAGCGACACAAGACACGGGCUGGACACGAGCUGCCCGCCUCGCGCGACACAGGCUGGACACAGGCUGCCACGCGCGACAAACACGAUGCUAGCAAGCGCACGAGCGAGACGAACAGUCUGCACAAAUCUUAAAGACAAACAAUAUUUAAGGGUUCUAGAUUUAGAUGUGAGAUACUAUUUCACAUCUAGAUGUGAAAUAGCAAACCUGCAUAUAUAUACGUUGGACGACACAUACGUUGCCAUCCUCGCAAAGGGAAAGAAAAGAGAGAGGUACGUGUAUGCUGUGCUGCUAUCGUAUCAUGGCCUUGCCGCCCAGAAGUACUCAUCUCACUUUACAGUCUGAUGACUCGACCAAGAAUGAUUCUGCGGACAACUAUCUUGGGUGUUGGUGUCAUGUCUUUGUCAAUGCAUGUGCUUGUAUACAGCGAUCGAUAUGUGUGUAUUUGUUGCAAUUUAACCGUAUUUGUUGCCUGAUGCGUGGUUGAUAAAAUGCCACUUGAGGUGUCGAACGCGCCCAGGCGCCGGCGGCCACCUGCUUCGAGCUUUCGCUGCCACCUGACCUGAUCGGUAGACGCACGGUGGUGGAUGCCCACUGGCCAAGAAAGAUUCUUCUCCUCUGCGUCUCCUCAAGUGGCCAAGAUCGAUAGAUGCACGGUGGAUGAUCGGUGCCAAGAAACAACGGGGAAAUCGGUGCGACAUGGCAUUAGGGGAAACAGCGUCUUCUCCGCGUGAGGGCUCGCGCGAUCUGCUGCAGCGCGAAAUUCACCGGAACGGCUCCCACGGCUGGACGGAGCGAUCGGCUCAUGCUCUGCCUGAUUGCUCCGUGGCCUGCCCGUUGACGCAUGACUUGGCCGGCCGGUCCGUGGCCUGCAGUGACGCCUGGCCCCUGGCCAUGUAGACGCGGAGACACAUGAGCCGCGGAGUGUGGCACAUGCUUGCUUGCAGUGGCGGAGACGGGGAGGACCAGCAGGGGCCCUAGCCCCCUUAACAUCUUUGAUUUAAGGCUAAUAUCCAUGUCAGUAGUGCUUAAUUGAUGUGUAAAAUGAAGCAUUUUGAUGAGCGGCCCCUCCCCAACAGGACUUUACAACACCUGGCCCUCCUCAUAUGGCUCCCUGCGUGAUGACAGCGGACACAAAGCGUGCGACGAUGGUUGGAUGCGAGGAGCGCCACACACGGUGGUGGACGACGGGUGAUCGGAUUACGCCGAGGCCUCCCAGCUGCCAGUCCUGCUAUAUGAUUUGCUCCAAAUUUGCAAAAAAAGGCCUCAUAUCAUGUUAACAACAAGAGAACCCUCACUCCACUCUUUCCUCCCCCAUCAUUGAGCAGGUGUUGUUUAUUACGUUGCUUUCUUCAAACAUAAAUAUAGUCAUAUAUGUUGAACUGUUCCUCUGAAUUUUGUUUUUCUUUGACCACCAUUUUUGUUUUGACAACAUGUUCAAAACAAGAUCAAUGUUGAGUAUAUUUUUCAAAUUUAUUAUUAUUAUUUUCAAAAGUAACUGUAACAUUUAUAUGUUCAUAUUGAAACUUAUAUUAACUUUUUCAAACUCUACCUCUCCAUGCAUCCACACAUCGAUCCCACGUGCACAUGCUUAAAUAAAAUUUCAAGUGAAGUUUCAAAAGGCAACAUAAUAAUAAUAAUCGAAAAGCAUUUUCGACAUGGAUCUUGUUAAAAAGAUCUCAUCAAGACAAUGUUGAAAAUCAAAACAAAUUCAAAAUCAAACAUUCGGUUCAAAAUAUAUGACCAUUUUUUUUUUGUGUUUGGGUCAGAAAAAACAAACAAAAAAAAUUUAUUGAUGGAAGAAUGGGAUGUGAAGUGCGGGUCACAUAUAACAAAAGCUUCCGUAAACAUCUUACAGUCCGACAUGUGGCGAAAUCUUAUCCGUUGCAUUUUUUCAUCUAGAUGUGCCCUAGACACAUCAUUUUUUCAUCUAAUAUAAUGGCCUGAAAGCUAUUGAUAGAUGCGCCUGGUGCACAGGAUACAUUCUGAGCCUGCCUGACCGAGCGGUGACUUCAUAACCAUCGGACGGGCACGAUCCCGCGGUAUGCACGCGUAAACCGCGCACAUCCCUUCUCCGCUAGCUCAGCUUCCCCCGCAUGAGUGUGCUCGAUCUUGAUUAAAUAGGUUAGCAGUUAGCUACUUAAUCACGUCGGGCAAGCCUCUAGCUAGCUAGCUAUAGAUUCGAUCGAUCCUUCGGCCGGCACGGCUUUGUCGUCAAGCCAUCAGCAAGUGCUGCACCAAGUAGCCAUGCCGGCCAGCACGCUGCUGGUGGUUGGUGGGUGGGUAUUCUCGCCGAUCAUCAAGGAGCUCAUCGGCGAGGCCAGAUCCUUGGUGAGCAGCAAGUACUCGAGCUUCAAACAUCUGACCAAGCACCUCCGUCAGCUUGUAGAUGUCCUGGAGGAGAUGACCGCGACCGUCGAGGCCGUGCAGCAGCAGGCUGAACUGCGGCGCUCCGACGAGGACGUCUCCGCCGGCGGCGGGAUGGCUAGCUGGGUGGGCCGGCUCGUCGACGCCAUCCACGAUGUGGAGUCCGUCCUGGACGUCUUCACCUACGACGACAUCGUCAUGUCCAACCUGCGCGACAACAAGGUCGCUCAGGUUGCUCACUCCGCGGCCAGAGCCGGCCGACGGCUGAUCGGCAGGGACAAGGCGUUCAACCGGCUCAAGAAACUCCUGGACGAGCUUCCGCUUAUCCAGCAGAGCCUGCGGGAUCUCGCCCAGCUGCCGCGGAACGACUCCGGCGGCAGCCGGGGCCGAGGAUACUCGCGCUCCGUGUCACGAAAGGCGACUGGCCCGCUGCUACCGGGGGCGACGGGCCAAGAACUGUUCGUGGGGUACGAGCGGGAGUAUGGCCGGCUCGUCUCGGCCCUGCUCAACGACGUCAGCGACCAGCCCAGUAGCAGCAGCAGCAACAAGAAUGUCGUGGCGGUCAUCGGCCACAGCGGCAUCGGGAAGACCAUGAUCGCUCGGCGGGCAUGGCAUGACGAGAGAAUCAACGGGAACAACAACAAGAAGCACUUCGAUCUGAUGGUGUGGGCGAGCGUUGGAUGCAUGUUCACCGAGACCGAGCUGUUGGCCGAGAUCUGGAGGUCCAUCCCCGGAUCAAGCGGCGUGGAGGAGAAAUGCGCCGCCGCGGGGAUGAGCUUCGGCGUGCUACAGCAGGCGAUCAGCGGGCUGGUCGGCUCCAGGAGGUGCCUGCUCGUGCUCGACGACGUGUGCAACGACGAGUCCGGCCGUGACUGGACGGAGAAGAUGAGGACAACUUGGGAGGACGUGCUAGCCCCGUUCCGGGACGGAGGCAACGGGAGCAGGAUCCUGGUGACGUGCCGAGCUACCAUCUGCGCCAAGGUGCUCGGUGCCGGCACCAAGAUCCCGCUGAAUGGGCUCCGUGCCGACGACCUCGUCCUCGUGCUCAAGAAAACCGCCUUCGGUGACGCCCAUAAAGAAACUCCGGUUCUCGACGGUGUGAUCAGGAGUGUCGCGGAGCAGCUGAGGGGCUCGCCAUCGGCGGCGAAAACUAUCGUCGGCAUGGUGAGGAAUAAACAACGGAAGAAAGACUGGAAGAAACUGUUGGAGAAGGUAGGGUCAUGGUACGCCGGUGAGGUUCCUCUUGCUGGCGCUGCCUACGAGUCCAGCCUGCGGUCUUGCUUGAAAUUUUGCAGCAUGUUCCCCGACAAAUGGGAGUUCGAGGCUGAAACGUUGGUCAAGAUGUGGAUUGCACAUGGCAUCAUCCGCGGUGACCACGGCCAGAGCAUGGAGGAUGUCGGGAGAGAAUACGUCAGAGCGCUACAGGCAAGGUCCAUGCUCAAAACCAUCUCCAGGGAUGGCAGAGCGACCUGCUUUGCCAUCCAUGAGCAGGUGUCAGUCUGCGCGACCGGGUUCUUGAGAUUAAGCAACGAUGAUCUUGUCAGAAGAAGGGGUAGCAUCCCGGCAAGUGUUCGACACCUAUCCCUGACCGGCGGAGGUUGCCUUGCCCUAGCACAGCUCAAGGACAACCCUGUGUUGAAGAAGCUGCGGACACUGUUAAUCUUCGAUGAUGGCCACUCAAGCUCGGGCACUGCUGUUUCCGCCAUUGACAACCAUGUACUGAAGCAGCUCAAGGCCGUCAGAGUGGUCGACUUUGCCGGCACACGCAUCACCGAGUUGCCGAAAGGCGUCGGCAAGCUGAAGCAUCUGCGGUAUUUAGGUCUGCCCGACUCUGUCAGGAGCAUUCCGGCCGCGGUUACCAAGCUGCUGCACCUACAGACACUGUCUCUCGGCAAAGACUGCAAGCUUGAUGGCGACCAUGGGUUCCCGGGUGAUGGCAUGAGCAGGUUGAUCAACCUUCGGCACCUCGACAUGGACAUGAAGUACGUUGCCAUGAUACGUGGCAUCGGGAGGCUGGAGAAACUCCAGGGAUCAGUAGAGUUCUGCGCCGACAGGGGAAGGGGGCAUGGCAUGGAAGAGCUCGCAGGCAUCCACUCCAUCCACGGCACGCUCACCGUGAAGGGGCUUCAGGCCGUCGCCAACAAAGAAGAAGCUCAGAAGGCUCAGCUCGGCAGGAAAGAUUUUCUCAAGACCCUGAAGCUAGAAUGGGAGCCCCCAAAGUUGGGGGACCGGCGAACUUGCUCCACCUCCAUGGACUCACACGAGCAAGUCCUCGAGGGGCUCCAGCCGAACGGUAGGAUCGAGGAGCUACAAAUCCAGAGGUACCAGGGCGCAUCGUCGCCUAGCUGGUUGGAGAGCAACCUGCUGGCGAGCCUGAGCCACCUGAAUCUCGUAAACUGCAGGAACUGGCGAGUGCUGCCAUGCCUGAGCCAGCUUCCUGACCUCAGAGUCUUGCACAUCAAAGAGAUGUACGCCAUUGCUCGGAUCGACCACAGGCUGUACGGCUCCGGCGUGCUCCAGUCGCUGGAGAAACUGGUGCUGAAUGACAUGCCCAGUUUGGUCGAGUGGAGCGCCGAAUCGAGCGACCGUGCGUUUCCUCGUCUCCAGGAGAUACUCAUCCUCAACUGCCCCAGACUGGCGAAGCUGCCCCGGGUGCCGGCCACCGUGAAGAAGAUGAGGAUAGAGAAGGACAGCAGCUCCUACUACCUGGACAUGGCCUUCUCCCCCAAAUCCAGCUCCUUCACGCUGGACGUCCACGGGGAGGCCCUCCAGCUGCUGCAGCAGGACUUGCUGCACCGGGAUCACGCGCUGGCCGUCAGCGCCUUGAGCAUCAGCAAGUACGCAGGGGAGAGCGAGGUGAACGUCAAGCUCCUGUCGUCGGUGCGGAGCCUCUCGCUGAGCCGAUGCGUCGUCACGGACAGGCUGCUGGGGGUGUUCUUCCAGAACCUGCAGUCCCUGGAGAAACUGCAGAUAUCUGACUGCGGCGACUUCCUUGAGUUCCCCGAGGACGCCAUGCCGCCGUCGUUGAAAUCCAUCGAGGUGAACCGAUGCCACCCGACGCUCGCGCAGAAGCUGCGUGGCAGCGCUAGAAUUUCUUCGAUUCCCAGGGUACACAUUUGCUGAUCGAUUUUUUUUUGUACUUUUUUUAGUGUGCUAUAUAUACUCCUGGCGUGGCAAAACUUUCAUUCAUUCAUUGUUAACUUGGGUUCAUUGCGUUGCUUGCAACUGAUCCAUUUUCUUUAGGAUCAGCUGAUCCAUUUCUUUGAGAAGCCAAACUUUCUUUCUGGAGCAUGCAAGACACGAUGGGGUCAGCAUUAUCAGCACAUUUAGGAACAGCUUGCCUUUAUUAUUGUACUGUGCUGUGCUGAACGUAAAACAAAGAAAUCGAUUAAUAACAAAGUAGGAGUAGAAACUACCCCCAUAUUAGUCUUGCUUUCAAGGGUUCGCUAGAGGAAAGAAACACAAGGGACUACGAAAGUAACUACUAUUCCGCAUUUAGCACCAACCGCGCGACGCGCGUUGCCGGUUCCAACUUCCAAGUCAGUCAACUGCACCAGGAGGUGAGCAUGAUCGUAAGGCUGCACCAAUGGCUGGGGUUUUCUCAAAAAACAAAAGGAAUGACUAGCGGAUGGGAGGUUGUCGGGACCUAUAGAUAUUCCCCGUUGAAUUUUAUACCAGAAGGCGCCAAACUGAAGAGACGGGAACAAAGCGGGCUCGAAAGCGCCAUGCACGCGCUUAAAAAUCUAACAUCUUAUUUUUAACAUUACCAAAACGUAUUCGAUGUCUAGCUUAGUACAUGCUUCUAUGUUGUCCAUUCCAUGUGUUUUCUAGCUUAGUACAGCCGCUCAGAUAUAUGUUACCGUGACAAGUGGUGGGAUUCUGAUACAGUACUUACCGGAAAAAACUGGCAUGUGUGCUGUUUGUGGCGUUGAACGGGAGGAUACUUUCCAUGCCGUAUGCAGAUGUCCGAUGGCGGGUGCGUUAUGGGACGCCAUGAGGGAGUCUUGGCCUUUACCAGCUCGAGCUGACAUUCAGUACACCGGGAAGGAGUGGCUACUACACCUCCUAGCCGGCUGCAAUGAGACCCAGCGCAUGAUCAUUUUGAUGACUUUCUGGCGUGCUUGGCACUGCCGGAAUGAGGUCACACAUCACAAGCCAGCGCCACCCGUCGAGACGCUUCCUCAAUUGAUACAUCGAGUCCCUUGUGUGCAUAAAAAACAGUAUCCCAAGGGGAAUAUUAUGAAAGGUAAGAUGGUGUUACAGUGUGCAGGCCAACAAACCGCCACAUGCUGAAACAGUGGUGCCUAGGUGGAUGUAGCCUCGUGUUGGAUUGGAUGGGCAUGGGCAAAACUCAAUGUGGAUGGCUCCUAGUCCUAUGUGCAUGGAGAGAGGGUACGGGUGGUGUUGCGGGACAAGGGAGCUGUGAUUUUCUCGUCCUGUCGUUAUCUCCGUUUCAUGCUACUCGCCGCUUGAGGCGGAGCUAGCUGCUUGCCUCGAAGGAAUUGGUCUGGCACUCGCUCACACUGAUAACAACCUGAUAAUUGAACUUGACUGUAAAGAAGCAGUGGACAUGCUGAACGACAUAUGCAUGAAUCGAUCAGCUGUGGCUAGUAUGGUAGAGGAGGUGAAGAGCCUGCCGCAUGGCGUCCGAAGUCACGAAAUCGUGCAUGCAGGCAGGCCAUGCAAUGCUGCUGCUCACUAUAUUUGGUGUAGCUCUGGGCCGGAGGAUUUAUGUAUGAUUUGUGAAACUGAGUGUAGACACAUUACUUAAUUAAUAUACACUCUUUUCACCCGCAAAAAAGAAAAACUUCCCGAAAACACACACACACAAAAAAAAAGCAGUUUCUGAAAAUCUUUUGCCAGAGAACAUGGCGAAAUUCAGUAGAUGUUGUUCUAAUCCAUGGCCGCCCGGUCCUGUGCCGACACGUGGACGCUGGCGAGGCCGUCCUGAGUAUUCCACGGUUUGACAUUUCCACACGCUCAAGGCUGACGUGGAUGCGAGGAUCGGACGGGUUGAGACACUAGCAUUGCGGCACCCUCUCCUCUCCUUUUCGAUUGCUCGUGGUGCCGUCGAUCGCUUCCAUAUCCAUAUGCAUGGCUUUGGAAACUUGUCGGGUGCUGCAGUGUGGAUGCGCGCGCGGCUCGGCGUUCACACUUGACACACGAUUCUUUUUCUCUCUUUGGAUUGACAGAAGGCUGUCGUCCUUUAGUUGUACUAGUCCAAUAGGUAGGCGCGUGCUGGACACACAUACACAUACGUUGCCGUGCCCAAAGCCUAAACCGAUGUGCAUAACUCCUUGUGCUCAUCCCUCCAUCCAUAGGCCAGGCUUUCAGACGAUUUGGUUUUGUUCUUCUCCNNNNNNNNNNNNNNNNNNNNNNNNNNNNNNNNNNNNNNNNNNNNNNNNNNNNNNNNNNNNNNNNNNNNNNNNNNNNNNNNNNNNNNNNNNNNNNNNNNNNNNNNNNNNNNNNNNNNNNNNNNNNNNNNNNNNNNNNNNNNNNNNNNNNNNNNNNNNNNNNNNNNNNNNNNNNNNNNNNNNNNNNNNNNNNNNNNNNNNNNNNNNNNNNNNNNNNNNNNNNNNNNNNNNNNNNNNNNNNNNNNNNNNNNNNNNNNNNNNNNNNACCUUUUCUAAAAAGAAAAGAAAAAAUCACUCGUCGCCUUAGCCACGCGUAAAGCCCCUUUGACUGCAACGAAAGCAGCGCGCAAACCUCUGUGACUGUGAUUAAACAAAAUCACGUACACCACUUGUGGUGUUCAACGCACCCAGCAGCCACUCACUAUACCUGCUCCGCGCUUUCGCCAUCGCUCGUUUUACCACCUGAUGGAUGAUCCAUCACACGCACGGACACGGUGGAUGGCAAUGCACCAAAGAUUCUUCCUCUUUUCUCCUCUCCGGUGAAUUACUGGUGCGUAGAGCAAUUAGCUGCUCACCUCCUUCAAUCAUUGACGCCUGGAGAGACCGAGGGAGAUAUCUUCUGUCCGUCCUGUGGCUGUGUGCUGCGCGUUUCGUUUCGUGGGCCACAACUUAACUUCAUUCAUCUCCUCCCUCCGCUCUACUGUUCGGCCCGUGGCCCGUGGUUCGAGACAAAAUAACCGGGACCCAGCUCGCAUAGGAAACAACGGGGAAAUACAUGGGGGAUCCGAGAAAUGAAUGAAUACAAUAAUAAUGGACAGGUACAUAUAAAUACCAAGUUGAUCCCAAUUAGUAUUAUCUUUUUGUGUGUGAAAAGAUUCCAAUUAUAUCGAUCUGACCACACCUUUCCACCAACACAGUAUCAUUAUUCAGUUGAGAGGUCACUGAGCAUAAAUGCCAUGUUGAAAUAAUCAACGGCAAGCAGCGACGGCCUUCAAUGUAGCUGGCAUCACUUGGAUUGCAACAACUGCAAUGCCAUCAAAGAGGAAAUGAAGCAAUUUCACCCAGUUACAACCAAUGAGAGGUGAAACCUACAAAUUUCUGAAAUCUGUCGCUAGGUGUUCUACGGAUCUAGAUGUAAUUUUUAUUAUUUCUAGUGCUCGUUGUACUACCAUGAUUGAAGAUGAAUAGAUUGAAAGUUUUCCCCGCCAAAAAAAAAAGAGCACCGCCAACUUGAGGUCAUCUUGCAUUGCCCCUGUGAAAGAGUAAAACGAGAGAGAGGGGAGCAAAUGAUGGAACAGUUAUCUCGUUGAUUGAAGAUUGGGGUAUAUAUACCCCCAGUACAAAGGCGGUUUACAAGGGGCAGUUGCUAAACUAGAGCAACCGACAUAGCAGGGAUUAUUCCCUAAUUAAUCUAAUUAAUUAAUUUCUAACACUCCCCCUAAUCAAUGCUUGUCUUUGCGAAUAUGCAUCGUCUUGAUAAAUAAUACUCCUUGUAUGUCUUCGCCUUUGAGAAUGUUCAUCAUCUUCAUCUUGAGAAAUCCUUGUAUAAUCAUUAAAGUCUCCUCCAAAAACCCUGUUGGAAAAAUAUGAGGAGAAUAGUGUAGAUAUGUUGCUAAAACUCCUUUAAACCCAGUGGGAAAAAACAAUAAGGAGAAAAUGAUGCAACAUAUAAUGAUUAUUGUCUCUUGAUAACUCAUAUGAGAAAAACCUUUGAAGAAGGAGAAAACUCAUCAGUGAGUUUAGAGAACAAUUAAUAUGUCUUGAGUACUUUCUUUAAAAACCUCGAUAGGUGUCGUGGGUUUGUCACGGCAGAUGUCCUAGCCAAAGGACUUAGUCGUGGAGCCAUCGCUACGGGUUAACUCGAAGGGGUUAAAGCAACACAAAGGACACAGGGAGUUUAUACUAGUUCGGCCCCUUCGAUGAAGGUAAAAGCCUACGUCUAGUUUGUGAUGGGAUUAACGAAGUCUCGAUGACUAGGGAGCAAAUCGCUUCACCUAGGCCUCGAGCUGUGGUUGUCUGUCCUUCAACCGCUAUCGGGCCGUCCCCUUAUAUACACGUCCCAAUCCCCGGUUCAUAUUCAUACCGGGUUGGUCUCUCCUUAUUCCUAACUUAUAAUACAAGUUUACAUACAAUCCGGGUUAUAGUUACAAAUACUAAACCGAUAACGGUCUUGGGCCUCUACAUAGCAUCUUUGGCUUCAACAUCCUGGAACUGCUGAUGAAGCUAACCCGGCCCAGGUGGGUCGGUUUACGCCCAGUAGUAAUAUCCCCAACAUUAGGCCCCAGGUUGAUUUGAAUAAUUUCAUGUCAACCCUUAGCAGAAAAAACUUCAUCUUCAGCAUCUUCUCGUAGUUGUUGAACCGUUGUGUCGUCACCUUCUCUGGUUGCUGUAAACCGGGAUGACGUCAACUGUCACUAUGAAAUGAUACUUCCCUUUUUUUUAACAGAUCUGCGACAAUCGAGGCGACUGCUCUGCUUUCGAGACCUGCGGCUCCUGGAUUCGCGCGCCCGACACAUGUGUCUUGCCUUAUAAAUAGGGGCGAGGGGUCAUUUCUUUUUCCCCUUCCUCCCUUUCUUCUUCGUCUUCUUCGCGCCGCCUGCCUCGGAGCUCCGCCGCUGCCGCCGACCUCUGCACAAUCUCGGCCGCUGCAUCAACCUGACCGGACCAGAAAAACGUGGCUCGCUUCCGCAUCCCUCCGAACUCCGGUAAGUCCUCUGCCUUCUCAACUUAGAUCUGCCACUUAGGGUUUCCUGUAUUCAUGGAGUUCUUCGCGUUCCCCGCGUUCCUCGUGUUCUUCGCUUACCUUGAAUCUGAACUAGGAUGCACUUUCAGAUAACCCCGUGACCUUUGCUCCGUCGAGUAGCAGUUUUCAACAUCUGUUUUUACUAUACCUGGCCCGUAGAUCUGAUCCAGAACUUGACCUUGCAUAUGACAUCAUGAUUAUUUAUUCCUUUUACAAAGUCGCUUAGAUCCAAUAUCAUACUGAAUUAAUGUGAAACCUGUUGUCGCACACUUGCUCCUUUCCCAUUCCCAUUGUUUCACGGUUUAGAUCCAGCGGUUUAACUUUGUUUGCAGAAAAUCACUCAAUCGGUACAUACCAUUAGUCCCCUUGUUGAACCGCCAGUAAACUCUUGAUGAACCGCAUUAAAUUACCAACAUCGGUUUGUAGUUGACCUCCUCCGGUUUGAUACCGAUAGCACUAAUAUAACAAUCUAUGCACAACACAAUCCUGAACCGGAACCAUUUCUGCUUUGUAGAUUUUCUCAUGGCCAAGCAAGUCUAUGAAUGUAGCUGGGCUCCAUCCCGGGUCACAGAGACUCAACUGAACAAUCUGGUGCUGACCGGUGCUUUGAGCAGCAAAAAUGCUAUCCAUUGGAGAGUGCCAGACAAGGAAUGCCCCCCUACACCUCGAGAUGGAGAAGUUGUUGUGUUCGCGAAUCACCUAGCCCGCGGUUUCAACCCGCCCGGUUCAAAAUUUUACCGCGACGUUUUGGCUGAUUUCCAACUCCAUCCGCAAGAUAUUGGUCCCAAUUCUGUCACCAAUAUAUGCCACUUCCAAGUGCUCUACGAGGUCUUCUUUCAAGAGGAACCUACAGUGGAGUUGUUCCGGGAUUGCUUUCACUUAAACCGCCGUACUGAAUUUACUGAUGGCUCCAACAUGGAAUUGGGUGGCGUGUCCAUCCAGAAGAGGAAAGAGGUCACCUAUCCUCACGCUAAACUGCAUAGUCACCCCCAAGAAUGGAACAAAACCUGGUUCAAUUGUAAAGACACUUCUCCAGAAGGCGAGAACAUCUUGCCCGGUUUCCGUCCAGAUCGGCUCAGCAACACUCACCCUUUUCCUCAGAGGUUGUCUGCUAAAGAGAGAAGCAAAUAUGCUCCCCAACUGUCUAAGCUUAGAGCUUUCAUGGCCAACGGUUUAACCGGAGUCGAUCUUGCUCGCUGCUGGAUCGGCUGGAGUAUACUGCCGCUUAGUCGACGCUCCGGUUUAAUGUGCGAAUAUACCGGCAGCGUUGAUGAUCCGUUGCGUCAUUGCAACAUCCAGCUUACGGAUGAUGAGGUCACCGAGGCUGUCAAGAAAAUUCUGAAUGAACCGGGACGCGUCUGUGCACAAACCGGCCUACUUCCCUUCUGCGCCGUUAAUAAACCUCCAGCGGUAAACCGAACUUUCUUCUCAUUAAAGCUGACAUUAUCUUGUACGUUUGACUGAUUUAGCAUCUGUCGAUAUAGGGUGAUGAUCCAUUUUGGAGCAAAAAGCUUCCUCAAGAAAAGGCAGAUAAACCGGAGAAACCAACCCGGCCCAAGACGAGGGUUGUCAAGAAGUCUGCUCAUAAGAGGAAGACUACGGCCUCCUCUGACCCUGCUGAUGAUGAUGUGGGUAAACCGAAUCUUGAAGCUGAACUUGAUUCACUCGGUUUGUUGUUUAUGCAAUUUAUUGAUGAUGCAACUUGUCAGGAUGACGCUGAAGCGAGCUAGGCUGAUGAUGUAGAGGUAAAUACCCUUUCUCCCGAUUCAAGCCUUCCGCCUUCACCCAAAAUCCGUCGAGCAAACCGCAAAGUUAAAUUUUCCCAUCCUCUUGCUUACUUGGAUCCCAAUUUUCUUAUGAAGACCCAUCAGCAUGAGGUGCGACGUACAACCCGACACAGCGGCCAGGUAGUCACCUCCGCCGGUUUACCAAACAGUCCGGUUCGGAGACGUCGCUCAAAGGUCUCUAAUUUGUUUGUCAAUACUUGUCCCAAAGCGGGCUGCUUUCGUCAACCGCUUAAUCCGUCUGACUCUGAUUAUCAGGUCACCUCGCACUCAUCCUCUGGCGAAUCCACCGGCACUCAGCUGCCUCCGCUCAAAACCGUGCUUGGGUACGUUUUUACCUUCAACAAGUUUGUCAAUUUGUUUAUAAUUUUCAACAUAUACUGUUUUGUAACCUUGCUGCUUUUCCAGGGCUAAACCGAGGCCGAGCAAAAAAGCUCGCCAAGAUAAAACUGCUGAGGAGAAUGCCCCUCCAGAAACGGAUGCUGUUCCGAACGCAGAAGCAACCAUCCUUGAAGACUUGGCUGAUGACCCACCAAUCAGAGACGAGGUUGUUGCUCCUGAAGAGAGUUCCGUUAACCCCUCCGGGCCUGCGGAUCAGCAGUCCAUUCUAAUUUUUACUGAGAAUACCAUCAAUCCUUCGAAGCCUGCUGACAGACCGACCGGGCCAGUUCAAACCGGUGAAUCCAAAGAUGAUGAAGUUGUAAUUACUGGCGUGGGCCGCACUGAACCGGGCACCCCUGUCGCUUUAGCCAAGCACACAGCUAAAGAAGAGCUUUGCACUUUAAACAAAGGGAAAUGGGAUAUUGAUCUGUCCACAUAUUCUGCUCUGAGCGCCCAAGAUAUUCACUCUGGUUAUUUGAACCGACUAUACACAAGCCGUGACUAUGAAGCCAACCUUGUAAAGAUGAUGAAAGACAAAUUUGAGGUAAUUUUCAUGCCUCUAUCCCUGCUUCUUACCACCGUAGCCCCCAAGGGUCGGUUUAACUUUAGUAUAGUUGAACCGAGACUUAUAAUCUUCAGACCACAGCGUUCAAAUUACUAUAGGAGCAAAUAGCCAUUAGCCCCCAAGUGCCAAGUUGAAUACUUGUAUUGAGCUUGGGACUUUUGAUGAAUAACUUAUAACUGGAGAUCAAAUAAGCAUUAGUCCCCAAGUACAAAGUACCUAACUUGUUAUGUGCUUGGUACUUCCUGUAUUUAAACCGUAUAACUGUCGAACUGCAGGCUGAACUGAAGGUCAAGGAAAGCCAAAUCGCUGAUCUUCAAGAGAAUGUGAAGUCCCAACAAGCAGAAACUUCCAAAGCCAAGGAGGAGCUAACCCUCGCUUUAGGCAGUAUGGAACAAUUGAAAGAGGGCUUUAAAAAGGAGCGUGCUGACUGGGCUACAGAAAAAGCCGCUUUAACCAAGAAGAUUGAAAACGCCGAAGCUGCUCUUAAACCGAUAACAGAUGAAUUAACUGGCGUAAAGCGACAAGUGCACGCAAUGACUGCAGCCAUCUUUGGUAAGCCUCCUGUGACUUGUGCAAUAAUCUUGAUCCUUCUAUAGAGCAGCUCGGUUUAUGAUCUGCUGAUCGUAUUACAGGCACUCGUGUCCAUCACUUGGGAUCGGAUGUGCGUGUGAAGCUGAAAGCCGUCUAUACUUUAGUCGAGCAAUUGUAUACGGGUGCACAGCGGAUUAUCACCGUUGCUUCACACAACAAUCCUGCACCAACAUUGAUCCAAGAUACGCUGAAAAGGCUGUCGAUGCUUCCUGCUCGGAUUGAAGAAUUAAAAAGGUCUGCUGCUCGAACCGGAGCUAUUAAUGCCUUAAUCCGGGCCAAAGCAUGGGUGCCCGAUUUUGACCCUGUUGAAGCAGCUCAAGGUUACCCUAGCUUGAAAGAAGACGGCUCCGAAUUUGACGAAGAAGAGCUGAGAAAGAUAAACCGGGCAGUGCGCCCUUUAGCCUGCCAAUUGGCAGAGGAGGCAAACUUGACCCAUUACCAAGCCCAGUACAAUGAUCAGAACACGCGGGUAGCUGCACCAAUCCCUGAGGCGGAGAACUUAAUCCCUCCAAUCCGUAAGCACACCUAUGCCCCUGAUAUUGAACUGUCUUCACUGAUACAUGAGGAAGCUGUCUUUCGAGCAUUAAUGGGAAUCGACUGGACCACUGUUGACUUCCAGCCGCUGGCUAGGGAGGAGGAUGCUGAAGCGGCGCAAAAUGACCCGGAACCAUCAAACCGGGAUGGCACGCAGGCGUGAACCGAAGGGAGUUUGAACUAGUUUCCCUUCGUUACUUUUGUCAAGAAACAAUCAUCUUAUUUGGGCACCAUGUUGCCUUGUAAUAGGAUAGACCGUACGUUAUACUUCAUGAGAUGCCUUCGUGCAUCAGUAUUGAUACCAUCCUUUGGAAAAUCCUUAUUAUCACUUAUAUCUCCUGCAAUCACGAAAGUUUAAACUACCCGGGCGGUUGUACCGUCCUCCGGUUUGUAAGUAGGCAUAUAAAUACGCAAGAAAUUUUUGCAAGUACGAUUAACCUUCAUGAUACGAAAUACCUGCCAUGUCAUGGGCAUAAAAUAGGCCUCUGUAGCCAAAGUUGAAGCGGGAGUUGAUAACUCUUAAACCGUCAUGGGAGAACCAGGCUCCUAGGUAUAUAACUCUGGUUUACAAUGUAAACCAUGAUUUAAUGAUAGUAACCUGUGGUUACUUUUAAAAAGGAUGAUGCUUUAGCACAAAACAAUCAAACCGAGCCAAAAAAUCUCAAUGUGUGAAAAAGAGGACCAUGUGUCGCCAAAUUGGCUAUGUUGACCCGGCACAAAAUACUACGGGUGCUGGAAAAAAGUGAUAAAUUAUCAACUCAUAAAAAGGAAAAAAAAACAAAAUCAGCAACAAAAUUUGUUGCAAAAGAAUAGCUCUUAAAGCUUGGUCAGAUGGAAUUACCAUGGUCAGACGCAACCAAGCCCCCCGAAGGCGUAGCGAUGGUGCCGGUCAGCCAGGACCCCAAAAUGACGCGUGGCAUUAAGCCGGCCAAGUGGCAUUGCUAUGGUUCGGGUUCGACCAAAGCCCCCAAAUGACUCUAGGCCCGGAGGCCGACCAAGAGGCGUGACCGGUUCAGACGUGACCGUGUACCCAAAUGAUUCUAGUGGCUUUCGCCGACCAAGUGGCAUUGCAUCGGUUCGGACACGACCGAGCCCCCAAAUGACUCUAGGCCCGUAGGCCCACCAAGAGGCAUUGCAUCGGUUCAACAUGACCGAGCCCCCAAAUGGUUCUAGUGGCUUUCGCCGGCCAAGUGGCAUUGCAUCGGUUCGGACACGACCGAGCCCCCAAAUGACCUUAUAAAGAUAGCUAUGUUCUCUUUGGUUCGAACACGACCUAUGUUUGAACAGGAAGCUUCAAUCGAUCUUUGUUAAGAUGGGCACGGGGUAAACCACACAUGAUAUAAGAAAGCAGAUACCCCGCUUUAGCUGAGGAUCCGGUUUAUUAUAAUAUAUACACUGUCAUGAUAUGUACAUAAGCAGAGCCCAUGGCUCAAGUAUAGUAAGGUCGGAGAUGAGCUAUGUUCCACGGCCUAUCAGUCUCCUGCCCUGAUUUGCGUGAGUCUUUAUGCUCUCGAACAUCUAUCAGGUAGUAUGAUCCGUUGUGCAGAUUCUUGCUAAUCACAAAAGGCCCUUCCCAAGGUGGAGAUAACUUAUGCAUCUCGGUUUGAUCUUGAAUAAGUCGAAGCACCAAAUCUCCUUCCUGGAAAGCUCUGGUCCUGAUCCGACGACUGUGGUAGCGACGAAGGUCCUGUUGGUAAAUCGCCGAGCGGGCGGCUGCUAUGUCUCGCUCUUCAUCCAGCCGGUCCAAAGCGUCCUGUCGAGAGCUUUCGUUGUCCGCUUCAACAUACGCCGCAACACGGGGCGAAUCAUGAUGGAUAUCACUAGGAAGAACCGCCUCUGCCCCAUAAACCAUGAAGAACGGUGUAAAUCCAGUUGAUCUGUUCGGAGUAGUGUUGAUGCUCCAUAACACAGAGGGUAACUCCUCGACCCAACAACCCGGCGUUCGCUGCAAAGGAACCAGAAGCCGGGGUUUAAUACCUCUCAAGAUCUCCUGAUUAGCUCUUUCUGCUUGUCCAUUGGACUGCGGGUGCGCUACUGAUGAUACAUCAAGGCGGAUGUGUUCACGCUCACAGAAAUCCUUCUUGGCACCUUUAGAUAAAUUGGUACCAUUGUCUGUGAUGAUACUGCGGGGAAAACCAAACCGGAAAAUCACUUUCUUGAUGAACUGAACCACGGUGGCCGCAUCACACUUGCUAACAGGCUCUGCCUCUACCCACUUUGUAAAUUUAUCAACCGCCACCAGAAGGUGGGUCUUCUUGUCCUUGGACCUUUUGAAAGGCCCGACCAUAUCCAGCCCCCAGGUUGCAAACGGCCAAGUAAUUGGAAUCAUCCUCAAUUCUUGAGCCGGAACAUGAGCACGUCUUGAGAAUUUCUGACAACCGUCACAUCGUCUGACCAGACCCUCCGCAUCAGCAUGAGCAGUCAGCCAGUAGAAACCGUGACGGAAUGCUUUUGCCACUAAAGACUUUGAACCGGCAUGGUGACCACAAUCUCCCUCAUGGAUCUCUCGCAAUAUUUCACGGCCUUCCUCAGGAGAUACGCACCGUUGAAAUGCCCCUGUCAUACUGCGAUGAUGUAGCUCACCGUUUUCAAUUACCAUGGACUUAGACCGCCGCACAAUUUGUCUAGAAAAAGUCUCGUCCUCUGGUAACUCGCCUCGGUUCAUGUACGCCAGAUAAGGAAGCGUCCAAUCCGGGAUGACAUGUAACGCCGCCACCAAUUGAGCCUCCGGGUCAGGAACCGCCAAAUCUGCUUCGCCAGGGAGAUGAACCGAUGGAUUGUACAGCACAUCAAGGAACACAUUAGGUGGCACCGGUUUACGUUGCGAACCAAGUCGGCUUAAAGCGUCUGCCGCCUCGUUCUUUCGUCGGUCCACAUGGUCCACUUGAUACCCUUUGAAGUGACCUGCAACCGUAUCAACCUCACGGCGAUAAGCAGCCAUGAGUGGAUCUUUAGAAUCCCAUGUACCAGACACCUGUUGGGCCACCAGAUCAGAGUCGCCAAAGCACUUAACCCGGCUUAAAUUCAUCUCCUUAGCUAUCCGGAGACCAUGGAGCAAGUCCUCAUACUCCGCUGCAUUGUUAGUACAAGGGAACAUUAAACGGAGAACAUAACAAAACUUGUCACCUCGUGGGGAAGUUUAUAUGACUCCAGCCCCCGAGCCUUCUAAUUGACGUGAUCCGUCAAAAUGAAUAGUCCAAUAUGUGUGAUCCGGCUUCUCUUCAGGGACCUGUACUUCAGUCCAAUCAUUGAUGAAAUCCACCAAUGCCUGAGACUUGAUUGCCGUGCGAGGUACAUAUUUUAAACCGUGCGGCCCAAGCUCAAUAGCCCACUUGGCAAUCCGACCAGUUGCUUCCCGGUUUUGGAUGAUAUCCCCCAAAGGAGCAGAACUGACCACCGUGAUAGGAUGCCCUUGGAAAUACUGCUUCAGCUUCCGACUUGCCAUAAAAACUCCAUAUACCAGCUUCUGCCAAUGCGGAUAUCGCUGUUUGGACUCAAUAAGCACUUCGCUGAUAUAAUAAACCGGACGCUGAACCGGGUAUUCUUUGCCUGCCUCCUUCCGUUCUACCACAAUAGCCACACUGACCGCGCGCACAUUAGCAGCAACGUACAACAGCAAUGGUUCCUUCUCAAUGGGAGCGGCGAGCACGGGCGGAUUGGCCAACUGUCGCUUUAGAUCCUCGAACGCCUGAUCCGCGGCGGAAUUCCGGACGAACUGAUCCGUCUUCUUCAACAAUUGAUACAAAGGAAUUGCCUUCUCUCCGAGGCGGCUGAUAAACCGACUCAGUGCAGCAAUUCGGCCUGCAAGACGUUGGACGUCAUUAAUGCACUUCGGUUUAGCAAGAGAGGUAAUAGCUGUGAUUUUUUCUGGAUUGGCCUCAAUUCCCCUGUUGGACACCAGGAAACCCAAUAACUUGCCAGCUGGUACGCCAAAAACGCACUUGGCCGGAUUGAGCAUCAUCUUAUACGUCCUGAGGUUAUCAAAGGUCUCCUUCAAAUCAGCAACCAAUGUCUCCUUCUUCCUUGAUUUGACCACAAUAUCAUCCACAUAGGCAUGCACGUUGCGGCCAAUCUGUUCAUGGAGGCAAUUUUGCACACACCGUUGGUAAGUUGCCUGGGCACUCUUGAGCCCAAAAGGCAUAGACACAUAGCAGAAGGCUCCAAAGGGAGUAAUGAACGCCGUCUUCUCCUGGUCCUUAACUGCCAUUUUUAUCUGAUGAUAGCCGGAAUAGGCAUCCAAAAAACACAAACGCUCACAACCCGCCGUAGCAUCAAUGAUCUGAUCAAUACGGGGGAGGGCAAAAGGGUCUGUAGGGCAAGCCUUAUUUAAAUCCGUAUAAUCCACACACAUGCGCCAAGUGCCGUUCUUCUUGAGAACCAGCACUGGAUUAGCAAGCCACUCGGGAUGGAAAACUUCCACGAUGAAGCCAGCUGCUAAAAGCCUGGCCACUUUUUCUCCAAUAGCCUUUCUUCUCUCCUCGUUGAACCGACGGAGGUACUGUUUCACCGGUUUAUACUUAGGAUCCACAUUAAGUGUGUGCUCAGCGAGUCGCCUCGGUACACCUGGCAUGUCUGAGGGUUUCCAUGCAAAGAUGUCCCGAUUCUCACGGAUGAACUCGAUGAGCGCGCUUUCCUAUUUCGGAUCCAGAUUGGCACUGAUGCUGAAUUGCUUGGACGGAUCACCAGCUUCAAAGUCAACCAGCUUGGUUUCUGCGACUGAUGUAAAUUUUAAGGCCGGAUCAUGCUCUGUAGUAGGUUUCUUCAAAGGGGUCAUAUCAGUCGGAUCAACAUUAUCUUUGUAAUAUUUGAGCUCCUCAGUGGCACAAACCGACUCUGCAUAGGCAGCAUCUCCUUCUUCACACUCCAAAGCGAUCCUGCGGCUUCCGUGAACCGUGAUGGUCCCCUUGUGACCCGGCAUCUUGAGCUGCAGAUACACAUAACAGGGCGGUGCCAUGAAUUUGGCAUAAGCCGGCCGACCAAACAAGGCAUGGUACGGGCUUUGAAUCUUUACCACCUCAAAGGUCAGUGUUUCUGAUCGGGAAUCAUGAUCAUCUCCGAAAGCUACCUCCAAUGCUAUCUUGCCCACAGGGUAUGCAGACUUGCCCGGUAUUACGCCAUGGAAAACCGUAUUUGAAGGCCGUAGAUCUUUAUCCCCGAGCCCCAUACGCCGAAAGGUUUCAUAAUACAGUAUAUUGAUACUGCUACCCCCGUCCAUGAGCACCUUGGUGAACUUAUAGCCUCCCACCUGAGGUGCCACCACCAGAGCCAGCUGACCCGGAUUAUCCACCUGAGGAGGGUGAUCCUCUCUACUCCAUGUGAUUGGCUGUUCCGACCAUCGUAAGUACCGAGGCACGGCCGGUUCAACAUUGUUAACUGCCCUUUUCCGGAUCUUCUGGUCCCGCUUGUCCGAGCUAGUGGUGAAUACAUGAUAUUGGCCACUAUUUAACUGUUUCGGAUUACUCUGGUAACCCGACUGCUGCUGCUGCUGCCUAUAGCCCCCUUGGUCAUUCUGGUUAUGCCGAUUAUCCUGUCCGUUCGGAUUACCAUGCCUGUUCGGAUUACUGUUAAACCCUGAACCGGAAUUUCCUCCACCGUGGUUUGGCCCUGAUCCAGAACCGCCACCAGGAUUAUGAUCAUACCGAAAAGCAUUGGAAUUCUUAAAUUUCCGCAUGAUAUAACAAUCCUUCCACAGAUGGUUUGCUGGUUCCUCCGUUGUUCCAUGCUUUGGGCAGGGUUGAUUCAAUAAAAUAUUCAGGCGCUCCGGGUUGGGACUGGGCCCGCCACCGCGGCCUCUGCCCCUGCGCUGUCGGCCCCGGUUCUGUAUGUUGGUGUUAGCCACGAAAUCCAUGUUGCCAUCCUCUUUACGCUUGCUUCCGCUGCUGCCCCCUGGGUGGUACUGCUGACCUUUGGAGUUGCCGUUCUUCUUUCCCUUCCCUGCCUUUUCAUCAUCAGACACGGGAUCCUUGGUACUAUCAGAAUCAGCAUACUUUACCAAAGCGGCCAUAAGAGUCCCCAUGUCGGUGCAAUGGCGCUUCAUUCGUCCCAACUUCAAUUUUAGGGGCCCAAACCGACAAUUGCCUUCCAAAGUUACCACUGCCGUGUCCGCAUUGAUGCGGUCUGACGAGUGCAAGAUUUGUGAGACGCGGCGUACCCAAUGUGUGGUUGACUCUCCUUCCGCCUGGAUGCAGGCAGUCAAAUCCACUAUCGACAUGGGCUGUUCGCACGUGUCCUUGAAAUUAUUGAUAAACCGAGCUCGCAACUAGGCCCAUGAACCGAUGGUAUUGGGUGGCAGGCUCUUCAACCAAGUGCGGGCCGUUCCCUCAAGCAUCAUAGUGAAAUACUUGGCACAUGCAUCUUCAUCUACGUCAAGCAUCUCCAUAGCCAUCUCAUAGCUCUCCACCCACGCCUCCGGGGGUUGAUCCGCUGUAUAGUUCGGCACCUUGCGCGGCCCUUUGAAGUCCUUAGGGAGGCGCACAUUGCGCAAAGCUGGGAUAAGGCAAGGCACCCCCAAAGCGCUGGAAGUAAGUCCCGGUUCAACUGAGGUGAUAGGACGAACCGGCGGAAGGGUUUGAUGCUGUGCUACUAACUCGGCUUCUCUGCGCGCGCGGGCCCGGUCCACCAAUUCCUGGGCAUCCGGGGCCGGAUUGUUGCCACGGGGUACACCACGCCGUGCAUUGCUGGAUUCAGCCUGCUCUUCCAUGUGCCUGCUAUAACUCCGGUUUGGACGCGGAGUAGAAUGAAUUCACUCGCGGCUGUACGAGUACCUCUCCUGCUGGGCCAGCGCCGUUCUUAGAAGCUCCUUGACCCGGCGCGUUUCUAUUGCCUGUAACGAAUCUCCCUCGAUCGUAAUAGCCUCCAGACGCGCCGCCGCAGCAACCAAAUUAUCCAACGGGUUGGAGUAGUAAUCCGGAGGUGUGGUCACAAUCCGUGGCUCUGGGUUAGGAGGGGGUAGAUCUUCCCCACGGGGUUGAACCGGCGCACCUGUACCGGGUACCGCAGGUCGGUUUACUACUGGCUGAUUGCUGGUGCCUGCUCCAGGAGUAUUAAAAAGAUCCCUUCCUUCAAAUACCGACGGUAAACGAGAUCGGUAUUUCCUCUUCAUGACUUCCUGUGAAGCGUUCUGAUCCAGCAUGAGCUUAUAAGCUUGCGCGUCCAAAGCGGCCCGCUCGGCGGCCAUCCUGACUUCUUCCGCUGCCAAAUCCGCUUUAUCCUGGUGAAUCUGUUCUCUCACCUUUGCAAUCUCUGCACUAUGGGCAUCCUGAUCCAUCGGGUUAACCUCCGCCAUGAGCGCAGCUAACGCAUCGAACAGAUCGGAUAGUACUUGAGCCGGUGGGCGCGCAGGGCCUCCUGCCCCGGCAGCCGCUGUACUGGAAACCAUUGCUGCUGUUGUUGAUGAGUGAGGUGCUGCCUGGGUACCGGCCAUGAAUAUACCGACCCGGCUGGGCAGAUCAGAAGGGUCCGGAAUACUGUCGCCAUCGGAACAGCCCCCAAUCUGACCCUCUUGCACUUGAUAAAGAGACUCAGUUUCCCCGGUUGACGACUCAUCACCGGAGUAGACAACGGUUUCGUCGUCGUAAGCCGAUCUCUCCUCAUAACUUCCUCCGUGGAUGACUCCCACAAAGGCACGCUUCACGGAUGGCUUAACCCGGGCAGGUCGCGCACGCUGAGCUGUCUCGAUGAGGUCGGUGCAGGUGUCCAGCUCAGGGCCCGGUUCACCAAUCUUGCCGAUGAAAACGUGUAUUCCACCGAAGGGGACCCGGUACCCGUACUCGAUUGAGACGGCCUCGGGGCCCCAGCCUGCGUCGUCGAUGUAGAUCUUGCCGCGACGACUCUUGGUCAUCCGGCCCACGGCGUAUCCCUUGAGCCCUUCGAAGCAGCCCUCCGAGAACUCGAAACCAUCGUGCGAUAGCCCCACGGUGGGCGCCAACUGUCGUGGGUUUGUCACGGCAGAUGUCCUAGCCAAAGGACUUAGUCGUGGAGCCAUCGCUACGGGUUAACUCGAAGGGGUUAAAGCAACACAAAGGACACAGGUAGUUUAUACUAGUUCGGCCCCUUCGAUGAAGGUAAAAGCCUACGUCUAGUUUGUGAUGGGAUUAACGAAGUCUCGAUGACUAGGGAGCAAAUCGCUUCACCUAGGCCUCGAGCUGUGGUUGUCUGUCCUUCAACCGCUAUCGGGCCGUCCCCUUAUAUACACGGGCGACGCCCGUCGGUCCCCAGAGUCCCAAUCCCCGGUUCAUAUUCAUACCGGGUUGGUCUCUCCUUAUUCCUAACUUAUAAUACAAGUUUACAUACAAUCCGGGUUAUAGUUACAAAUACUAAACCGAUAACGGUCUUGGGCCUCUACAUAGCAUCUUGGGCUUCAACAUCCUGGAACUGCUGAUGAAGCUAACCCGGCCCAGGUGGGUCGGUUUACGCCCAGUAGUAAUAUCCCCAACAAUAGGGAAAAUAGAAAGUAUGACGCAUGAUCUUUGAUAAGAUAUUGCCUCGUUAAAAACCAUUAUGGGAAACUUUGAGAGAAAACUCAUAAGGGAAAAGAGUGCGAUAUGAUAUGCCAUUGAAAACUCCUUUAAAACCCAGUGGGAAAAUAUAAGGAGAAAAUGAUAUGACAUAUACGGGCACUUGUGUUUAUAUUGUCUCGUUAAAAACCUUUAUGAGAAACCAUUAGGGAAAAACUCAUGAUGGGAAAAAGAGUACAAUAUAUGCAAUCUUAGGUUUGUUAAUAGGUUAUAGAUUUUGGGAGAUUUCUCCCCCUGAACUUUGCAAAUCUGGAGAAUGUGUAAUACGAUUCCAUUGAUAUGAUCAUGACAUCAUGAAUAUUAUGUAGGACUUUCAAAGUAUGUUGUUUGCAUAUUGUUUCCUCACUUGUCUAUAAUUUGUGAGGAUAAGUUAUUUUGAGCAAUGUGAUUUAUGAUAUUGCUUUUCAUAUAACCUGUAGGUAUUGAGUAACACAAGUGGUAGUGUCUUGAUAAAUCAAUUUAUGUGAUUCUGAUGAAUCUCAACCACAUGAUUUUGAGUGUGGUUAAUCAUUCUGUUGUGCCAUGCAUAUUUUGCAAUGCUUUUAGAUAAAGCAAUUAUGUCAGAAUGAUAACUGGAAAUAGCCAUUAAAGCCCAUUUAGAUGACUUCCAUAUGAAGGCUAUUCCCGCAAAUUCAGUCAUUGAUAUGGCAUUGUUGGGAUCAAAGAAAGAGCCAAUAUCAUUAUAUCAUAUCAUGGUCAUAUCUUGUAUUUCCUGAUGGAAAUAUCCAAGAUUUAUUGUGAGCUUGAGAUAUAAGCUAAUAUUUCUUAUACCGGCCAUAUACCUUUUGUUGGGGGUUGCACUAUGAACAAAGAUAACAAAUAUAGUGUCAGGCCUGACGUAGUUUGCAAUUAUGAGUACUUUGUCAUUGGUGAGAUACAUAACUUCAUGUCCUGAUAUGACUUCAUUAUCACCCUUAGGUAUGAAUGGAUUUGUACCCUAUCAGGGGUAGUAUAUAUGACCAUAUUACACGUCUUUUAUUGGUAUGAUAUAUCCACAUUGAACUUCUCGUAUAUGUUUUGGAUAUAUGCAGACUGAUAUGUAUUCUUGAGAGAAUGCUCAAGUUGAAAACUUAAGCUAAAUUUGGUUGAUUCCAAAUUUCCCGUCUUGAGAUGAUUUUGUGCAUGUUUAGGUCUUGUAUAGACAUUGAUGAUGAGGUCAUCAAUAUACACUGAGGUGAUGAAAGUAAAUCAAAUUUAUUCCUUAUUAAACAUGUAAAUAAUCAUCAUUAUUUGAGUAAUCCUUUCCAAGAAGGAACUCAUUUAGUCGGUAGUACCAUAUGAUUUUCGACUAUUUCAAGUCAUAGAGUGACUUAUAAAGUUUUACACAAAACUUGUUGCGAUUUGCUUUUGGAUUCAGAAGUAUAAGCCCUUCAUGGACUUCAAUAUAGAUUUCUGAAACGAGUGACUCAUAUGAGUAUGUAGCCACUUCAUCCAUCAACUGCAUGGAUAAUUUUAUUAUUUUAUUGCCAAUGUUAUUUAGUAUCGAAACAUAAUUCCACUCAUACCAAGCGGGUAUGUUACAUCGUAAUCGAUGUCGGGUCUCUGCGUGAACCCUUUUGCUACAACCCUCGCUUUCUCACCACCUCAUUGACUUUGUUCAUGAAUGAGAAGUUUUUAGUAUUUCAUAUGGAAGAUACUUGUGAGGAGUAGGUAUUACUGCGGUAAAUACCACUCGUUUGCAGAGCGAGUGCUAUCCUUCAUUACUUGCUUCCUUUUUAUGUGAACCAAUAUGAGUGCAAGAGGCACUCUACCAUGGAUUUUGGUUCUGGGCCCAAAAGGUUAUAGCAAUUUGAGAAGAAAUAUAUGUCGACAAAUGUAGUCUUUAGUUUAUAUGAUUCUGAUGGAAUCAUUGAAGUUUGUGGAUAAAUUACUUACUCCUUUUUAACUCCUUGUGAUUUCCUACAACAAAUGGAGUCAAGGUGUUUCAAUGUCCCGGCACCAAAACAUUUGUGCACAUUUAUGCCGGGCAUUGGAUGAUGAGCAUCCAGGGAGGUGUCUUUCAACUUGAUGUUGAAUUACAUUUACUAGUUGAGGAUGUGAUUUCCUCUGUUUCCGCGGAAGCAUAUGAGAAGUUAUAUCUCGUAUUAUCAGAUUUUCUCCCCCUCUUGCUCUCAUUUGGGGAGAAGAGUGGUUUAUCAGGUACCUCCACUCUUCUGACACUUACUGCAGGAAUAUAGAAUUUAGUGACACCUUGUCAUCAGUAAAUGUAUGUGGCAAAUUUGCAAUGUGUUGCAAAUAUAUGAUUCUCUAAACUUCUAGUUCAGAUUCUUUGAGUACGUGGAUAUAAGGAUUGAAUAUCAAUAACAUUUCUAAUUUAUUUCUCAGCAUUUUUGGUGGUACUUAUCUCCCCCUAAUGCCAGAAAAUAUCCUUAUUGCUGAUGCAAUCAGCAUACGGGCUAUGAAUAAUUUUGAUUGACGGAUAAAUUGUUAUUCCUCACAUAGAUCCCUAAUUUUCUGUGAGUGCCCGUUGAUGUAAGCUGGAGUGGUGAUAUCGGUAUGUAACCGAAUUAUCGCAGAUGGGAAAUACUUUGUUGAUUUUCACGUAGUAACUACAAGGGGAAAGUAGUAUGAUAUGCAGUUGGUAUGAUUAAGAUCAUACUUACGGUGUGCUAGGCCGUAUGUGUCCAACAAGAGGCUGGUGAUACGUCCAAAACGUAUCUAUAAUUUCUGCUUGCUCCACGCCUCUUUUGGGUGAUAUUGCUAUGAUAUUUAUACACUUCCAUACACUUUUGAUCAUAUUUGGACUAACCUAUUAACUCAGUGCACCCCAGUGCCAGUUUCUGUUUUCUGCUGUUUUUGUAUUUCAGGUUUUUCCAUUACGAAAACUGCCAGAAAAAUUCCGGAAAAAAUAUAUAAAAAAUCAGCGUUCAGGAAGCUUCCAGGACCCCGAAGGAGAGCCGGAGGGGGGCCACCAGGGCUCCAGGCGCCCUGGUGGCGCGGCCCCCCUCCUGGCCGCGCCGAGGGGGCGCCUGGGCCCCCCAGGACUCCUCUGACGCUACCCUGUGGCCUAUAUUUAACACACGUCCCGAAACCCUCGAGACGGGAACCCUUUUUCGCGAUCUCAUCUCUGUUCCGCCGCCGCCGCGCUUCCAAGAUCGGGAGCGCCAGGAGAACUCUUCCCGGCACCCUGCCGGAGGGGAGGAUCACCACCGGGAGCUUCUCCACCACCAUGGACGCCUCCCGGAUGAUGCGUGAGUAGUCUCCCUUGGACCAUGGGUCCAUGACCAGUAGCUAUGUGAUGUUCUCCUCCCCUUCUUGUGCUUCACUAAUUAGACCUCGUGAGCUGCCCUACAUGAUCGAGGCACAUAUGUAAUCCUUAUGCUGUUGCUAUGAUGAGUUUGCUGGGAUCCGAUGGAUUGUGAGAUUAUAUUCAGAUUGUGUUUGAGUAAUAUAUUUGAUUUACCUCUUUUAUAUUUAUGUUCAUAAGUAAUUCUUGCAUGUUCUCCGUUGCUGUUUAUUGCUUUGGCCGAGUAGUAGGUAGUAACUCCAAGAGGGAACGUUAUGCUUGAUUGUGGGUUCAUGCCCCUCGAUGACUAGCUUGAGUGACAGAAACAUGAGUCUAGGGGAUGUGCUGUUGCCACAAGGGGGAAAACAACGGUGCUUGUGCCCGCGGGUGCAAGGAUUGUUUACUUUACGCAGAGUUAUUUUAAUGCAGUUGUCUAUUGCUUUGAGUUUACACUAUGGGUGGGGCUCGCAACUUAAUACCAGCGAGAUGUUCUGGAUAGAUAUUUCAAGGUGGAUGAUUAGUAGUAGAUGCGAUUUCGGUCUACUUACCUUGGCGUACUGCCCAUGCUUUGAACCUCUACCUUUCUUGCAAUAUAGUUAGCAUUGGUUUGCGCACAUAAUUCUGUCAAUUGCCCAGCUGUAAUUUGUUUACCUCACAUAGCCGUUUUAUCGUCUUUUGGGAGAGAGACAUCACUAGUGAACAUCAUGGCACCCCGGUCCAUAUUACUAUCAUUGAUCACAUCGCUAUUUACUUUCCGCUUUUACUUACUAUUUGCAGCAAUACCUAUCACUAUUAUCACUUGCGUUUGAUCCUUUGUAAACGACAAGGCCGGAGGUAUUGACAACCUCUCUGUACUCGUUGGGAACAAAGUUAUUUGUAUCUGCGUGCAGGUCCACGUUGAUUGAUAAUACACGGUGCCGUUAGCGAUUGACACCUUCUUGUUGAAACUGGGAGUCUCAGGGGAUUCGAUCCUUGGUAUCUUUGCCAAGGGAAACACUUACGCUACACUGCAUCUCAAACCUUCCACUUGGGGUAACCAACGAGGAGCGAGAAGCUAGCAAGGGUAUUUCUGGCGCCGUUGCCGGGGACUCCACUCUUCGAGAUAGGGGAGUUGCAUACUAUCUUUUACCUUUGUUUUAGUCUUGUUAGUUUACCUUUCAGUUUUUGCUUUAGUGUCCUUUAUCGAAAAUCACAAAAAUAGUUAUCUUGCUUACUUGCUGCUAUGGGUUCCACCGAGAACACCAAGUUGUGUGACUUCACGAGUCAUAACAACGAUGACUUUAUCUGCACACCCAUUACUACACCUGCCACUUCAGCACCUUCUUAUGAAAUUAAACCUGCUCUACUAAACUUAGUCAUGAAAGAUCAAUUGUCCGGUGCUGGAGAUGAUGCUGCUUUACACUUAAACAAUUUUGUUGAACUUUGUGAUAUGCAAAAGUACCAAGAAAUAGAUGGUAAUAUUGUUAAGCUUAAGCUUUUUCCCAUCUCCUUGAGAGGAGGAGCUAAAAUUUGGUUUCAAUCUUUGCCUAGAAAUAGCAUAGAUUCAUGGGACAAGUGCAAAGAUGCUUUUAUUGGAAAGUACUAUCCACCUGCUAAAAUUAUCCAACUAAGAAGUAACAUAAUGAAUUUUAAACAAUUGGAUAAUGAACACGUUGCCCAAGCUUGGGAACGCAUGAAAUCUCUUGUCAAGAACUGCCCUACUCAUGGUUUGACUACUUGGAUGGUUAUCCAAACUUUUUAUGCAGGCUUGAACUUUACCUCGCGGAACUUGUUAGAUUCGGCCGCGGGAGGAACCUUUAUGUCAACUACACUUGGUGCUGCCACAAAGCUACUCGAUGAGAUGAUGACCAACUAUUCCCAAUGGCACACCGAACGCGCUCCAACAGGUAGGAAGGUAAACUCUGUCGAGGAGAUUUCCUCCCUAAAUGAAAAAGUUGACUUGAUUAUGUCUCUACUUUCGAAGCAAUCUUCUGUUGAUCCUCGUGAUGUUCCUUUAAAUUCUUUGAUUGCUCAAGAACAAGUAGAUGUGAACUUUAUCUCUAGAAACAAUUUCAAUAAUAAUGCUUAUAGGAGUAAUUUUGGUAGCAAUCCUAGACCAUUCCCCUCUAACUCUUAUGGGAACAACAAUGCUUAUCCUAGCACCAAGAACUCCACCCAAAAAGAUAGAGACUUGCCUGGUUAUGAGAAACUUCUAGAAAUAGAGAAGGCCACUAAGAAUUACAUGCACACCCAAUAUGAACAAAACAAAACCUUCUCGAGGCAAUUAAAUGAGCACACUGCUAUCUUGCAAGGCAUUAGUAGACAAUUGGAGAGCAUAAAUAUUGAGAUUUCUAACCUCCAAACUAGGCUCACUAUCACUGAGACCCAAGUUUCCAAUAUGUCCCACACACAAGCCACUUUGAUAAACCAAAUGGCAGCUAAACCCGAAGUGGUUGCACCCCUAAGGGAGGAAGAAGAUAGAAUUAAGAGCCUUCCUACCCACCACACUGUUGCUACUAUCCAAGUUGUUGAGGAUACCCAAACUCUUAGCACCCAACGCACUCCUGGUCCCAUUGGACCUAUUAAUGGUGAUGCUAUGAACAUAGAAACUACCAAACAAGUGAGCCUAAAGGACACCACUACCACUUUACUUGAUAGUAGUGACCUUGAUUUUGAUAAUUGCACUCUUACCGAAGUUAUUGAUUUCCUUCACAAGAUGUCUAGAGAUCCCCACACUAGCACGCUUAACCUUGCCUUCACAGGGCAUAUCACUAAUGCUCUCAUCAAAACUAGGGAGGAGAAACUUAGAGUAGAAGCCUCCAUUCCUAGAAAGCUAGAAGAUGGUUGGGAUCCUAUGAUUAAAAUUAAGUUGAAUAACUUCUCUUGCUAUGCUUUAUGUGAUGUUGGAGCUAGUACCUUCGUUAUGCCCAAAAGAAUAUAUGACAUGCUUAAACUGAAACCUUUUGAUUCUUGUUCUUUUGGUGUUCGUUUUGUUGAUUCUUCCAUAAAGAAACCUUUGGGGGAGGAUCGAUGAUGUUCUUAUUGUUGUCAAUGAUAAUUAUGUUCCCGUUGAUUUUACUAUUAUGGACAUUGAAUGUGAACCUUCUUGUCCAAUUAUUUUGGGACGUCCUUUUCUUCGCACCGUUGGUGCCAUCAUUGACAUGAAAGAGGGGAAUAUAAGAUUCCAAUUUCCUCUCAAGAAAGGGAUGGAACACUUCCCUCGAAAGAAGAUUAAGUUACCGUUUGAGUCCGUUACACGGGCUAGCUAUUCUCUUACUCUUGAUAAGACUUGAUCUCUAUGCAUUAUGCCUAGCUUAAAGGCAUAAAAGAAAGCGCUUUUGGGAGGCAACCCAAAUGAAUAAAAUUUUAUUUUGCUUUUGUUGUGUCUUGAUGUUGUUACUACAGUAGCAUCAUCAUUGUAUCUUUACUUUUCAGCUUUGUGCCAGGUGUAGCCUCUGAUUGCAGGAAAGAUCAAGAGUUGUGACGUGCUGUCCAGGAAACAGAUUCUGUCCUCGCACAGAAAACUUCGUAUAAAAUAACCAGAUCAUCUUUUUGGUCUGAAUUUUUUCCACAGCGUGCUCUAUACAAUUGUCUUUCAGGCGUCUGUUCUGAGUUUUUUGAUUGGAGUUGCAGAAGUGCCCCGAAAAAUUCAUUUACUGCCUGCUGGUCUGUUUUUCACAGAUUCUGUCCUGUUUUGCCUUUCCUUCAUUUUGCGAGCCUUGAGCUUGCUUUUUCUUUGCAAAAACCUUAUGGCAAUCUAGAGAAACAGUAUACUUUCAAUAAUAUCCUUAUUUCCAGCAAGGAACAAUUAUACUAUUAUGGGUACUAACCUCGCUAAUCAGAUUAUGAUGAGUUAUGUAUGAAGGGAGUUUUCAAGUGUGCGAGGGAAGAUGAUGAAAAGAUUCAGGAGUGUCAAACGCUCAAGCUUGGGGUUGCCCCCAUGCACCCCCAAGAAAUAUUUAAGAAGACUCAAGCGUCUAAGCUUGGGGAUGCCCCCGUGCAUCCCCUUCUCCAUCGACAUUAUCAGUUCGUCUUUCGUUCCACUAUAUUUUUAUCACUUCAUGUGUUAUGUGCUAUGCUUGGAGCGUCUUGCUUUUAGUUUCCUUUUAGUUUUCUUUAUCUUUUAAUAACGAUUCGGAACUCAGCCUUCUUUAUGUGGGAGAGAAACACGCUCCACUUCUACCUAGAACAUAACAUGGAAUUUUCAUGUCUAUCUUUGCUGUGUGUGUUCUUUGUCUUUCAAUAGCUACUUUCAUGCUUAGCUCUUAGUUUUCAUGCUUAUAUUUUUAAAGAGCUUUUGUUUAGUUGGUUGCUUGAACUCUCUUUAUUAUCAUGAUUAUCUUAUUAAGAGAGUUUGCUUCUGUUGCAAUGGUUGAUAUGUCUAUGAUAAAGAUGCUACGUGCAUGAUGUUGCUUGGUAAUUCAUGUUUACUUAUGGUUAGUUUCAAAUAGCUGGAGGGUUUCCAAUGUGUUAUUGGAGUACCAACAUGAUUUGUUUGAAUAUGAUGUGGUAUGGUUUAGUGAUAUCUUCCUUCGAGAAUUUAUUUUGAUUGACUUGCCGUAUGCUCACGCAUAUUUAAGACUGUAAAGAAAGUCUGUCAAGCCUUGAUGAUCUUUUAUUUCUGAGUAGCGAUAUAACUUCCAUGCCUAAUUCAAUGUUGCUUUGUCGCUCUGCAUGAUUAUGGCCGUCAUUUCUCUCUUAGUUGGUCGCUCCCAGUCUUUUGCUAACCUUCGCCUGUACUAAGCGGACUGACUGCUUGUGCAUCCAAAUCCUUUAAACCAGUUAUGCCAUAUGAGUCCACCAUACCUUCCUAUACAUGGUAUUUACCUGCCAUUCCUAACGAAGACUUUCAUGUGCCAUCUCGAAAUUAUUCAAAUAAAUGCAUUCCUAUUUUGUGCCUCUGUUUUAGUUUAUGAGGAAGUAGUGGUUAAUUCAUGAUCUUUUUAAGUUGGACAAGCUUCACCCCGGGAUUGCAUGUAUAAUGUGCAACCCAUAAUAUGAGAAGGAAUUGGCAUAGAGUGCACCCGGCUCAUUAAAAAUUAAUAUAACAAACGAACCCUCCUUCACGCUUUGUUCAUGAGAAAUCAGAAAACUUUGGCAGUGAUAAACAAAGGAGAUUAAGAGGAUGUUAUGAUUCUCAUUCGGGAGCCAUUCCUCGAAACUUGUCCAGCUCAAGAAGUAAUUGGGUUAUCUGCUAGCAUUCGUUGACAAAACAUGCAUAUCCAAAAAAAUAAUUAUUACCUCUGUUUUUAAAACCAAGAGCUCUAGUACAUGCUUUGUCUUUGUUUCCGACUACGGGUUUUCAACCUUGCCAACAAAAGCCACGGUUCGAGAGUCUCCACCUUCUUUUAAAAAGCACCAACUACUGAGAGCAUGAUUGUCAUUCUGAGUGUAAUGUGCAUUGUCCCAAAGUAGCAUUGUCUUCUGCAUGAUUGUGAUAUCGUUUAUUCUGAAAUCAUUGUAUCUAGUCGUCACUUAAACCUUGGAGGUGCCCUUGCAUUUAUGUUUUGCUUCACUAAAGGGGGCAAGCGAGAUAUCACUUUAUCAUAUUUGCACACCAUGCUCAUUACAAAUCUAUUUGAUGUUUCAUUAUCAUGUUGAAAAACUUUUAGUUCUUUGAGAUUUUCUCAAGGCGACUUAAUUACUACAGAAUCAUUGUCUCUGUAAGCUUUUGUCAUUUGACUAUUAAAAAGUCAUAUAUGGUUAAUAGCAUGUCACCACAGAAAUUAUUCUUGUUAUCAUUUACCUACUCGAGGACGAGCAGGAAUUAAGCUUGGGGAUGUUGAUACGUCCAAAACGUAUCUAUAAUUUCUGCUUGCUCCAUGCCUCUUUUGGGUGAUAUUGCUAUGAUACUUAUACACUUCCAUACACUUUUGAUCAUAUUUGGACUAACCUAUUAACUCAGUGCACCCCAGUGCCAGUUUCUGUUUUCUGCUGUUUUUGUAUUUCAGGUUUUUCCAUUACGAAAACUGCCAGAAAAAUUCCGGAAAAAAUAUAUAAAAAAUCAGCGUUCAGGAAGCUUCCAGGACCCCGNNNNNNNNNNNNNNNNNNNNNNNNNNNNNNNNNNNNNNNNNNNNNNNNNNNNNNNNNNNNNNNNNNNNNNNNNNNNNNNNNNNNNNNNNNNNNNNNNNNNNNNNNNNNNNNNNNNNNNNNNNNNNNNNNNNNUUCCGCCGCCGCCGCGCUUCCAAGAUCGGGAGCGCCAGGAGAACUCUUCCCGGCACCCUGCCGGAGGGGAGGAUCACCACCGGGAGCUUCUCCACCACCAUGGACGCCUCCCGGAUGAUGCGUGAGUAGUCUCCCUUGGACCAUGGGUCCAUGACCAGUAGCUAUGUGAUGUUCUCCUCCCCUUCUUGUGCUUCACUAAUUAGACCUCGUGAGCUGCCCUACAUGAUCGAGGCACAUAUGUAAUCCUUAUGCUGUUGCUAUGAUGAGUUUGCUGGGAUCCGAUGGAUUGUGAGAUUAUAUUCAGAUUGUGUUUGAGUAAUAUAUUUGAUUUACCUCUUUUAUAUUUAUGUUCGUAAGUAAUUCUUGCAUGUUCUCCGUUGUUGUUUAUUGCUUUGGCCGAGUAGUAGGUAGUAACUCCAAGAGGGAACGUUAUGCUUGAUUGUGGGUUCAUGCCCCUCGAUGACUAGCUUGAGUGACAGAAACAUGAGUCUAGGGGAUGUGCUGUUGCCACAAGGGGGAAAACAACGGUGCUUGUGCCCGCGGGUGCAAGGAUUGUUUACUUCACGCAAAGUUAUUUUAAUGCAGUUGUCUGUUGCUUUGUGUCGGUGUCAAAACCGGCGGAUCUCGGGUAGGGGGUCCCGAACUGUGCGUCAAGGUCGGAUGGUAACAUGAGACAGGGGACACUUUGUUUUACCCAGGUUCGGGCCCUCUCGAUGGAGGUAAAACCCUACUCCUGCUUGAUUAAUAUUGAUGAUAUGGGUAGUACAAGAGUAGAUCUACCACGAGAUCAAGGAGGCUAAACCCUAGAAGCUAGCCUAUGGUUUGAUGAUGAAUAAUGAUUCUUCUUCUUCUUCUUCUUCCGUCCUACGAACUAAAACCCUCCGGUUUAUAUAGACACCGGAUAGGGUUAGGGUUACACAGAGUCGGUUGCCUUGGUAGGAGAUCCUGAAUAUCCGCACGCCUAGCUUGCCUUCCACGCCAAGGAAAGAAUCUUCCGUACACGGGACGAAUUCUUCUAUCCUGUAUCUUCAUAGUCCUGGAGUCCGGCUGAGAGUAUAGUCCGGCUAGCCGAACACCCCCUAAUCCAGGACUCCCUCAGCGGCCGAAGAGCGCACUAAACGAGAAAAGCUCGGAGGCUAAUACGGAGAGGUGCAGCAAAAGCUGCAAGCUCUCAUGGAAAAACAUGAGGGUUUGGAGCUUGACGUGAAAGCGCAAGCCACCGAACUCGCCUCUGCCGUUGAGGCCACCAAGAAUGCCAAGGCCGAAGCCCAUAGGGCCCUCCAAGAGUUGGAGGAUAUGAGGAAGAUAGCUGCGGGUAAGACAUUCUCGAUGCAAAGUAGGAACAUAAAAGUAAAAUACCUGUUACUUACCCGGAUCCGGAGUUCUCCAGGGGCGUUCUUCGAUCUACCCCGCAGUGCAUCCGACGCCGCCGCGUUCUUCCGGAGCGAAGGGAACAGCUCGACGGAGAGUGUGUUCUGGUCUCAGUAUUCUGAGGCUGGACACCCUGUGCCCUUGAGCGACCAGCUGAAGCAGCUGGCCGUGCUCCACAAGGCGGUCGAACAGGCCAUGAAGGGCUUACUAGUUCGGCCGUGGCCUGGAGAGGCCCUGCCAGGGAGCUACUUCGGGCUAGUGCGGCGGCUGGUGGAGGCCUGUCCGCGACUUGAGAUCAUCAAGCGCUCUGCCUGCAUUGAAGGUGCCCGGAGGGCCCUUGCCCAUGUAAGGGUACACUGGGGCAAGCUGGACGGCGAGAAGCUGGUGAUGGACGGUCCGCCGUAGGGGAAGGAACAUCGCAAGCCCGAGAACUACUAUAAGGAAGUUCUUGCCGGAUCCCGCCUUAUCGCGGAUGAAUGUACCCAUGAUGUAAUCUAUCAAUGAACUCGUUCGUUUCUAUCCUGUAUGCCGAAAACUUGUUCGUAUGCACUUUUAGCAAUGCUUUGAAUUUAAAAUAUUGUUUUCUGUGCGGCCGUUUAUCAAUAACUGAGAGAUGGCGAGUCGCCGGCUUCUGCCCUCAUGCAACUAGUGCUGAGGUGUUCGGGAUAAACCUGCGGGCUCUUGUUCCCAUAGUUGGGUCCUUCGAGGGAGGCCUGCAGCACAACGAACCAGGCAACCAGACUAUAAUGCUUGAACACUCUCACUUAGCCAUAGAACUUUAUAAUUUUAAAUUUCGGCGAAGCCCCUAGUUCGGAAGGCCGAAUUCGGGGCACUAUCCACACCUUUUAGCAUUUAACCAGCUCUCCAUUCAAAAACGGCAUAAGCCUUUAAGGGCUCGAAAAACCUCUCGAACAGCGACCGGUCUCACGCCCUAUCAUGACAGUCUGUUUUAGCUUUCUCCACUGAGGCGCUCACCCACCUGAUCUGGGGCGCAAUCGCAACGGUUCUCCUAGUGCUACCUUAGCCGAUAGAGCGGAACGUAAGGUACCAAAACAUAGGAGCCGGGCAAACCCAACAUAUGACCAAAAUCAUGACUCAGAGCCGAUGCAUAUAGUGCUAUAAGUUCGGGGUGCCGCACUUGGGAAAGUGUGCGGACUUCUCACGACCAGAUGAAAAGGGUGAUGAAGCCCCUGGCGUGGUUUGCCGUACCAUGGUGUACGGGUGCCAUCAUGUUAUGAAAUAAACAUAUAUAUAUAUAUAUAAAGAUUAUAAUGCAAAAAAUAGACUAAAGCUAUGCAUUGUUUAUAAGAAGGCUGUUUACUCAAGCCGAACGAUACAAUUAGUGCAAUAAGCGAAAAAUGUUUUAGACCAUAUGACAUGUCCUGACUAGGCGCAGGCCGUGGAAUUUAGAUACAGUUAUAUUGCUCGGAAUAGAGACCACCUGAGAGUUCCAUAAUGCGGCGUUGCUUUGUCUGCUUUCCUGGGUCUUGUAUCGUCUGUGUGGCAGCAUUGCCGAACAGGUUGUCCAGACUAUGGAGUCCUGAAAGUAGAAAAAAGAGAAAGAAUCCGGUAGCCCCUAGUGCGUUUGACGCCGUACUGUAGGCAUGCCGUCGAUGUGCCCCUUCCCCUAUGCCCAUGGAAUUUUAAGGGCGUACUUGUGUACUCUAGGUACUAGCUCUGCUAUGCAGCUAUGGCCAGGGUUGGGGCCGCUUUGCUACGCUUGCUCCGAACGCGCCAGUUGGUCUUGCUGCAGAUUGCUCCGGGCGCAUUUUGCACUGUCCGGAUUUUUAGCGUCCGGACUGGAGAGUUGCCUUAAAAGGCUGCUUUGAACCUCCGCUGCGAGUGCCGCUGUGUGCUCCUCCGUCCGGAUGGAGCGUUCGGUGUUUCCGCUGACCGUGAUUAUGCCACGAGGGCCUGGCAUCUUGAGAUUGAGAUAUGCGUAGUGCGGCACCGCGUUGAAUUUGGCAAACGCGGUUCGUCCGAGCAGGGCGUGGUAGCCACUGCGGAACGGUACUAUGUCGAAGAUUAACUCUUCGCUUCGAAAGUUAUCCGGAGAUCCGAAGACCACAUCAAGUGUUAUAGAGCCUGUACAGUUGGCUUCUACACCUAGGAUGACGCCUUUAAAGGUCGACCUUAUUGGCUUGAUCCUUGAUGGAUCUAUGCCCAUUUUCCGCACUGUAUCCUGAUAAAGCAGGUUCAGGCUGCUGCCGCCGUCCAUGAGGACUCUUGUAAGGUGAAAUCCGUCAACUAUUGGGUCGAGAACCAAUGCGGCAAAACCGCCGUGACGGAUGCUGGUGGGGUGGUCCCUUCGAUCGAAAGUGAUCGGGCAGGAGGACCAUGGGUUGAACUUUGGGGCGACUGGCUUCAUCGCGUAUACGUCCCGUAGUGCCCGCUUCCACUCCCUUUUGGGGAUGUGGGUCGCGUAUAUCAUGUUCACCGUCCGCACUUGUGGGGGAAACCCCUUCUGUCCUUUGUUGUUCGGCGGCCUGGGCUCCUGCUCGUCGUCGCUAUCCAGCCCCUUGUCUUUAUGUUCGGCAUUUAUCUUGCCUGCCUGCUUGAACACCCAACAAUCUCUGUUGGUGUGAUUGGCUGGCCUUUCGGGGGUGCCAUGAAUCUGGCACGAGCGGUCGAGUAUUCGGUCCAAACUGGACGGGCCCUGGUUAUUCUUUUUGAAUGGCUUCUUCCGCUGACCGGAUUUAUAGCCUCUGAAUCCGGCAUUUACUGCCGUAUCCUCAUUGCUGUCGCUGCUAACGCGGCGCUUUUGAUUAUGUCGACGUGACCUGCCACCUUUGUCCUUGUUAUCCGGAUUACCGGUUUUCUUUGAUAAGUUGUUGCUACGAGCUAGCCAGCUGUCUUCGCCCGCGCAAAAGCGGGUCAUGAGUGUCGUGAGGGCUGCCAUGGACUUCGGCUUUUCCUGUCCUAGGUGCCGGGCCAGCCAUUCGUCGCGGAUAUUAUGCUUGAAGGCCGCUAGGGCCUCUGCAUCCGGACAGUCGACUAUCUGAUUUUUCUUUGUUAAGAACCGUGUCCAGAAUUGCCUGGCCGAUUCGUCUGGCUGCUGAAUUAUGUGGCUUAGGUCAUCGGCGUCCGGCGGUCGCACAUAAGUGCCCUGGAAGUUGUCGAGGAAUGCGGCUUCCAGGUCCUCCCAAGAACCGAUCGAAUCUGCAGGCAAGCUGUUAAACCAAUGCAUGGCUGGUCCCUUAAGCUUGAGUGGGAGGUAUUUGAUGGCGUAUAGUUCGUCGCCACGUGCCAUGUGGAUAUGAAGGAGAUAAUCCUCGAUCCAAACUGCCGGAUCUGUCGUACCAUCGUACGAUUCUAUAGUGAUGGGUUUGAAACCCUCUGGGAUUUUAUGAUCCAUUACUUCGUCUGUGAAGCAUAGCGGGUGUGCGGCACCCCUGUACUGGGCUAUGUCAUUACGCAGAUCGGAAGAGCUGUGCUUGUUCUGUUCGGCCCGGCCGGAUUUAUGUUGUCCGGACUGAAAGUUUGGGCGUCCGCGCGAUCCGUAGAUCGAUCUUGUUUGCCUCACCUUAUCCUCCAGUACGUCUCGCAGGUCUGGCUCGUUUACCCGUGCCUUGGUAAAGCGGCGGCGGGGCAUGGCUUAUUUGGCUGUUCGGUAGGUUUCUCUGUCGCGGCCACGGGGUGGCCGAUCUGCCAUGUCUUGUGCUUCCUCCUCUGAUAGGGGGAGCGGCCUGUGCUUAGGAUAAUUUUUGGAGGGGCGUCCGAGUUCAUACUCUUCGGCCGCAAGGACUUCUGUCCAUCUGUCAGCUAGCAAAUCUUGAUCAGCUCUAAGCUGUUGUUGCUUUUUCUUUAGGCUGUUUGCUGUGGCUUUAAGCCUGCGUUGAAAACGCUCUUGUUCGGCGGGGUCUGAUGGUACGACGAAUUCAUCGUCUCCGAGACUUGCCUCGUCUUCGGAGGGAGGCAUAUAGUUGUCAUCCUCGACCUCUUGUUCUGCCGCCCUCUCAUGAGGGCUGGAUUCUCCAUCUUCCUGUGCCGAAUCUUGCUGGGGUUGGUGCUCUUCGGCGCUAUCCGGGGUAGUAUUUUCCCCUGUGCCGGAAUCACCAUUCUUGCUUUGGCGGGAUUUAGAGCGGCGCCGCUGACACCGGCGUUUGGGAGGCUUUCUAGAAGUGCCAUCCUCCGCUGUUCCAUCGCCAUCUCCGUCUUUCGGAGCGUCCACCAUGUAUAUGUCGUAUGACGAGGUGGCAGUCCAGCGCCCUACAGGUGCUGGCUCUUGUUCGUCUCCUCCUUCGUCGUCCAUACCGAUGAAGUCUUCGGAGCCGAAGUCAAGCAUGUUGGUUAAGUCGUCGACAGUGGCUACUAAGUGGGUGGUGGGCGGGCUUUGAAUUUCUUCGUCGUCCGAAUCCCAACCUCGCAGGCCAUAGUUCCGCCUGGGCUCCCCUGAUAAAGAGAGAGACUUAAGAGAGUUCAGUAUAUCACCGAAGGGUGAAUGCUGAAAAAUAUCCGCAGCGGUGAACUCCAUUAUAGGCGCCCAAUCUGAUUCGAUCGGCAGGGGCAAGGGAGUUUCGGAACUCGGGGAAGAGUCCGGCUCCUCGGAGUCAUGGGCCACGCGGAGUGCGGGGCUGUCGUUCGGCUCGAUCGCCUUUGAGAUCGCAGCCCCUGAGGUGACGUCCAACCGUUCAUCCUCAACGAACGCAACGGGCUCCGAAUCGAGAGUCGGGGCCGGAGCGUGUGCGGCCUCCAGGACACUAUUCGGGGGCAGAGCUAUAUCAUGUCCCUCGAGAUGGUGCGGCACGCUUGGCUGUGGAUCGAAUCCGUCGAAGAUCAAGUCUCCUCGGAUACCUGCCGUAUAGUUUAAAGUUCCAAACCUGACUUGAUGGCCAUUGGCGUAGCUUCCGAUCUGCUCCAGAUGGCCAAGGGAAUUGGCCCGCAGAGCGAAGCCGCCGAAGACGAAGAUCUGUCCGGGGAGAAAAGUCUCGCCCUUGACCUCGUCGUUGCUGAUGAUCAAAGGAGCCAUCGGACCCGAUGGCGACGACACAGAGGAACUCUCAACGAAAGCACCAAUGUCGGUGUCAAAACCGGCGGAUCUCGGGUAGGGGGUCCCGAACUGUGCGUCAAGGUCGGAUGGUAACAGGAGACAUGGGACACUUUGUUUUACCCAGGUUCGGGCCCUCUCGAUGGAGGUAAAACCCUACUCCUGCUUGAUUAAUAUUGAUGAUAUAGGUAGUACAAGAGUAGAUCUACCACGAGAUCAAGGAGGCUAAACCCUAGAAGCUAGCCUAUGGUAUGAUGAUGAAUAAUGAUCGUUCGUCCUACGGACUAAAACCCUCCGGUUUAUAUAGAUACCGGAUAGGGUUAGGGUUACACAGAGUCGGUUACAUUGGUAGGAGAUCUUGAAUAUCCGCACGCCUAGCUUGCCUUCCACGCCAAGGAAAGAACCUUCCGGACACAGGACGAAGUCUUCUAUCUUGCAUCUUCAUAGUCCUGGAGUCCGGCUAGCCGAACACCCCCUAAUCCAGGACUCCCUCACAAACACUCAAGGACUAUGGCGUCAACAUGAAGAAUGUGCCUCUCCUCUAUGACAAUGAGAGUGCCAUCAAGAUUGCUCACAACCCAGUUCAGCACUCGAAGACAAAGAACAUUCAGAUUCGUCAUCAUUUUCUUCGUGAUCAUGUGUUGAAGGGCGACAUUUCUAUUGAGCAUGUGAAGACUGAAGAACAGCUAGCUGAUAUCUUCAUAAAGCCUUUGGAUGAGAAGAGAUUUAGCAAGUUGCGGUGUGCGCUAAAUAUCUUAGAGUCUUAGAAUGUACUUUGAAAAAGGCACACAUCCUAACACUUAUGCAAAAUUGAUGACUUAGAUGUGCAACACAUAAAGAAACGUUUUUCUUCAAUCAAUGAAGAAUAACACUCUAAGUGUGAAGAAAUUAAUGAAGAAUUUGAUUCUCAGAACCCUACGACAAUUGUACGCGGUGUCUGAAAUCAUCAUUCUUAUACGGUGGGUCACGCCACCACCAAAGUUGAAAAUCUUCAAUUUGAGUUUUUCCUUAGUUUUUCAAAUUCUUCAACUUUGCAAAAUCUUCACUUGUUCGGUCGUUUUUCUUCAUUCGCUAUAUAUAUAUAUAUAUAUAUAUAUAUAUAUAUAUAUAUAUAUAUAUAUAUAUAUAUAUAUAUAUAAGUUUUUGCCCUCUACAACAUUCACUUAUAGCUAUUUUUUCGAGUUGGUUUUUCUGCUAAGUGAAUGUGAUCGGACCCUUCCCUCUCUGCUAUACUCAACCCAAUCUAUUCACAAAUUCUUCAUGUGCGUUCUAUUUGUAACUCGUUCAAAAUCUUUACUGUGUCCCUGUCAGCUGAAGAAAUUGCGAACGGAUCGUUAAAACUAAUCUUAUCCAAAGUUUCGGUUUUGCCACUCAAACCGUUCCGCAUCCCACGAUACAUUAUUCUACUCACCCACGAUCUUACACGAUCUUCACUACACUAUACGUGGGUGACACAUGUAGUGCGAAGGAGAAGUGUCAGGGGCAUGUUCGUCCCAAAAUCUUCGGGCGAGCAGUUUUUCACCGUGGCUAUAAAUACCCCCGUCCCCUUCCUCACUUCCUUUACUCCGCUCGAACUCCCUCUCCCGCUCGAGCUUCCCAAACCCUAGCGCCGCCGCUACUCCAUCGUCGCCGGUGAGGAAGAGCUUCACUGCCUCGACCUCGUCGCCGUCGUACUCGCGCCGACCGCGGAAAUCUUCACUCCGCCGCCGCCGUAGACGUCUUCCUCUGCCAAGUUAGGUCGUGGAAGAUCUACACCAACGAAAUUCACUUCUCCAUCUCUGUGUUCAUCGUGUUCUUCUUUCAGGCUUAAUAAAAGUUACUUUUACUGCCCUCUUUGAUUGGAAAGUUUUCUACAAAAUCUUCAAGGGUGUUUUAUUCUUCAAUCCUCACACACAAAACACCUCACAAGUCAUGUGUUAUUGAUUCGUUUCUCUAUGCAUCAUUUUUCUUCAAGAUUCCUCAAUUGUGUGGAUCUUCGAUCUAUACAACUCUGGAACCUAAGACAAAGCACGCUUAGUGAAAUUCUUCAAGAUUCAUCUGGUCAAAUUCCUCAAACUUGUUCUCUUUGGAAAACCCUCUGAGAACGCAUAUGACCUAUCCAAAUUCCUCGCAACUAUAUGAAGGAAAUAUGCCCUAGAGGCAAUAACAAAGUUAUUAUUUAUUUCCUUAUAUCAUGAUAAAUAUUUAUUAUUCAUGCUAGAAUUGUAUUAUUCGGAAACAUAAUACUUGUGUGAAUACAUAGACAAACUAAACGUCACUAGUAUGCUUCUACUUGACUAGCUCGUUAAUCGAAGAUGGUUAUGUUUCCUAACCAUAGACAUGUGUUGUCAUUUGAUUAUCGGGAUCACAUCAUUAGGAGAAUGAUGUGAUUGACAUGACCCAUUCCAUUAGCUUAGCACCCGAUCGUUUAGUAUGUUGCUAUUACUUUCUUCAUGACUUAUACAUGUUCCUAUGACUAUAAGAUUAUGCAACUCCCGUUUGCCGGAGGAACACUUUGUGUGCUACCAAACGUCACAACGUAACUGGGUGAUUAUAAAGGAGCUCUACAGGUGUCUCCAAAGCCACAUGUUGGGUUGGCGUAUUUCGAGAUUAGGAUUUGUCACUCCGAUUGUCGGAGAGGUAUCUCUGGGCCCUCUCGGUAAUGCACAUCAUAUAAGCCUUGCAAGCAUUGCUACUAAUGAGUUAGUUGCGAGAUGAUGUAUUACAGAAACGAGUAAAGAGACUUGCCGGUAACGAGAUUGAACUAGGUAUUGAGAUACCGAAGAUCGAAUCUCGGGCAAGUAACAUACCGAUGACAAAGGGAACAACGUAUGUUGUUAUGCAGUCUGACCGAUAAAGAUCUUUGUAGAAUAUGUAGGAGCCAAUAUGUGCAUCCAGGUUCCGCUAUUGGUUAUUGACCAGAGAUGUGUCUCGGUCAUGUCUACAUUGUUCUCGAACCCGUAGGGUCCGCACGCUUAACGUUACGAUGAUAGUUUCAUUAUGAGUUUAUAUAUUUUGUUGUACCGAAGUUUAUUCAGAGUCCCGGAUGUGAUCACGGACAUGCCGAAGAGUCUCGAAAUGGUUGAGACAUAAAGAUUGAUAUAUUGGAUGGCUAUUGUCGGUGUCAAAACCGGCGGAUCUCGGGUAGGGGGUCCCGAACUGUGCGUCAAGGUCGGAUGGUAACAGGAGACAAGGGACACUUUAUUUUACCCAGGUUCGGGCCCUCUCGAUGGAGGUAAAACCCUACUCCUGCUAGAUUAAUAUUGAUGAUAUGGGUAGUACAAGAGUAGAUCUACCACGAGAUCAGGGAGGCUAAACCCUAGAAGCUAGCCUAUGGGUAUAAUUGUGUAUGAUGAUGGUUGUCCUACGGACUACAACCCUCCGGUUUAUAUAGACACCGGAUAGGGUUAGGGUUACACAGAGUUGGUUACAUUGGUAGGAGAUCUUGAAUAUCCGCACGCCUAGCUUGCCUUCCACGCCAAGGAAAGAACCUUCCGGACACGGGACGAAGUCUUCAAUCUUGUAUCUUCAUAGUCCUGGAGUCCGGCUGAAGGUAUAGUCCGGCUAUCCGAACACCCCCUAAUCCAGGACUCGCUCAGUAGCCCCUGAACCAGGCUUCAAUGAUGACGAGUCCGGCGCGCAAAUUGUCUUCGGCAUUGCAAGGCGGGUUCCUCCUCCAAGUUCUUCAAGAAGAUAAUAAACACCAAAAAUAGUGUCCGGCUCUGCAAAACAAGUUUCCACGUAUUGCCAUAUAGAGAAUAAUGAGAACACAAAUCAAAUCUGCUGACGUAUUCCGUAAUGCGUCAUGACACUGCGACCAAGCCUUCUGUAUGGAUUAUUUUUACUGUUCCACCGCGGCACGUUCAUCGAGGCGAUUUCCUUGGCACGUCUUGUCGAAGCAGAGAUCGUGUGCCCCUUUUAACGGGAUUCUCAUUAAUACGGACGUGGGUAACCCAACCGUGCCCGUUUAGAACGUCCUGUCUUAACUAAAGGCUAGUCCAAGACGGUUACGGGGAGGGCUCUUGAUAUUCGGCCUCUUUAUAAAGAGACCGAGACCCUGCUCCCCUCUUGUGUUCUCAAAACAAGUUCGCCCAUCGCCUCGAGUUCCAACACCCAAGGCUCUUAUAUUCUAGGCGCACCGGACCUUUCGACAAUGUCCGGCUCCGGCCUUCAAGGCCAAUGGAUGCCUUCCUCCGUUAAGGAGGAGGACGUAUCAAGGUUGAGAGAGGCUAGGUACCUGACCAGCGAGAUUCCGCACAGGUUGCCCGCUCAAGGGCAAGCGAUCCCGAGCCCUCAUCCUGGUGAGAGCGUAGUAUUCGUCUCCCACCUCCUUCGGGGUUUAGGCUUCCCAACGGAUCCUUUCGUAAGGGGGCUGAUGUUUUACUAUGGGCUGGAGUUCCAUGACCUAGCUCCGGAGUCCAUCCUCCAAAUCUCCUCCUUCAUUGUUGUGUGUGAAGCGUUCCUCCAUGUCACCCCUCACUUCGGAUUAUGGCUCAAGACCUUCAAGGUAGAACCAAAGAUAAUCGAGGGACGUCACAUAGAGUGCAGAGGUGCUGUUAUAAAAAGAAUUACCGAUGCUCCAUGGCCCGAGGGCGCUUUUCAAGAGGAGCUCGGUUUAUGGCAACAGGAGUGGUUCUAUAUCACCUCUCCUCGGGGCACCACUUGGGUGGCGCCUCCAGCCUUUCGCUCGGGCCCCCCACCACGUUUAACAUUGUGGAUCAAUACAGGGCUAGAUUGGGGCUUGCCCAAAGACGUUCCUCUGUUGCAGGGCCGCAUAAAGGAGCUCCUGAAAGGAGACCUCAACCUGGUCAAGGUGACACAAGCCAUGCUGAUCCACCGGACAUUGCCCGGCCAACGUCGCCCCCUUCGCCUGUGGGAGUUCAAUCCGGAGGGGCCGCGAACUCUCCGAAAUUUCAUGGGCGUGACGCCUAUGGAGAUGUAUAAACUGUUCUUCGGACCACAAGAAGUGAGUCCGGAUUUGACCGAGGACGCCGGUUUAAGCCGCAACCGUCUGGAUACCGAAGUAGGUGACCUUGUGCCUGGACCUUCUAUCCGUACAAUUGAUUUAUUUUUAACAGUACUUCUCCUUUUAUGCAGGAGUGGAUAGCGAAAGCGAAGCUGAUCCGGUGUCCGGCUCCCCUUCCCGAGACCAGGCUAGAUCCCGUGCUAGUCAGGAUGUUAGAGGUGGCGCCUCUGGAGGGAAAUGAAGGGGCGGACAAGGAAACCAUGGCCUAUUCGAAAGAGGCCAUUCCAAAGGGGGGAAUCGAUAAUUCCUCUCCUAAGGGGAAGAAAAGGGCCGCCUCUGAUGACCCGGGCGCCGUAGCUCCAAAGCGGGGGAAAGCAUCCACGUCAGAGGACCCGACGCCGGGGAGCCCCUCGGCCGAAUUAAAUCCUCAAAAGGAGCAGCCCUCCAGGGAGCCGUAAGUAGAAAGAGAGUUGUUCUUUUAAGAGAAAUCUUUGAUUUAUAUCUGUGAAGUUUUAACCGAAACCUUACCUUGUAGUUCGGACCUCGACCUUUCUCAGCAGAGCUCGUCGUCGGGGGAUCUUCUUCUGGAGAUGAUGGAGAGCGGAACGCCUCCUUCUUCUACAUCGCCUAGCAAGGCGGGCGACGCCGAAGUGUCGUCGCAGAGGAUUGCUCCGAAUCUGCCCGAGGCAGAAGGUGAUCAUGCGGCCCCCCAAGGUUCUCCGUGUCCGGCCUCCAAAGAAGGCCAUGGGACGACUCCGGCACCAUCUGGUGUUCGGUCGGAGGAGCUGAAGGUUCUGCUGGGUCGAGCCUCUGUUUCAGAGGAGCAUCGUGUGUUGACGCACACGGUAAUUGAAAAGAUUUCAUCCGCGGAAAGCGGACUGAACGAGGCCGUCAAGAGUUUACUGGCGGGCCUUGAGGUACGUUCUGAAUAACGAACAUUAGUGUUAAUUGCGCAUAAUAACAAGCGCCCUGUGUAGAUAGUAGCCCCUGAGACUCUGUGUGUCGCAAAGAUGUGCGGCGCGCAGAGGAUCUUAAUCCCAGGUCCUUUAAGUGGCACCUUUGUAUGUAGGUGGCAGAUUGUCCGGGGUCAAGCCGGACUCGAGAUUUUGCCGAAAUGAGACGACAACUUGAUGAGGCAGAAGCCGACAUCGUGCUUGUUAACAAGCGGCUUGAUGAUGCUCAAGGUAUUGGGUUUAUUUGGCGAUUGUUAGUAAGAGGAGCUUUUUGUAACAUCUUACCGUGUGUAUGCUUGAUGCAGAUGGUGCGGCGGCCGUAGAAGGACUUAGGGCCGAACUCGCCAAAGCAAAGGAGCAAGCCAGAAAAAGCGAUGCGGCUGCCGGAAAAGCCCGUGAAGAGCUAAAAGCCGAACAGGCUUCCCAUUGCCGAAGCAAGGAGGAGAUGGCUGAUAUUGCCGUGAAGUUAAAAAGUGCUACUGACCAUUGCAAACUUCUUGAAGAGGAAGGUCGAGCCAGGCAGACGGUCUUGGAGAAGGCCGUUGCCGACGCCAAGGACGCCCGCUCUGUGAUGAGAGCGACAAGGGAAGAGCUACAUCAAGCCGGACUAAUUGCGGAUGGAAAGCCCUUCCUGCUGCGAAGAAAAUUCUGUGAUCCGAAGUUCGCCCCGUUGGACCGAGCGUGGAGCGUGGAGGACACCUAUCUGGAUUUGGCGGCCAGUGCUGCUGAGGCGACCAGGUACUUUCAUGAUAAGAAAGAUCAUGAAGUGGAAAAGCUCUUCUGGUCGCAGUUCACCAAUCCAGAGCGUCCACUGGCAGUGGACGAUCGCCUGGCCCAAUGGGCCGAGCUGAAUAGGUUGUCCGGACACGCCAAGAGCUAUGCCAUGGAUCGCCUAUGUCCGGGGAGAUCGAAGCCGAAAAGCUAUUUCAGCUUGGUGCAGCAAUUUCUUGACGUGAUGCCUCAGAUUGAAGCUCUGAAGAGGUCAGCUUGCACAGAGGGCGCUCGGCUGGCUCUUGCGCGUGUCAAGACAUACUGGGCAGAUAUGGAGCCCACCGUUGUUGCGUCCCGUGAUUCGGAUAAAAGCCGAAUACCUUCCGAGCACUAUUUUGAGGAAGUCCUCGCGGGCGCUCGUAUAAUUGAGACGCAGUGUUCGAAAGAUGCUGUUUUGUGACAGCAUAUGUGAUCAUAGAUCAGUAUUUUUAUAAAUUGUAAUGGCAUAUUUUAGACUUGUGCCUUCAAGUAUUAAAUAACACCUCCUGUGUGGCCGUUUUAAUAUAUAUAUAAAUUCUGAAAGAUUGCAGUCGUUGGCUUCAGCCCCCACGCAUAUAGUGCGGGGGUGCGCGCAGAAAACGCAUUAUCACACUUAACCCAACGUCUUGGUCCCACAAAGGAGGUGAUAGCGCCGCGGGCCAGGCAACAGGACUAUAAUGCUUUAACACUUUCACUUAGCCAUAGGAGCUUGACAGUGGGACUCUUUAAGUAGCCCUUAAGUGGCAACUGCGUUUACCCGAAUUCAGGACGCGUGUGAGCCUGACUGGGAAGCGGCCCUUCGUCAAAACGGAGGAAUUCGAUAAAUCCCUAUAAGUCAUCGAGUGGCGACCAGUCUCUCGCUACAUCAUGACAGUCGGUUUUCGGCUUUCUCUACUGAGGUGCUCGCCCGGCCAAACCGGGGCACAAUCGCAGUAGUUCUCCUGGUGCUACCUUAGCCGACAGAACGGAACGUAAGGUGGCCGAACUCAGGAGCCGGGCAACCCAACAUAUGACCAAAAUCAUGACUCAGAGCUGAUGCAUAUAGUGCCAAAACUCGCGACGCCGAACACUCCCUAAGGUGUUCGGUCUUUGUGGGUGUGUGCAGGACAACACCCUCGAAAAAGAAAAAAGCCCCUUGUGUCCAGGUACGAGCAAGAAUUCUAGCAUGGCCACAUGCCAAAACGCCAGCCUCCUCCUUGGUUAUAGUGAAAUAAACCAGGGGAUGUAUAGCAGCAAGAGACAGUAAAAAAUGUUUACGCAGGGUCUUAAUCUAAAAAGAAUCCUUUGGGGCGGGUCCCUACUGCACGUCUGUGCCUGUGUCUCCGCUGUGCCAUGUCCUGGACGGGCGUCGUACGACGUUCAUCUGUAAAAGAGAAGAACUAAAUUGAAAAUGGGUCGUGCGGAUCAAAAAGAAUAAUAAACGAAAUAUAAAGUGGAAAGGAUACGGUCGAGCUUUAUUGCCUCUGCGUACAGCCCCUGGUGUGGCAUACUUAGCCUAUAAUGAUAAUGGGCUUGUGCCGAACUCAUUGAGUCCGGGUUUGUGGCCUUUUAUGAUUUACAUCGAAAAAGUCCUUUGGCUGGCGAGGCCAUUUUAUUGUGCGGCUGUUUAAGCGGCCGCGCAAUCCUCCGAUUGGAGGAGGCGUAUUUUAGUAUGCUCCCUUUAAAGAGAUGAUGCCUCGAGGACCGGGCAUCUUUAGAGUGAGGGAUGCAUAAUGCGGUAUUGCGUUAAAGCGAGCGAAAGCUCCGCGUCCCAUUAGUGCUUGAUAGCGACUUGAAAACGGGUCUACGUGGAAGGUAAGCUUUUCACGACGAAAGUUAUUGGCAGAGCCAAAUAUGACUACAAGCCGGAGAAAACCCAUACAAUGGGUGUCCGGGCCUGGUGCUACCCCUUGAAAGGAGGUUUUACUGUGAUGGAUUCUUGCUGGGUUUAUGCCCAUGCGGCGAAUUGUAUCCUGAUAUAUCAGGUUUAGUCCACUGCCCCCGUCCAUAAGGACAUUGGUGAACUGGAAUCCGUGUAUUAUUGGAUUAAGUAUCAGGGAAGUCCGGCCCGCGUGCUUGAUAUUUCAAGAAUAAUCUAGCUGAUCGAAAAUGAUUGGCUUUAGUGACCAGUGGCGGGACUCCUGAGAUUUAGGCUUGAAUGUGCGACCCUUUAUGGGUGCCUCAUGCCUUGUUAUGUGAAGUGAGUUCACUGUUUUGACUUCUUGCGGGAAGUUCUUUUGCUUCCUGGUGUUCUGCUUUUGGGGUUCGUCCUCUUCCUCACUUGGUGUAUCGAGCCCCUUGUGUUCGGCGUUAAGCCUUCCGGAUUGUUUGAAAACCCAACAGUCUCUGUGGGUAUGAUUAGCAGGCUUACCAGGAGUACUGUGUAUCUGACAUAUCCUGUCCAUGAUUCUCUUUAGGCUGGACGGAUCUUCCCUAUUAUCCCGAGGGGGUGUUUUUGUCUGAUUUUGUCGUGAGCCUUUGAAUCCGGCAUUGACUGCCGUGCUCUUCGGACUUUUUCUUUUGAUUCGGCGAUGAUCCUUAUUGCGCCACGGUUUCCCGUUUCCAUCCCUGAUUUCCGAUGUACUUAGGUCGCUGGGGUUGCACCGUGCCAACCAGCUAUCCUCUCCUGCGCAAAAGCGGGUCAUGAGGCUUGUGAGUGCGACCAUUGUUCUAGGCUUUUCCUGACCGAGGUGUCUGGCGAGCCAUUCGUCUCGGACAUUGUGCCUGAAAGCCGCUAAGGCUUCGGCGUCCGGACAAUCAACUAUUUGAUUCUUUUUAGUGAGGAAUCUGUUCCAGAACUGCCGAGCUGAUUCUCCGGGCUGCUGAGUUAUGUGACUGAGGUCGUCUGCAUCCGGGGGACGGACGUAGGUCCCUUGAAAAUUUGCUCGGAAAGCGUCCUCGAGCUCUUCCCAACUUCCAAUUGUGUUUUCGGGAAGGCUUUUAAGCCAUUGCCGGGCUGUCCCUUUAAGCUUAAGAGGUAAAUAUUUUAUGGCGUGGAGGUCAUCUCCUCUAGCCAUAUGUAUGUGGAGGAUAUAGUCCUCGAUCCAGACUCCAGGGUCUGUUGUUCCAUCGUACGCCUCUAUGUUAACGGGUUUAAAUCCCUCUGGGAAUUCAUAUUCCAGGACCUCAUCGGUGAAGCAUAGGGGGUGUGCGGCACCCCUAUAUUUGGGUGUGCCGGAUUCUGACGGUGGAUUUUUUGCAUUGCUUGUGAGAGCUUGCUUUCUUGGCCCGUAAAUGGACCUGGCUGGGCCAUGAUGCGAGUCUUUGACUGGGUCUCAUGCCGCAUUAAGUGCGGCGCCGUUUGCCGUUUUGUAGUGGCCGAGAGGUCAUCUAUCCGACCGUGUAGCCUUUUUGUUUUUCGGGUUUGGGGGCUCUAUGGCCUCUUGGUCGAAUUCGGGCAGUAGCUUUCUCUUCGGAUAGCUUUUGGUGCGGCGGCUGCCGCCGUAUUUGUCUGCGGUCUUGAUUACUUUGCUCCAUCUUGUUUUGAGUGCAUCUUCCGCUGUCUUUAGCUUUCGCUUCUGCCUUUUCAGGCUGCAUGCUGUAGCCACGAGCCUUUCUUGGAGAUUUUUCUGCUCCAUGAUUUUAUCGGGCGUGGUAUCGUCCGGAGUUCAGUUAUGACCGGGGGAGGACUGUUCGUCCUCUCUUCCCGUGUUACCCUGUUCGGACGGCCGUUCUAAGACACGCUCGUCAUCUGCCGGGUCGUCCUGCUCUACGGCUGGGUCUUGAUGGAGGUGGGGCUUAGCUCGGCGUUUACGUCGCCGUUUUGAGUGCUUUUCGGAGGGUUUACCCUUCCUUUCGCUCCCUUUUUCCUCAUUGUCGAUUUUUUCAGGUGUAUCCACCAUGAAUACGUCGUUAGGUGGGGUUGAGGUCCAGUGCCCUAUGGGUGCUGUUCCAGUUCAUCUCCGUCUUCGUCGUCCGUACCGUCGAAGUCUUCGGAGCCGAUGUCAAGCAUGUCGGUUAAAUCGUUGACAGUGGCUAUUAAGUGGGUGGUGGGCGGGCUUUGAAUUUCUUCGUCAUCCGAAUCCCAACCUCGCAGGCCGUAGUUCGGCCUGGGCUCUCCUGACAAAGAAAGAGACUUGAGAGAAUUCAGAAAAUCACCAAAAGGUGAAUACUGAAAGACGUCCGCGGCGGUGAACUCCAUUACAGGCGCCCAAUCUGAUUCGAUCGGCAGGGACGCGGGAGGUUCGGAGCUCGGAGAAGAGUCCGGCUCCUCGGAGUCAUGGGCCACGCGGAGUGCGGGGCUGACGUUCGGCUCGAUCGCCUUUGAGAUCGCAGCCCCUGAGGUGACGUCCAACCGUUCAUCCCCAAUGAAUGUAACGGGCUCCGAAUCGAGGAUCGGGGCCGGAGCGUAUGCGGCCUCCAGGACACUGUUCGAGGGCAGAGCUAUAUCAUGUCCCUCGGGAUAGUGCGGCGCGCUUGGCUGUGGCUCGAAUCCGUCGAAGAUCAAGUCUCCGUGGAUGUCUGUCGUGUAGUUUAAGCUUCCAAACCUGACUUGAUGGCCAGGGGCGUAGCUUUCGAUCUGCUCCAGAUGGCCAAGCGAGUUGGCCCGCAGAGCGAAGCCGCCGAAGACAAAGAUCUGUCCAGGGAGAAAAGUCUCACCCUGGACCUCAUCGUUGCUGAUGAUCAAAGGAGCCAUCGGACCCGAAGGCGACGACACAGAGGAACUCUCAAUGAAAUCACCAAUGUCGGUGUCAAAACCGGCGGAUCUCGGGUAGGGGGUCCCAAACUGUGCGUCAAGGUCGGAUGGUAACAGGAGACAAGGGACACUUUAUUUUACCCAGGUUCGGGCCCUCUCGAUGGAGGUAAAACCCUACUCCUGCUAGAUUAAUAUUGAUGAUAUGGGUAGUACAAGAGUAGAUCUACCACGAGAUCAAGGAGGCUAAACCCUAGAAGCUAGCCUAUGGGUAUGAUGAUGAAUAUUGUGGUUCGUCCUACGGACUACAACCCUCCGGUUUAUAUAGACACCGGAUAGGGUUAGGGUUACACAGAGUCGGUUACAUUGGUAGGAGAUCUUGAAUAUCCACACGCCUAGCUUGCCUUCCACGCCAAGGAAAGAACCUUCCGGACACGGGACUGUCGGUGUACUAAAGUAGGGGUACCUUAGUACCCCCGAACUUGUGCACGGGCAGUUGUAGCACGCCGCGGCAAGGCUGGCCAUGGGAGCGCCAAGAGUCUCCACGGCCCUUUUUGGCCGAGAGAAGACCAAGCAUUCAAGACAAGGCCCCCGGCAAGAGGAGCUUGCCGGGCCAAGGAGGCAAGGCCCCGGCAAGAGGAGCUUGCCGGGACGACCGAGCCAAAGCAUCGAGACCCCGGCAAGAGGAGUUUGCCAGGAAGGCCGUUUCAGGCCCAAGGUUACUUCACUAACACGAGACCCUGACAAGAGGGGCUUGCCAGGAAGACUAGAAGCUCACAUCACAGAAGACACGCCUCGGCGCUAUAUGCGCCCCGGCGGGGCCCGGGGGGCGACAAGCUUCAGAGCCCGGCAAGUUCCCGGGCCCGGCAAGGCACUUGCCGGGGAGAGCUGUGCUGUGUGCCCGCGCUCCAGCUCAUCGGACCACGCGUCGCGCUGGGGACAUUCCAGGGACGCGUGGCGGGUGGCUGCGCAGCCUGGGGGACACGGUGGCACUCCGCGGUGGUGGAGCCAUCGCCGUGGCAAACGGAGACGCAAUGGCAGACGCUUUUGGGGUCGACGGCGACGGGCAUUAAAUGCUCUUGUCCCCCACUGUCAAAGUAGGUGGCGACCACUGUUCACGCACUGUAGCUCCACUAUUCCCGCACUGUUACAGCUACCACCCCUUUUACAUUUUUGCCCUUUCUCCUACGUUGACACCUGUCGGUGACCCCUUGCACUAUAAAAGGAGGCCCGAGCACAACGUAGAGGCGGGUUCGAUUCAUUGGUCAGUUCGGUUCGGAACCUAGAUCACUCAUACACUCGGUGUAGCUAGUUCUUCAAGCUCCCGAGCUCUCAAACCCAAUACAAACUAAGCAGGAGUAGGGUUUUACGCGUCCACCGCGGCCCGAACCUGGGUAAACCGCCCGUGUGCUCACCACGAUCUGCUCUUCGUGCACCCUCCGCCCUCUCACCGGACAAACGAAGGGGCUCCGGUCCCAUAGGUGCUCGUGGAGGACAGUUUCCCCCGACAGCUUUGGCGCGCCAGGUAGGGGGGCAUCGAGGUUGUGCGAACCUGAUCCGGCGUUUGCGCGGGCGCAUUCUUCAUCAACCUCUCCGAAUUCGUCAGCUUCAUCAACAACAGCACCAUGGCCCCGAAGAAGAAGGCUUCGGAGGUCGGAGGCCCAUCUGCGUCUCAUCCGCCGCUACCAGAGCCAACGGUGGGCGGGGGAGACGCCGUCGGAAGGGUGGUCGCCGGCGAGGACACUCGCGGCGCCACCAAAUCCAAGAACAGGAUGGACGACCGAGCCUCGGUCUCCGUGGAAGCGUCGCGUCCAUCCCAGCAAACGACAACCCAGCAACGCCAUGUCACAGGAGGUGGCAUCCGCUUGCUGGGCCAAGGGCAAACCCGGGGUUCGCGGGACGCCCCGGACCACCGUCCGGGCACAAGCAAAGCGAAGNNNNNNNNNNNNNNNNNNNNNNNNNNNNNNNNNNNNNNNNNNNNNNNNNNNNNNNNNNNNNNNNNNNNNNNNNNNNNNNNNNNNNNNNNNNNNNNNNNNNNNNNNNNNNNNNNNNNNNNNNNNNNNNNNNNNNNNNNNNNNNNNNNNNNNNNNNNNNNNNNNNNNNNNNNNNNNNNNNNNNNNNNNNNNNNNNNNNNNNNNNNNNNNNNNNNNNNNNNNNNNNNNNNNNNNNNNNNNNNNNNNNNNNNNNNNNNNNNNNNNNCUGUUAGGAGUCCGAGCAUAUCCCGCUCCUCGCGCCGCUCGCCCCCGCUCCCCUCCACUCCAGCAGAAGCGCUCGCAAGGGCGCAACUGCUCCUCGACUACCCUCCAGCGGCGGACAAGGCCGAAAACUGGAGGGCCACCAUCCAGAGCCUGAUUGCCUUCGCCAAUAACGAUACGCCGCAGCAGCCGGCGACCUCGCGGCCGCGGCAAGUCGAGAAGACGAAGGCCGACGGCGACAAGACCGCCGGGGGUGCAACCACCGUGCACUCCCCGCCGCGGAAGCAGAGGACGCCGCCCCGCUGGAACAACGCCGACGACGGCUCCACGGCGUCGUCGGACCCGCGGACUCGUCGGGACCAGCGCCAGGUCCUUGACAACCGGCGACAAGAAGACGCUCGAACAACGAUCGAGCGCCGCCGAGAAACUCGGCGACAAUCAGACCAGAGAGCUGGGAACGCUGUCGACGCGCGCGCGCCCGGUGAACCAGGCGACUUGCCGUACGCGGCAGGCUGCCCUGCGUUCACCCGUGAGCUGCGGCGCGUCCAGUGGCCCAGCACGAAGAAUUUCAAGCCCGACGUACCGGAGAAGUACGACGGCAAGACGUACCCCUCGGAAUUCCUCAGCAUCUACACAAUCGCUGUACAAGCUGCCGGGGGGCGCGACGAGAAGAUAUUGGCAAAUUACUUCCCGCUCGUGCUUAAGCCGAACGUUCGUUCGUGGCUUAUGCACCUGCCGGAAGGCUCCAUUUCUUCUUGGGCAGAUCUUUGCCAUCAGUUUGUUGGCGCCUUCACGGGCGGCCACAAACCCCACGGCCAGGAGAGCGAUCUCCACAUUCUGGCCCAGAAGGAAGGAGAAUCCCUGCGCAAGUACAUCCAACGCUUCAGCCGUGUACAUCGCAACAUCCCCGACGUCCACCCUGCCGCGGUUAUCAGCGCGUUCCACCAGAACGUGCGUAACCGCCGCAUGCGUGAAGAAAUGUCCAUGACCAAGAUUCGGGAUGUCAGCGAGCUCUAUGCUCUGGCUGAUAAGUGCGCACGCGCAGAAGAGGGGAGGAAACUCCCCGGGGAUGAUGCUGACGCAGGAGAAAGCGACAGCGACGACACCGCCCCGGCAAGGAAGAGCCAGCGGCGGAAUAACAGGAGAAAGAACAAGAAGGAAGUGCUUGCCGUCGAGAAGUCCGGCAAGGAGGCUCUCGCCAAGCAAACGCAGGCUGGCGGCUCCGGCAAGGAGCCUGCCCCUGUGGCGGCAGCCGACAAGCAGGACGGCUCCGACAAGCAAUACUGCAAGAUCCACCGCACCAAGGGCCACGACCUCUCCAACUGCAAACGCGUCGAGUACCUCAUCGAGCAGCAGAAAGCUGAGUACGAGAGGCGCGACAAGGAGAAGGCCCAAGGUGGUGGUGGAGAACCAAGCAAGAAGCGGCCAUUCAACGACCGGGGAGGACGCCGCGGCAAGGCCAAGCAGCGGCAAGGUGAUCGGCCUCCCCGGGGCCGCGACAAGGAUGAAGAAGACGACGACGAAGAUAUGGAGGAUGAGGAUAACAGCGAGCAGGAGUUCCAGAAGGCCACGGAGGUCCUGUGCGUCGACGGUGGCGCCUCUCUGCACGCCCCCCACCGCCAGCUUAAGCAGUGGGUGCGCGAGGUGAACGCAGCAGAGCCACCCGUGGAAUCGCACAGGCUCCUCAAAUGGUCCAGCACGCCCAUCAUUUUUGAUCUUGAGGAUCACCCUGAUCGCACAACUGCGGUCGGGUGCUUGCCGAUGCUGGUCUCACCCACCAUCCGCAACCUCAAGGUCACUAAAAUGUUGGUCGACGGCGGGGCCGGGCUGAACUUGAUCUCCUCUGCUGUGAUCAAGAAACUCCAAAUUCCAGAUGGCGAGCUCGAAGAGACCGGUUCUUUCCAAGGAAUCAACCCGGGGAGGAGCAAGCCCAAGGGGAAGAUAACUCUGCCGGUGACCUUUGGCGGGGAGCUCAACUUCAGAACUGAGCGCAUCACGUUCGACGUCGCUGAUAUCCCGUUGCCAUACAAUGGGAUCCUCGGCCGUCCCGCCCUCGCCAAGUUCAUGGCAGCUUCCCACCACGCCUACAACGUACUCAAGAUGCCGGGGCCGAUAAGCGUUAUCACUGUCCACGGCGACAAGAAGGAUGCGCUUGUCUGCGCUGACAAGAUCUACCGGGAUGCUGCAGCUGCGGCAGAAAAGGACACACUUGCCGCUAAAGCUCCCGGGGUGAAGAAGACGCAGACCAAGUCCGGCAAUUGCUCUGGGGCCCACUCCGGCAACCGCACCUCUUCGGAGUGCUGCGCUGCCGUCGAGGACGUUCCAUCGAGCUUCACCGGCAAGUGUAAGAAGGGGAUGGCCGCUCCUCCGGCAACCAAGAGGGUGUCCGCCAAGGAGGACGGCACUGGUGGUACCUUCACCAUCAGUGCCACACUUGACAGCAAAUAGGAAAGCGCGCUUGUUGCCUUCCUGCGGGCGAAUGUCGAUGUGUUUGCAUGGCAACCAUCUGACAUCCCCGGCGUUCCCAGGAAGGUAAUUGAGCACAAGCUUGCCCUUUGUCCUCAUGCGCGGCCCGUCAAGCAGAAGGUGAGGAAACAAGCCGUGGAGCGCCAAGAAUUCAUCACCGAAGAGAUCAAGAAGCUAGAGGCAGCAGGCCUAGUGAGAGGUGUGAUCCAUCCGACGUGGUUGGCAAACCCAGUCGUCGUGCGCAAGGCCAAUGGGAAGUGGAGACUGUGUAUAGACUUCACCGACGUGAAUAAAGCAUGUCCCAAGGAUCCAUUCCCCUUGCCGCGCAUUGACCAGAUCGUUGACUCCACUGCCGGAUGUGAGCUACUCUCUUUUCUUGAUGCAUAUUCAGGCUACCACCAGAUCUUUAUGGCCAAAGAAGAUGAAGAGAAGACCGCAUUCAUCACUCCAUGUGGCACUUAUUGCUUCAUACGCAUGCCAUUUGGACUGAAGAAUGCAGGAUCAACAUUUGCAAGGGUAGUGCACACUGCUUUCGAGCCACAAAUCCACAGAAAUGUAGAGGCUUACAUGGAUGACAUCGUGGUGAAGAGCAAGAGCAAGGAACCCCUGGUCCAAGAUUUGGAAGAGACAUUUCAGAACCUGCGCAAGAUACAGCUCAAGUUGAACCCCGAGAAGUGCGUCUUUGGAGUCCCCUCCGGCAAGCUUCUCGGGUUCUUUGUGUCACAGAGGGGGAUUGAAGCCAACCCCGACAAGAUUAAAGCCAUUGAGCAGAUCGAGGCCCCGGAGCGCGUCAAGGAUGUCAGAAAGCUUGCAGGUUGUGUGGCUGCCCUCAGUAGGUUCAUUUCGAAGUCUGCAGAGCGCGCCCUACCUUUCUUCAAAAUCUUGAAGAAGGCAGGUCCCAUGAAGUGGACUCCGGAAGCGGAGGCAGCGCUGCAAGAUUUGAAACGGUACCUGUCCUCCACUCCAAUACUUGUCGCACCUAGACCGCAGGAAAAGUUGUUGCUAUACCUAGCGGCAACCAACCAGGUGGUUAGUGCUGCGUUAGUAGCAGAGAGGGAGGCCGACGAGGAGUCUACGCCACCGGCAAGCGAAUCCAGCGACAAGCAGGGGGCCGCUCCGACAAGCUCUGGCCCCGACAAGAACAACCCUGCGCAGGAACAGGAUGAAGUGCGGAAGAAGAUGGUGCAGCGCCCGGUGUAUUUUGUGAGUUCCCUCUUGCAGGGGGCUAGGUCAAGAUACUCCGGGGUGCGGAAGUUGCUUUUCGGCCUCCUCAUGGCCUCGAGAAAGCUGCGCCAUUACUUCCAGGCACAUGAGAUAACGGUGGUCACUCGCUUUCCGCUGAAGAGGAUAUUGCACAAUCCAGAAGCAACAGGCAGGAUCGUCGAGUGGGCACUGGAGCUGUCGAGCUUUGGACUCAAGUUUGAAAGUACUUCAACCAUACAGAGCCGAGCUUUGGCAGAAUUCAUAGCCGAGUGGACCCCAACACCCGAUGAAGAAGUCCAAGAAACAAGUGCACCCGCACAAGAAGCGACGAGCGAAUGGGUAAUGUACUUUGACGGCGCCUUCUCGCUGCAAGGCGCCGGUGCUGGCGUGGUGCUCAUCGCGCCCACCGGGGAGCACCUCAAGUAUGUUAUCCAGAUGCACUUCCCGAGAGAGCAAGCGACAAACAACACUGCUGAGUAUGAAGGCUUGCUUGCCGGCCUCAGGAUUGCGGCCGAACUUGGGAUCAGAAAGCUAAUCGUGCGGGGAGAUUCUCAGUUGGUGGUCCGGCAAGUUAACAAGAGCUACCAGAGCCCUUUGAUGGAAGCUUAUGUAGAUGAAGUGAGGAAGCUGGAGGAGCACUUUGAAGGCCUGCAAAUGGAGCACGUCCCGAGAUCUCAGAAUGAGAUAGCAGAUGGCCUUUCAAAGUGUGCUUCGAUGAAGUUACCUGCGGAACCAGGGACCUUCUUGCUCAGGCUGACUCAACCAUCCGUUACGCCAUCAAUUGGGCAGUCCAAGAAAAGAAAGUUGGUCUCCGGCGAUUACUUGCCGGCGGAUCUUCCUGAAGCCGCCGCCAAGGUCCCCAAGAUCAACAAUCAGAACGCUGAGGAACAGUCUGCUCCUGCAGAUCCAAGGAUCUGUACAGUUGAAGCAGGUGUUCCCGACAAGCCUCGCCCCGGCGAGCUUGCCGGGGGAUCACCAGCUCCGGUGGAACCGGAGGUUCUUGCCGUAGAAGCCGAGGUCCCCGCAGCGGCCCUCAUGCCUUUAGUCCUUGCCGUUGAGCCCCGGGCUCCGGCAUGGGCACGGCAGAUCGUCCGUUUUCUGCAAACUGGAGAACUUCCCGACAACCCAGAAGAAAUAGAAAAGAUAACCAGGCAGUCAAGUAUGUACCAGUUCGUGGAUAACGAGCUGUACAGAAGAAGACUCAACGGUGUCAGGUUGAAGUGCAUCUCCAGGGAAGAUGGACAGAAGCUGUUGGCGGAAAUACACGGAGGCAUAUGCGGCCACCACAUUGGCGCAAGGGCGCUUGCCGGGAAAGCUUUCCUGCAAGGGUUCUUCUGGCAAGAAGCCCUCCAAGAUGCAACUGCACUAGUAGCCAAGUGUGAAGCGUGCCAGUUCCAUGCAAAGCAGAUUCAUCAGCCAGCUCAAGCUCUCCCAACAAUUCCUUUGUCCUGGCCCUUCUCGGUCUGGGGCUCGAUAUCCUCGGCCCCUUCCCCCGAGCCGUCGGGGGCUUUGAGUACUUGUACGUUGCAAUCGACAAGUUCACAAAGUGGCCAGAAGUGGAGCCAGUGAGAAAGGUGACAGCACAGUCAGCGGUCAGGUUCUUCAGGUCAAUUGUUUGCCGUUUCGGGAUCCCCAACAGGAUCAUCACCGACAACGGUGCACAAUUUACUAGCCGCACCUUCAUGCAGUACGUCCAAGACCUUGGCGCCAAGGUCUGUUUCGCUUCCGUUGCUCACCCGAGGAGCAACGGUCAAGCGGAAAGGGCCAAUGCUGAAGUGCUGCGCGGGCUCAAGACGAGGACCUUUGACAGGCUGCGUAAGUGCGGAAGAAAUUGGAUAGAGGAGCUGCCGGCGGCUCUUUGGUCAAUCAGAACGACACCAAGUCGAGCCACCGGACAGACACCCUUUGCUCUAGUUUAUGGAGCAGAAGCAGUUAUCCCCACGGAACUCGUAUACGGGUCUCCUCGAGUGCUCGCUUAUGAUGAGCUCGAGCAAGAGCAACUGCGGCAAGAUGACGCACUGCUCCUUGAGGAGGGACGUCUCCAGGCUGCUGUACGAGCUGCUCGAUACCAGCAAGCCUUGCGUCGCUACCAUAGCCGCAAGGUCAAGGCCAGGAGUCUCGAGGAGGGCGACCUUGUUCUUCGGCGUGUUCAGUCCGCCAAGAAUUCCAACAAGUUGACGCCGAAGUGGGAAGGCCCUUAUCGGGUGAGACAAGUCACGAGGCCCGGCGCUGUCCGCCUCGAGACCGAAGAAGGCUUACCGGUGAGCAACUCCUGGAACAUAGAGCAUAUUCGCAAGUUUCACCCAUAAGGCGCGGUUGCCGUGAUCCGCUCCGGCAACCACCGUUUUGUACAGGCCUUGCCGCUGUUGCAUGUAACCCCUUGUACAAAGCCAGGCGCAGACCCUGGCAGCAGAUAAAGAAGCUCCCCACGGAACUCGUGUACGGAUCUCCUCGAGUGCUCGCUUAUGAUGAGCUCGAGGAAGAGCAACUGCGACAAGACGACGCACUGCUCCUUGAGGAGGGACGUCUCCAGGCUGCUGUACGAGCUGCUCGAUACCAGCAAGCCUUGCGUCGCUACCAUAGCCGCAAGGUCAAGGCCAGGAGUCUCGAGGAAGGCGACCUUGUUCUUCGGUGUGUUCAGUCCGCCAAGAAUUUCAACAAGUUGACGCCGAAGUGGGAAGGCCCUUAUCGGGUGAGACAAGUCACGAGGCCCGGCGCUGUCUGCCUCGAGACCGAAGAAGGCUUACCGGUGAGCAACUCCUGGAACAUAGAGCAUCUUCGCAAGUUUCACCCAUAAGGCGCGGUUGCCGUGAUCCGCUCCGGCAACCACCGUUUUGUACAGGCCUUGCCGCUGUUGCAUGUAACCCCUUGUACAAAGCCAGGCGCAGACCCUGGCAGCAGAUAAAGAAGCGCUGGCGCCCCAAGUUUUAGCAUGCAUGCUGAGUCGAGUCUCGUCCUUGGUUAGGGUUGAUAGUUCUUAACUGUCGCUAACCCCUAACUUAGAGGUCGAGUCCGCGUCUUUUUCCCGUCCUUUCCCUUUGGCUCGCAGGAAUUGCAUGCCCUUGCCGGGCCGUUCAAGGACAAGGAAGAGGAGAAGGACGAGCCAGCGCCUACGCCCCGACAAGCCAGAGUCGCCGGGGGCUGCAACCUCAGAUAAGUCUUCACAUCCCUCUUCAUGCAUUCUUUCAUGGACUGCGGAAUACGAAAACCUUGCUUCCCCUUAAAAGCUACCGUGCUCUCUUAAGCGACCGGCCCCGGAGCGCGUUCUCGGGGCCCGCUUCUGAUAGUAGCCGCGGCGGCAAGAGGAGGAAGCAAGGGGCCGGAACCCGCCUCCUCCCUUGCCUCUGAGCACGAGGAGGGUCGAGGGGCGCGAGAAGACGGCAGGGCCUGUUGCCGGGCGGCGAAAAGUCUAUCUUAACGAUGCAAAAGGUUUCGCUCCUUUGCCGCGGGUUGUACCCGCGAGACAAAUGAUCCGGCAAACAUCCCCUUUUCAUUAAAAACGUUCCACUCAGGUACAGUUCAGAGAGAAUGAAAACAUGAAAGAAGGGAUUACAAGAUUUAAACGCAACUAAGGCCCGAGGGCUUACAAGCUGAAAAGAGAUAAGGUGCCCGUAAUCCCUUUCUUGUCUCUCUCCUCAGGAGGUAGGACAAGGAGACGAAAAGGGCAAAAGGGGCACCUAGGCGAGCUACGGGUGGCAGAAGGCACCAAGAGGAGAUCCGGGGCUCCGCCCGGGGGCUCCGGAGGCUGGGUGAAGACGGAGGCGCCGGAGGUGGAGCUGGAAGAUGAGGCAGCGGCCUUGCCGCCAGCCUCUUCCUCUUCCGCAGCCUCGCCACUCCGGCCGCCCGAGGAGACCAAGCCCCGGCAAGAGGAGCUUGCCGGGCCGGAGAGAAGACCCCGGCGGUCGUCGCCGCGAGCUAGGGUGAUGACGGCGUCUGGGGCGCAUCUGGAACACGAGGCACCGGGACGUCAGCACGCUGUCGAGGUCGGCCCGUACUCCGACUUCACGGCCUUUGACGCCCGCCCUCUGUCCUCCUCAGCAGCCCCCCUACGCCAGCCGCCCAAGGAGACGACCCCGGGGAGUUCACGGAGCCAGCGACGCGGAUGAUGGGGUCGCCGGUGCCACACGGAGCUGCGACCGACGCCUAGUCGGACCCGUCAUCCCGGCGACCGCUCCCCUCGUCGUCGCUGUCGCUCCCCUCCUCGUCACUCUCGCUCGAGGAGGAGCCUUCGCUGUCGGAGGAGCUAUCCACGCAGCACCGAGCCCGGGUGCCGAAGUCCCCGAAGGCCUUGACGGAGAGGAGGUCAUCCCCCAUCAGCUUAAAGUGGAGGGUGAAUCCCGCCAUCAGGCUGUGGAUCCGGGCGAAUGACUUCCACCCUCGGCCAAGAUACACUACGCCGGGGGCUCGGGAUUCGACGUGGACUCGCGUACCACCGAUCCCGCAGCCCCUCAUGCGCAGGUUCAGCAUCUCAGGCUGCUCCACCUCCAACACGCUCGCAAACGGAGCGGGAAGGCGGAGGCGGCGGCGAGGCGCCCGGCGCAGCCUGAUGAUGAACUCGCAGGGGUCGUCCCCGAGGUGGACCGCGGGAAACAAAGGGGCUGCCGGCGGAGGCGAGGCCGACGCGCCGACCCGUCCACCUCGUCCACGACCUCGUCCACGACCUCGCCCCCUCCCCCUUCCCCUAACGGCCGGCUCCGCCGCCGCGGGCGCAAGGGGAGGAGGGGCGCGCUGCCUAGCGGCGACCCUCGCCGCUACCGAAGAAGGACCAGGGUUACCUCCCUCCAUCGCAGAUGGGAGAAGGAAACCAAAAGCUGAAGAAGGAAGGAGAUGGAAUGCGGAUUUCCGCUGCCCCCGUUCGCUCCUUAUAAAGGGGCGGAGUGGGGGCACGGCCGCCCCGCUCCACCAAUCGAAGUGGAGGAAGGGCAGGCGACUGGAGCCGACCCACUACCUCGACCCGCGUCGGCCCGGCUCCCUGCCUCCACCGCCGCGACCCCAAGUGCAUGAAGACCACGUGGCGGGCGCGCAGGACCAAGGCGACGGAUGAGGCGACCUCUCCCCACCCGUGAUCGUGGGGAGCGGGUGCCCCGAAAACCGCGCCUCCACGUCUCCCUCCACUUAAAGAGGGAACGGGCGUUUCGCCCCUUUUUCGGAGAAAAGGAAUCGUGCGCGACGUGACACAUGCCUGCGCGGUCCAGCCCCGCGCAUGCCGCCCACGUCACGCACACCUCGCACGCCUCGCCCCCACGACGCCGCGAUAAGCGCGCGCCACCUGGGGAAGGCGCGGCGGGUACGGAGUUAAGGAGCAACGCGACCCAGGCCACGCGUGCCCGUGCACUGUUAGGGCCUGGCCCAACAACGCUCGACACCGUGUAUGGCCCAGGCCCGGGGGCUCCUGUCGGUGUACUAAAGUAGGGGUACCUUAGUACCCCCGAACUUGUGCACGGGCAGUUGUAGCACGCCGCGACAAGGCUGGCCAUGGGAGCGCCAAGAGUCUCCACGGCCCUUUUUGGCCGAGAGAAGACCAAGCAUUCAAGACAAGGCCCCCGGCAAGAGGAGCUUGCCGGGCCAAGGAGGCAAGGCCCCGGCAAGAGGAGCUUGCCGGGACGACCGAGCCAAAGCAUCGAGACCCCGGCAAGAGGAGUUUGCCGGGAAGGCCGUUUCAGGCCCAAGGUUACUUCACUAACACGAGACCCUGACAAAGAGGGGCUUGCCAGGAAGACUAGAAGCUCACAUCACAAAAGACACGCCUCGGCGCUAUAUGCGCCCCGGCGGGGCCCGGGGGGCGACAAGCUUCAGAGCCCGGCAAGUUCCCGGGCCCGGCAAGAUCAAGACCCCGGCAAGGCACUUGCCGGGGAGAGCUGUGCUGUGUGCCCGCGCUCCAGCUCAUCGGACCACGCGUCGCGCUGGGGACAUUCCAGGGACGCGUGGCGGGUGGCUGCGCAGCCUGGGGGACACGGUGGCACUCCGCGGUGGUGGAGCCAUCGCCGUGGCAAACGGAGACGCAAUGGCAGACGCUUUUGGGGUCGACGGCGACGGGCAUUAAAUGCUCUUGUCCCCCACUGUCAAAGUAGGUGGCGACCACUGUUCACGCACUGUAGCUCCACUAUUCCCGCACUGUUACAGCUACCACCCCUUUUACAUUUUUGCCCUUUCUCCUAUGUUGACACCUGUCGGUGACCCCUUGCACUAUAAAAGGAGGCCCGAGCACAACGUAGAGGCGGGUUCGAUUCAUUGGUCAGUUCGGUUCGGAACCUAGAUCACUCAUACACUCGGUGUAGCUAGUUCUUCAAGCUCCCGAGCUCUCAAACCCAAUACAAACUAAGCAGGAGUAGGGUUUUACGCGUCCACCGCGGCCCGAACCUGGGUAAACCGCCCGUGUGCUCACCACGAUCUGCUCUUCGUGCACCCUCCGCCCUCUCACCGGACAAACGAAGGGGCUCCGGUCCCAUAGGUGCUCGUGGAGGACAGUUUCCCCCGACAGGGACGAAGUCUUCAAUCUUGUAUCUUCAUAGUCCUGGAGUCCGGCUGAAGGUAUAGUCCGGCUAUCCGAACACCCCCUAAUCCAGGACUCCCUCACACGCCUUUACCGCAUCACGCCGACGUCCUGCAUCGACAUCGACUUCGGCGCCAGGCCAUAUUUCUUUUAUUACUCACUUUGCAUAAAUUAUUCAUUAUGCAACGAUUUUUUAUUUAUCAUUAUUACCAUUAUCUCCCGUUUGCACUAUUUUUUGUGCACAGGAAAAUGAUCCGGGGACUUCAGCGUCACUCUGCCGGUCGGCAUCGACCGUGCUAUGUCACCACUUCGGCGUGUCGAGCUCUCCGCUCCGCCACCUCGGGACCAGCUUGGGGGAUAGAACCUUGUCCCGCAUCAAGCUCGGACUACGAACACAUUAACCAGCUGAGUCGCUUUCAUGCUCAAAGCUUUAAUUUCUAACUUGUGUUCGGUUCGAUCAAGCGUUAUACUUUUUUGAAAAAAAAAGUUGCUUGUAAAUUUUUUUUUCUUGUCCAAACUUUGUUCACACAUACUUGACGCACUACCCGCGCUCAUUAUACCUGGGGGCUUCUUUAACAGAAGCUUAUUAGUACGGGCUUUAUGCCCAACACAUGUGUCACACUUCCGCAUGUACCUUUUAUUCACCAUUAUAUGCAUCGAUAUGACUUAAGUUUUGGCCAAGCUGGGUUGUCUGGCUCCUGUGCUUACCCCUACGUUCCCGAUUGUUCGGCUACGUGGUAAAGGGAGCACCUCUGCGAUUGUUACUGCCGGGUCAGCCGGAUGUGUACCUCAGACUGGGUGAAGCCGAAAGCUAGCGUUCUUAAGGGAAUACUCGGUCGGUGAACUAAAAGAUGAUUUCUUACCUAUUUAUUUAUAUGCCCCCAGAUGUUUUUUCUGCGUUUGCAGUUCGGACAUGCACCUUAUGGCAUGCCUCCCAGAGAAAGGAACCCCUAACGGAACUAUUCUCUCUGGAAGAUGUUUCUUACUACCCAUGUAAUAUAACAUAACUAGUUGGGCACUUGUCUGAUAAAGCACCGAUGACCCCUACGCCUGGUCUCCAUGCAUACCCCGGUUCUUAUAUAACCGUUAGGGUAUUCGGACACACUCCGGACCGUCAGGUCCCGAGGUCGAAGCGAAAAGGUCGGCAACGACAAACGAUCUACAAUCCGGCUAGAAGGCAUUACACAUGUCAAUUAUAAUUAUAUAGUCACUCUAACCAUUCGUAUUCCUCUUCAAUACCAUCUAACAGGCUGUUUAAUUUACAGUCCUGCUGGGAAUAAUUUGUUUGUGACGCAUAAAUUCGAAUACCCCGUUUACUUGGGGGCUUCCUUUAUGAAGCUUUUCCUGUUGCAUAUGAUUAUACUUGUACGACUUCGUUCCUUGUUCGUGUAUUAUGGCACAAUAUGCACCAUAUUGACUUAAGCGAUUUGCAAGCUGGGUUGCCUCGCUCCUGUGUUUACCCCUACGUUCCCGGUUGUUCGGCUAGGGAGUAAAGGGAGCACCUCUGCGAUUGUCACGAUUGGGUCGCCCGAGCCGGACCUCAGACUGGGUGAAGCCGAAAGCUAGCGCUCUUAUAGUUUUCAAUGAUGGUCGGCAAACAACGGAACUCAUGAGUACAAAAAAUCUAUUGCACAAGUCUCAUAAUAACAAUGAGCACCGAAGAAAGGUAUCGGUGAGGGUACUAUUUUCUUCAAAGAUGCUUCUUACACUUCACGGUAAUAUAGCAUAAGUUUCCUGAGCGCGCUUUGUCUGUUACAGCCUUAUGGCCUGAUUGCCUGGUUAUUGGAAACACUGUCGAUAUUCUCGGCCGAUGGAGUACAUAACACUUUUCGGUCCUUGACUGAAGAGGCAGAAGCUGACGGUCGGUUAAGACGCGUUUAAAGUUCGGUUGAACAUAGAUAUGAUAUAAGUACUUCGGUACAUGCAAUCAUUCUUUUACCCAAGUCACUUGGGGGCUCUUAAAUUUAUAUGAGCCGUUUUAUAAUAAGUGUUCUUCUUCUUAGUCGUUGCAAAGUUUUGUUAUUAUCUAUCACUUCUUUUUUUCGACACGAGUGUGCGGUCAAAGUCGCUAGAGCUUAGUUUGCUAAACUGGCCUGAUGAGAAGUACUCCGCCCCGGGAUAGGAGGUUGAAGCCGUAGGCUGACCCGCUCGAAGUCUUGAGAUAGGAUGUAUCAUGUUAAAGCACGACAGAAGCACUUCUUUUUUCUAAGACCAACUUUCGGAUUGGCACCGAACACUUGAUAUUGUUCGGACGUCAUGUUUUUACUGACGUUUCUUGGUUUUCCAAGCCUUUUGGCACUUUUAAACUAUUUGUGCUUUUCCAGCAUUAGUCUCGCAGUGCAACGCCGGACACCUUUAGGGAUUCGGCAAAAACAUUCUCAGAUAUUGUUAUAUAUGCAUCGGUUUCGAAUUGUGUCUUCGGUCAAUAGUUGGGUUGCCCGGCUCCUGCACUUGCUUCCUACGUUCCGUUUUGUUCGGCUAGGCGUGCAAAGGGAGAACCAUUGCGAUUGUGCUUCCAGCUCACAUGGUUAAGCACCUCAGUGGAGAAAGCCGAAAACUGACUGUCACAAUAAGCGUAAGCUGGUCAGCGAUCCGAUGACUAUGUUAAAUAACAGGCCACUCAUAACAAUGGUCGAAGUGUUUACGGCUUGACCUCGACUGUCGCCGAACACUACCGGGGGCUAUUAAUUAGCCUCCCAAACUAAAUCCUCGAUAUUUUGUUCUUACAUUAGAGCUGAGGUUUAAUGAUCAUGCUUAGCAUGACAACCCAAAGAAAGGUACCGAUAGAGGGACUAUUUUCUUUGGAAGACAUUUCUUCUGUUAAACAGUAAUAUAACUCUCUGCGUACCUUUGUUUAUAAAACCGUAUGGCCAUAUUGCCUUGUUUGUUGUAAAUCUUUGCCCUUAUGAAGGCUUUAUAAAGUAGGACAAACACUCCUCGACUACUGGCCGAGGAGGUGGAAGCCGAUGGUCGGUCAACAAAGUUUUGUACAAUGUGGAUCCAAGCAUUAAUGACGUAAAGUACUUGGAUACAUAGAGUCAUUACACAUAAUUUGUGAUUUUACUAUGGAUAUUGAUCCUUAAUUCGGCCACCCGUGCCCGCAUUAAGGCUCGGGGGCUACUGGGCUUUGGGCUUGUUAUUUACAAAUAUUAAAGGGGCACAUUGAUCCCCUGAUCUGGUGUUGCCACCCGACCAGUGUCUCGGGGGCUACUGCAUUGCUUGUCCAAUGCAAAAAAAAUUAUGUGCAAUAUAGGUUCCGAGGAGAUUUUGAUCCUCAGGUUGGUCGGCCGCACCCAACCUGAGUCUCGAGGACUGAGCACGCCGCUUUUUGUGUCCCGAAGUAUUCUGCCGAGCUAGGACUUGAUCCUCAGGCCGAUUUUGCAAAUCAACCUGAGUCUCAGCUGUUACUGGGAUCAGCGGUCUUAUGUCAUCCUUCAGGUGCAUCUCGGGUUUUAGACCGAUACACACCUUGAGAGCUACUGGCUAUAUAUCUCGUCAGAGAAUAAAUUGCAUCAAUAAAAAAUAUUGACAAAAAUCGGCCCAUAUUCGGGGUGGUGCACCACCUCGGAAGCAGUCCGGCAUAAAGCUCGGGCGCUAGUGGCUGGCUCCAUAAAGGGCAUCUCCGGCAUUAAGUUAGGCUAAACUCCAUCAACUUUUUUGAACCAAGGUGAUAUGACUCCUCAGAUAUAGUCCGGCGUUGGAGCCUGGAUAUAGUCCGGCGUUGGAGCCUGGACACAGUCCGGCGUUGGAGCUCGGAUACAUUUCGGCGUUGGAUCUGGGAAGCGGGCUUGGGCGCUGGAGCUCGAGUGCGCGGAAGAUAGAUAGGAAAAGGAGGAAGAAGGCGUAGGUAAAAAAAGGUGGAUCCUUAUCCCCUUAUAUGGGUCGAUGCGGUUAUGCGUCCCCACCUACCCAAACAAACUCGUUUGCCUCCCAAGCGCCGUGGUAAAUGGCGCGGUUGGGUUACCCACGUCCGUAUUGAUGAGAAUCCCGUUAAAAGGGGCACAUGAUCUCUGCUUUGACAAGACGUGCCAAGGAUACCGCCUCGCUAAACAAACUGAGGUGGAACAAUGAAAACAAUUUAUAUAAGGAGCUUGGCCGCAGUGUUAUGACGCACUGCGGAAUACGUCAGCAGAUUUGAUUUGUGUUAAUAUUAUUCUCUAUAUGGCAAUAUGUGGAAACUUAUUUUGCAGAGCCGGACACUAUUUUUGAUGUUUAUAAUCUUCUUGAAGAACUUGGAGGAAGAACCCUCCUUGCAAUGCCGAAGAAAAUUUGCGCACCGGACUCGUCGUCAUUGAAGCCUGGUUCAGGGGCUACUGAGGGAGUCCUGGAUUAGGGGGUGUUCGGAUAGCCGGACUAUACCUUCAGCCGGACUCCAGGACUAUGAAGAUACAAGAUUGAAGACUUCGUCCCGUGUCCGGAAGGAUCUUUUCUUGGCAUGGAAGGCAAGCUAAGCGUGCGGAUAUUCAAGAUCUCCUACCAUUGUAACCGACUCUGUGUAACCCUAACCCUAUCCGGUGUCUAUAUAAACCGGAGGGUUGUAGUCUGUAGGACGACCAUCAUCAUACACAAUCAUACCAUAGGCUAGCUUCUAGGGUUUAGCCUCCUUGAUCUCGUGGUAGAUCUACUCUUGUACUACCCAUAUCAUCAAUAUUAAUCUAGCAGGAGUAGGGUUUUACCUCCAUCGACAGGGCCCGAACCUGGGUAAAAUAAAGUGUCCCUUGUCUCCUGUUACCAUCCGACCUUGACGCACAGUUCGGGACCCCCUACCCGAGAUCCGCCGGUUUUGACACCGACAAGUAUUUUAAUGCGCUCCCUUUAAAGAGAUGAUGCCUCCAGGUCCGGGCAUCUUAAGCGUGAGAGAUGCAUAAUGCGGUAUUGCGUUAAAGCGAGCGAAAGCUUCGCGUCCCAAUAGUGCUUGAUACGUCUUGAAAACGGGACUACAUGGAAGGUCAGUUUUUCGCGACGAAAAUUAUUGGCAGAGCCGAAUAUGACUACAAGCCAGAGAAAACCCAUACAAUGGGUGUCCGGGCCUGGUGCUACCCCUUGAAAGGAGGUUUUGCUGUGGCGGAUUCUCGCUGGGUUUAUCCCCAUGCGGUGGAUUGUAUCCUGAUAUAUCAGGUUUAGCCUUCUGCCGCCGUCCAUAAGGAUAUUAGUAAAUUUGAACCCGUCGAUUAUUGGAUCGAGUAUCAGGGCAGUCCGGCCUGCGUUUUUGAUAUUUCUAGAAUAAUCUAGCUGAUCAAAAAUGAUUGGUUUUAAUGACCAGUGGCGGGACUCUCGAGGGAUAUGCUUCGUUGUGUGUACCUUAAUUGGCGACACACGUUUUGUGACGUGAAGUAAGUUCACUGUUUUGACUUCUUGUGGGAAGUUAUUUUGUUUCCUGGUGUUCUGCUUUUGAGGUUCGUCUUCUUCUUCACUUGGCGUAUCGAGCCCCUUGUGUUCGGCGUUAAGCUUUCCGGACUGUUUGAAAACCCAAUAGUCUCUGUGGGUGUGACUAGCAGGCUUCGCAGGAGUACUGUGUAUUUGACAUAUUCUGUCCAGGAUUCUGUUUAGGCUGGACGGUUCUUCCCUAUUAUCCUGCGGGGGUGGUUUUGUCUGAUUUUGUCGAGAGCCUUUGAAUCCGGCAUUGACUGCCGUGCUCUUCGGAUUUUUGCCUUUGAUUCGGCGUCGGUCCUUAUUUUGCCGCGGUUUUCCGUUUCAAUCCCUGAUUUCUGAUGUGCUUGGGUCGCUGGGGCUGCAUCGCGCCAACCAGCUAUCCUCUCCUGUGCAAAAGCGGGUCAUGAGGCUUGUGAGUGCGGCCAUUGUUCUUGGCUUUUCCUGGCCGAGGUGUCUGGCGAGCCAUUCGUCUCGGACAUUAUGCCGGAAGGCCGCUAGGGCUUCGGCGUCCGGACAAUCCAUUAUUUGAUUCUUUUUAGGGAGGAAUCUGUUCCAGAACUGCCGAGCUGAUUCUCCGGGCUGCUGAGUUAUGUGACUCAGGUCAUGUGCAUCCGGAGGGCGGACCUAUGUCCCUUGAAAAUUUGCCCGGAAAGCAUCCUCGAGCUCUUCCCAACUUCCAAUUGUAUUUUCGGGAAGGCUUUUAAGCCAGUGCCGAGCUGACCCUUUAAGCUUAAGAGGUAAAUAUUUUAUGGCGUGGAGAUCGUCUCCUCUAGCCAUGUGUAUGUGGAGGAUAUAAUCCUCGAUCCACACUCCCGGGUCUGUUGUUCCAUCGUACGCCUCUAUGUUGACGGGCUUAAAUCCCUCUGGAAAUUCGUAUUCCAGGACCUCAUCGGUGAAGCAUAGGGGGUGUGCGGCGCCCCUGUAUUUGGGUGUGCCGGAUUCUGAUGGUGGAUUUUUUGCAUUGCUUGUAAGAGCUUGCUUUCUUGGCCCGUAAAUGGACCUGGCUGGGCCAUGAUGCGAAUCUUUGAUUGGGUCGCAUGCCGUAUUGGGUGCGGCGCCGCUUGCCGUUUUAUGGUGGCCGUGGGGUCGUCUAUCCGACCGUGUGGCUUUUUUGUUUUUCAAGUGUGGGGGCUCUAAGGCCUCCUGGUCGAAUUCGGGCAGUAGUUUUCUCUUCGGAUAGCUUUUGGUGCGGCGGCUGUCGCCGUACUUGUCUGCGGUCUUGAUUACUUUGCUCCAUCUUGUUCUGAGUGCAUCUUCUGCCGUCUUUAGCUUCCGCUUCUGCUUUUUCAGGCUAAGUGAUGUGGCAACGAGCCUUUCGUGGAGAUUCUUCUGCUCUAUGGUUUUAUCCGGCGUGGUAUCGUCCAGAGUUUUAUUAUGGCCGGGGGAGGCCUGUCUGUCCUCUCUAUCCGUGUUGCCCUGUUCGGACGGUUGUUCUGAAACAAGCUCGUCGUCUACCGGCUCAUCCUGCUCUACGGCUGGGUCUUGAUCGAGGCGGGGCUUGGCUCGGCGUUUAUGUCGCCGUUUUGAGUGCUUUUCGGAGGGUUUACCCCUCUUUUCGCCUCCUUUUUCCUCGUCGUCAUUUUUUCCAGGGGUAUCCACCAUGAAUACGUCAUUAGGUGGGGUGGAGAUCCAGUGCCCUAUAGGUGCUGGUUCCAGUUCGUCUCCGUCUUCGUCGUCCAUGCCGUCGAAGUCUUCUGAUCCGAAGUCCAGUAUGUCAGUUAAAUCAUCGACAAUGGCUAUUAAGUGGGUGGUGGGUGGGCUUUGAAUUUCUUCGUCGUCCGAAUCCCAACCUCGCAGGCCAUAGUUCGCCCUGGGCUCUCCUGACAAAGAGAGAGACUUGAGAGACUUCAGAAUAUCACCGAAAGGUGAGCACUGAGAGACGUCCGCGGCGGUGAACUCCAUUACAGGUGCCCAAUCAGAUUCGAUUGGCAGGGGCGCGGAAGGCUCGGAUUUCGGAGAAGGUUCCGGCUCCUUGGAGUCAUGGGCCAUGCGGAGUGCGGGGCUUGCGUUCGGCUCAAUUGCCUUUAAGAUCGCAGCCCCCGAGGUGACCUCCCGCCGUUCAUCCUCAAAGGACGCAGCGGGCUCCGAGUCGAGGAUCGGGGCCGGAGCGUGUGCGGCCUCCAGGACACUGUUCGGAGGCAGAGCUAUAUCAUGCCCCUCGGGAUAGUGCGGCGCGCUUGGCUGUGGCUCGAAUCCGUCGAAGAUCAAGUCUCCGCGGAUAUCCGCCGUGUAGUUUAAGCUUCCAAACCUGACUUGAUGGCCAGGGGCGUAGCUUUCGAUCUGCUCCAGAUGACCAAGCGAAUUGGCCCGCAGAGCGAAGCCGCCGAAGACGAAGAUCUGUCCGGGGAGAAAAGUCUCGCCCUGAACCUCAUCGUUGAUGAUGAUCAAAGGAGCCAUCGGGCCUAAAGGUGACGACACAGAGGAACUCUCAAUGAAAGCACCAAUGUCGGUGUCAAAACCGGCGGAUCUCGGGUAGGGGGUCCCUUACUGUGCAUCAAGGUUGGAUGGUAACAGGAGACAACGGACACUUUAUUUUACCCAGGUUUGGGCCCUCUCGAUGGAGGUAAAACCCUACUCUUGCUAGAUUAAUAUUGAUGAUAUGGGUAGUACAAGAGCAGAUCUACCACGAGAUCAGGGAGGCUAAACCCUAGAAGCUAGCCUAUGGGUAUGAUUGUGUAUGAUGAUGGUUGUCCUACGGACUACAACCCUCCGGUUUAUAUAGACACCGGAUAGGGUUAGGGUUACACAGAGUCGGUUACAUUGGUAGGAGAUCUUGAAUAUCCGCACGCCUAGCUUGCCUUCCAUGCCAAGGAAAGAAUCUUCCGGACACGGGACGAAGUCUUCAAUCUUGUAUCUUCAUAGUCCUGGAGUCCGGCUGAAGGUAUAGUCCGGCUAUCCGAACACCCCCUAAUCCAGGACUCCCUCAGCUAUAUUCGGACACCGGAAGUGUUCCGGGUGAUUUCGGAAAAAACUAGAGUGCCGGAGGGUUACCGGAACCCCCCGGGAGAAGUAAUGGGCCUUAUGGGCCCUAGUGAAGAGAGAGAGGGGCGGCCAGGGUGGGCCGCACGCCCCCUCCCCCUCUGGUCCGAAUUGGACUAGCGGAGGGGGGCGGCGCCCCCCUUUCCUUCUCCCUCUCCCCCUUCCUUUCCCCCUCCUAGUAGGAGUAGGAAAGAGGGGAGUCCUACUCCUACUAGGAGGAGGACUCCUCCUCCUUGGCGCGCCCACAAGGGCCGGCCGGCCUCCCCCCUUGCUCCUUUAUAUACGGGGGCAGGGGGGCACCUCUAGACACACAAGUUGAUCUUGGUGAUUGUUAUCUUAGCCGUGUGCGGUGCCUCCCUCCACCAUAAUCCUCGAUAAUAUUGUAGCGGUGCUUAGGCGAAGCCCUACGAUGGUAGAACAUCAAGAUCGUCACCACACCAUCGUGCUGACGGAACUCUUCCCCGACACUUUGCUGGACAGGAGUCCAGGGAUCGUCAUCGAGCAGAACGUGUGCUAGAACUCGGAGGUGCCAUAGUUUCGGUGCUUGAUCGGUCGGGCCGUGAAGACGUACGACUACAUCAAGAGCGUUGUCAUAACGCUUUCGCUGUUGGUCUACGAGGGUACGUAGACAACACUCUCCUCUCUCGUUGCUAUGCAUCACCAUGAUCUGGCGUGUGCGUAGGUAAAUUUUGAAAUUACUACGUUCCCUAACAGUGGCAUCCGAGCCUAGGUUUUAUGUGUUGAUGUUAUAUGCACGAGUAGAACAAAAGUGAGUUGUGGGCGAUAUAAGUCAUACUGCUUACCAGCAUGUCAUACUUUGGUUCGGAGGUAUUGUUGGAUGAAGCGGCCCGGACCGACAUUACGCGUACGCUUACGCAAGACUGGUUCUACCGACGUGCUUUGCACACAGGUGGCUGGCGGGUGUCAGUUUCUCCAACUUUAGUUGAACCGAGUGUGGCUACGCCCGGUCCUUGCGAAGGUUAAAACAACACCAACUUGACAAACUAUCAUUGUGGUUUUUAUGCGUAGGUAAGAUUGGUUCUUGCUUAAGCCCGUAGCAGCCACGUAAAACUUGCAACAAACAAAGUAGAGGACGUCUAACUUGUUUUUGCAGGGCAUGUUGUGAUGUGAUAUGGUCAAGAAAUGAUGCUUAAUUUUAUUGUAUGAGAUGAUCAUGUUUUGUAACCGAGUUAUCGGCAACUGGCAGGAGCCAUAUAGUUGUCGCUUUAUUGUAUGCAAUGCAAUCGACCUGUAAUGCUUUACUUUAUCACUAAACGGCAGCGAUAGUCAUAGAAGCAUAAGAUUGGCGAGACGACAACGAUGCUACGAUGGAGAUCAAGGUGUCGCGCCGGUGAUGAUGGUGAUCAUGAGGGUGCUUCGAAGAUGGAGAUCACAAGCACAAGAUGAUGAUGGCCAUGUCAUAUCACUUAUAUUGAUUGCGUGUGAUGUUUAUCUUUUAUGCAUCUUAUCUUGCUUUGAUCGACGGUAGCAUUUUAAGAUGAUCUCUCACUAAUUAUGAAGAAGUGUUCUCCCUGAGUAUGCACCGUUGCGAAAGUUCUUCGUGCUGAGACACCACGUGACGAUCGGGUGUGAUAGGCUCUACGUUCAAAUACAACGGAUGCAAAAAAGUUGCACACGUGGAAUACUCAGGUUAUACUUGACGAGCCAAGCAUAUACAGAUAUGGCCACGGAACACAGAGACCGAAAGGUCAAGCAUGAAUCAUAUAGUAGAUAUGAUCAACAUAGUGAUGUUCACCAAUGAAACUACUCCAUCUCACGUGAUGAUCAUACAUGGUUUAGUUGAUUCAGAUCACAUGAUCACUUAGAGGAUUAGAGAGAUGUCUAUCUAAGUGGGAGUUCUUUAGUAAUAUGAUUAAUUGAACUUAAAUUUAUCAUGAACUUAAUACCUGAUAGUAUCUUGCUUGUUUAUGUUUGAUCGAGGAUAGAUGGCCCGUGUUGUUGUUCCGUUGAAUUUUAAUGUGUUCCUUGAGAAAGCAAAGUUGAAAGAUGAUGGUAGCAAUUACACGGAUUGGGUCCGUAAUUUGAGGAUUAUCCUCAUUGCUGCACAGAAAAGUUACGUCCUGGAAGCACCGCUGAGUGCCAGGCCUGCUGCUGAUGCAACUGACGAUGUUAAGAACGUCUGGCAGAGCAAAGCUGAUGACUACUCGAUAGUUCAAUGUGCCAUGCUUUACGGCUUAGAAUCGGGUCUUCAACAAUGUUUUGAACGUCAUGGAGCAUAUGAGAUGUUCCAAGAGUUGAAGCUAAUAUUGUAAGAAAAUGCCCGGAUUGAGAGAUAUGAAGUCUCCAAUAAGUUCUAUAGCUGCAAGAUGGAGGAGAACAGUUCUGUCAGUGAGCAUAUACUCAAAAUGUCUAGGUAUAAUAAUCACUUGAUUCAAUUGGGAGUUAAUCUUCUAGAUGAUUGCAUCAUCACUACAAGGAUACCCCGUAUAAAGCAACACAAAUUCCACAACGUUUUGACUAUAUGUUGCGAAAUUCAGCGUAGAUACGCAUAUAUGCGUUGCAGCUCAUGUGCUGCAGAGUUGCAGCUCAUGACCAUACUGUAGUACAUAAGUUGCAACAGAACAUGUAUGUUGCCUGGUAUAUGUUGCAAAUUAUAUCUGUUAUAGGACUGUAAAUAUACGUAACAAAAAGUAAAAGGUAAUUAGACAUGCCUGUACACAUAAGGAAUUUUGCAUGCAAAUAUUUGCUAUCCGUUCGAGCGAAAUCAAAUCGUGUGAAGUCCCUCUUUUAUUCUUGGAUACGGAUUUAUCUCAGACAAAUAUUUUUUUUUCUUUAGGGCUAGAUUUCUUUAAGUGAUCUCAGACAAAUAGGGGUAGAUCGAUCUAGGUCUCUCCCUCCAACUACGACACAAAUCAAUAAUGGAAUCUCCUCUUGUUGAGCGACAGCGGAGCUGGGCCACAGGCAGCUGAGACCAUUGCCUGCCUGGGGCGUGAGAAAAGGUCCCAGCCCGCUGUAAACAACAAAUCUUACGACCUGGCGCACAGCCCGCUCCUAACCUCUAGCUGGGCCUCACAUCUUAGCCCAAUACUACGCUAGUCAAGAGAUCAAACCGGAGAGCUUCCGGGCCGGACGCGCUAUCUGACUGGGCCGGGCCAUUCGGGCCGUCACAACAAGCCGUCGCUAAAAUAGCAAAAAGUAAUGUUUGAUCAAGGAAUCGAACUCACGAAGAAACGAUUGAUUGUUAAUGUCCUCUACCAAUCAAACUGCUCCAGGUUGAUGGUUACUAGGCCGUCCAAAUAUUGAAGACUAAAUGCAUCGACAAGUCAAUUUUUUUCUGGAAACAAAAUCUUCCAUUAAACAUUUUUGAGAUAUACGCUGAAUAACCAUUAAAUACACAUUUAACACUUUUGUGAUCUACGAUAGAAAAUUUCGACAUACACAUUGAACAUUCUUGUGAUAUAGGCUGAACAACUUUUAAGUACACAAUGAACAUUUUUUAAAUAUGUUGAACCUUUUCUUGAUAUAUGCUGAACAUUUUGGUAAUGUUUGUUCAAAAAAAUUUAAUACACAAUCAAUUUUUUUAUAAUGGAUGGUGAACUUUUUCAUCAAAACAAUAAACAUUUUUCGUAAUAUAAGAUGAACAUUUUUUAUAAUACAUGGUGAACUUUUAAAUACCACACAGAAAAGAGAAAAAAAGAUAAAAUAAGAAGAUAAAUAUAGUAGAAAAUAAAUAAAAACAAAGGAAAAAAAGAAAUCAAAACAAAAAAAAAGAAAAAAAC